rnacentral:lncRNA from 1 species
CUCUCUCUCUCUCUCUCUCAAGCUCUCUUCGACGAAAGGCGAUUCGACGUCUCCUUCGGUGACUCUUGUCGGCGACGUCUCCUUCGGUGUCUCUCAUCGGCAACGUUUCCUCCGGUGGCUCUUGUCGGCGACCUCUUUCUCGGUGGUUCUCCUCGAGGCGACAGAGUUCUCUCUCGGUGGCUCUCUUGAAAUCGAAAGGUAAGCGGUUGUUGUGUUCUUGACUAUGCAUGUCUUCGAUUAGGUCUGAUCUGUUGUUUUUCUAUGUAGUUUGUUGGUUCUCUCUCUCGGUGGGUUUUCUCCUCCAAACUUUCUCUCGGUGGCUCAAAUCGAAAGGUAAACCGGUGUUCUGUUGUUUUAUUAUGCAUGUGAUUGAUUAUUGUAAUUUGUUGGUUCUGUUUGUUUCACCUCAAAUCAAAAUUUUGAUGCGUUUGAUCUCUGGAUAUGUUCAGUUUGUUCUUAGGUUUUAAUUUUGUUUCAAUUAAUAUGGAUGGAUCAAAGUUGAUUUGCUAUGUUUCAAUCCUUGCUCUGUUUCUGUUCUUUGAUUUGUUUUCGUUUGAUUAUGUCUUUCUGUUGGAUUAUGGUCUGAAUCAUUUUUUGUUUAUGUCUUUCUUUUGUCAGAUAGAAGGAUCAAAGUUCAUCGAGCAAAGGUUCAAACAAUUCAGGAGUUCACUGCAAAAUAAGGUUAGUGUUAUUCUUAACUGGUUCUGCAAACUAGAAUUGGUUUAAGUUGUGGUUUGAAUUGAAUCGACUGUAAUUAAUGAUUUCAUUAUAGUUAGAAUAUGGUUGUGUGAUAAAUAGAAGUGAUGGCUAGCUAGAAUUGAUUAAAGCUUAAUGUGAUGAAACUUGUAGAUAAAUGUCAAUACGUUUUUGUUUGUUGGUUGUCAUGAAUGCAUCUUCUCUUCUUUCCCUGUCAUCUAUAAACACACUUUCUUCUUUCUCUUUCUUAUCAUCUCCUUCAUCUUUCUUCUCAAUUUCUUCUCUGUAUGGAUUCUCAACAAAGCCAGUCCUCUAGCUUUUUAAUUUACUAAACACUCAAGUGCCUAACAAUGAAUACUCAACUCAGUUUCUGAGUUUUUCACCUAGUCCAGACGUUGGAGGAUCCGACGUGCACAAAGUGGUGAGGACCAUAAACAAAGGUGCAAGUGGUCAACAGCUGAAGACCUGGUCCUCAUCAGUGCAUGGUUGAACACCUCCAAGAAUCCCAUAGUUGAGAAUGAGCAAAGGGCAUGAACCUUUUGGAAGAUGAUUGUGUCGUAUUAUAAUGCAAGUCCCAAGGUGGUUGGUUUGGCAAAGAGAGAGCAAAGCCACUGCAGGCAAAGAGAGAGCAAAGCCAUUGCAAGCAAAGGUGGAGAAAGAUAAAUGAAGGUGUCUGCAAGUUUGUGGGGUCAUAUGACGCUGCAACAAAACAAAGGACCAGUGGCCAGAGUGAAGAUGAUGUUUUGAAGGCUGCACACGAAAUAUUCCUCAACGAUUACAAGGUGAAAUUCUCAUUGGAGCAUGCGUGGAAGGAGCUUAGGAAUGAUCAGAAAUGGUGUGGGACUUAUGGAAGUAGUCAACAGAGCUCUGGUUCAAAGAGAAAGAAGGUGGGAGAAGAACAAUCUUUUCAGUCAUCAGCAUCUAUGCCCAGUGUCAAUGGAGAGGAUGAAGCAAGACAAGAAUCUGCAAGAUUUUCAGCAAAUGUGGGAGUUAAAGGCGAAGGACAUAGCAGCAAAGGAGAAGCUUAGCCAGACCAUACUGCUUGACAAACUCCUUGCGAAAACAGAGCCGCUUAGUGAAUUAGAAUUGGCGCUUAAGAACAAACUGAUUAAGAAUAUGUUAUAUAUGUAAUCUUUUAAACUCUCAAUGUUAUCAUUUGGUUAUCUUGUUUGUGGCGCUUAAGACUGAUGUGUAAUAUAAGUAAAUCUUGCUUUGAAAUGAAUAUUAGUAGUUUGAUGUGUUCUAAUACGUUCUAAUCUUGUUUGAUAUGUUCUAAUACGUUUCUGUUUUUAUUUUCUGCUUUUCAGGGGAACAAGUGACACACAGCCAUAAAUGGAACGAAGAAAACAUAUUGUUUGUGGCCUCUCGGCAAGACGAAUCAUACCGCCUCUCCCACAAGAAGAUAGAGAUGAUGAUGUUGCGGAUAUCCCACAAGAAGAUACAGUCGAAGUGGUGGAGAUAUCAGAUGAAGAAGAAGAAGAUAUGGUGGAGUUAUCAAGCAAAAAAUACAGGAGCAAUAUGGGCUAGUUGAUUAUGGUGGAGGAAUCAGAAGAUGACAUUGAACCUGAGUUCAGAAAGAUGCUUCAAAGGAUGCACCAGGAAGAGAAGAAGCUGAGAGAGGAGAAGUUCAAGGUGUUGAAGUCGGGAAUCAAGCUAGAGUAAGGACAAUCCUCUAAGGGUGAUGGUAACAAGAGGAAGAGAAGAAGGUGAGUGCCUCGUCUUGUCUUGUAGUCACGGACAAGGUCAGUGUGUUGUUGUGUCUUGUAGUGUCACGAAUUCUAUGUGUCUUGUACUCUUGUGUUUUGUACUCUUGCAUCAUGUGACUUCUCUUGCAUCAUGUGUAUUGCAUCAUGUGUACUCUUGUGUUUUGUAAUCAUGCAUCAUGUGACUUGUUCUCUGUAAACCAAACGAAUCAACAACUCAUCUUUCUCUCUAUAUCAUUCACUUUCUGUCUAAACCAAACAAAAGCAACAACUCAUCUUUCUCUCUGUAUCACUCUCUAUAACGAAUCUGUCUAAACCAAACCAAAGCAACAACUCAUAUUUCUCUCUAUAUCAUUCUCUAUAGCUUUUUGUUUAAACCAUACCAAAGCAAGAACUCAUCUUUCUCUCGAUAUCAUUCUCUUUAUACCAACUCAUUGAAAUCUCUUCUCUCUCUAUUUAUAAUAAAAUCUUCUUCUGUCUAUAUUCUCAAACUCAUCUUUAUUUAUAAUAAAUUCUUCUUCUCUCUAUUUUCUCUAUUUGAUCACUAGUUUAUAAAACUCUUUAAUCACCAUAUAUGGCUUCUUCUCAAAACAAUUUAGAUGAAGCUUUUGAUGAUGCAUUUGAUGAGCUCUUAGAUCAAGAUUUUGAGAAAGCCUUUGACAAUUUUACCAGUCAAAGUGAUCAAGAAGAACGAAGAAAAAAAGAAAAAAACGAGCUUAUAUCGAAAGACAUCGUGAAGAAGGGCAUUUUCGUUUAUGAAAUGAUUAUUUCAGUGAAACUCCAACGUAUCCUGAAAAUUUCUUCCGACGACGUUUUAGAAUGAACAAGCGACUGUUCAUGCACAUUGUUGAUCGACUCUCCAACGAAGUUCAAUACUUUCGGGAAAAGAAAGAUGGUCUCGGAAGGAAUAGUCUCUCUCCGCUUCAAAAUUGUACCGCAGCCAUUCGUGUCUUGGUGUAUGGUUCUACAGCUGAUAUGGUCGACGAAUACCUUCGGCUCGGUGAAACAACAGCUCGGUUAUGUGUGGAACAUUUUGUGGAAGGUAUAAUAUAUUUGUUCGGCGAUGAGUACUUAAGAAGACCAACACGGUCUGAUCUUCAACGUCUACUUGAUGUUGGAGAGCGUCGUGGGUUUCCCGGGAUGAUAGGAAUCCUCGAUUGUAUGCAUUGGGAGUGAAAGAAUUGUCCCACCGCUUGGAAAGGGCAAUAUUCUCGUGGUUCGGGUAAACCAACAAUCGCUUUAGAGGCAGUCACUUCAUACGAUCUCUGGAUAUGGCAUGCGUUUUUUGGACCUCCAGGUACAUUAAAUGAUAUCAAUGUUCUUGAUCGUUCACCCGUUUUUGAUGACAUAAUAAAUGGUCAAGCUCCGAAUGUCACUUACUUUGUUAAUGAAUGCGAGUAGGAUAUGGCUUACUAUCUCACCGAUGGUAUUUAUCCGAAAUGGACAACUUUUAUCCAAUCUAUUUCUAUGCCACAAGGGCCUCAAGCAGUUUUAUUUGCUUAACGUCAAGAAGCUGUCCGAAAAAUGUCGAGCGUGCUUUUGAAGUCUUUCAAGCUCGCUUUGCCAUUGUUAAAAAUCCAGCGAUGUAUUGGGAUAAGGUCAAAAUUGGAAAGAUUAUGAGCGCAGGUAUCAUACUCCAUAAUAAGAUAGUAGAAGACGAACAAGAUGGGUACAGUCUUGUUGAUGUUUCAGAGUUCCAACAAGGACAAGACCACAAAAAUUCACAUGUUGAUUUCACGUAUUCUACAGAUAUCCCUUCACACAUCACAAAUAUGGUGGACGCUCGUACAAGAAUUCAAAAUAGACAAAUGCAUCAACAACUAAAAUAUGAUUUGGUUGAACAUAUAUGGUGUAGAUUUGAACAUGAUGACAGACAACAACUGAUCUCGGAUGCUUCUUUCAAAUAAUUCUCGUUUAUUUUAAUAAUCUUUGUUUUCAUGUUUUUAUUUAUAAAUCUAUGUUUAAAGUGUAAUCUUUUAUUAUGUUUUAUUUAAUAAAAAAUAAAAAAUAAAAAAAUGAAUAAUAUUAAUUUAUUUUUAAAAACCCCAAAAUAAGAGACUUGCAAUGGAGACAUAAAAAUCUCAAAGUUCUUAUCUUAAUCUCUUAAACACCUUUACUCCUUAAAUAUUAUUAAAAAACAAUUAAGAGUCCCCUAAUGGGGUUUUAGGAUAAAGAUGCUCUAAACACUUCAUGUGGGCAUGUUUUGUUGCUUGGAAGUUAUGUUUUCGUCCGUUUCUUCUAAGUUUUUCUCACGUAGCAUGUUUCUUGUGUUAAUGGAGAGAGGCGAUACUUUCGACAGAAGUCUUGUGGUUCUAGAAAUGAUGUCCAAGGUUAGUAUACAAAAGAGUUAAAACCUUAAUUUUAUAAAUGGUAUCAACAUAUCCAAAAAGAAAAAUAUAUAAGGUAUACAUAUAUGCUAGGGACUAAAACUAUUAAUUACAUAUACAACCUAUUUAACUUUGGCCACACUUUACUGAUCUUCAAACAAAAGGUGCAAAUGAUUGGCACUCAAAAGAAACUUUAUGAAAUAUUCUUAUUGUGGAUGAUCUAGUGACUCGAAUAGCAUUGACGUUAUUUAAAUGUACAAAUAGUCAUGUUUUUCUCCACAGUUCAGAGAGCCAAAAGUCGUAUGUGCCUAUUUUAUUGAUGUUCUAUUCCAUCAGAUGGGUUUGAUUCAUGCGGUUAUAAAUUUGAUUUUGAGAAAGAGAUGUAAGAUUUUACCGGUAAAUUGAGUGCUUCAUCCUUGUUUCAUAUUCUAGAUGAAUCGACACGUACAUCACUGAACGUAAAUUUUUAGCUAGUAUGUUGACGAUUCUCUUAUAUUUAUGAUUUUUUAGAGUCCAUUAAUCACUUUUGAGCUUCAUGUGAUCUUUACAGUCCAAGACACUAGUCAGUAAUUGGGCCUCGGCCUGGCGAAUGCCUCAAUUAUCAAAAACAAAAAAGCAAAAGCAUGCAUGGUUUCAGCUCCUUUAUAAUAAAUCAUUCAAGCUGUCUCCGGUAUUAAUUAAUGAACUAGAUUUUGACCCGCGCUUAAGAAGUGCAGAUAUUUUUUUGGUGACCGUAAACUCAAAUAUUAAAUGAAUUUAUGUUUAUUAUUAGAUACCUAAAAUAUUUAAAGCUGUUUUAUUAUUAUUAUUUCAGUCGGGUACAAUGUUUUCAUUGAGUUUUCAUAUCCGAAUCAGACUUGUGGUCGAACCGUAAGAUCUAGUAACUCAUAUAUAGUAGAAUAAAAUAUAAUAAAAUGAGUAUAGUAAAAGUAUCUGAAAAUCAAAAAGACCGUUAUUAACCCACUGAAAAAAAUAUAAUUUGUUUUUUGUUUUAUAAAUUUUUGAUCUAUUAAUAUAUAUUUGACUUGUAUAAGAAAUUUCUUUUAACAAAUAUUGUUAAGUUUAUUUAUAAAUAUAUUAGUUAUCAAUCUACCAAAAUAGUGAAGCAAGUAUUAUUAUUUUUUCCUUUUUUAAUUUUCUAUCAAACUAUUAUCAAUUUUGUUUUAAAAAAAAAUCAGUUUGUGACAGAUAUUUUAUUAUUAGAAAUCCAUACAAUUUAAAUAAUGUUACAUUUAUAUGUAUUUAUGUAUAAAAUGGUAUUCAUAAUUUGGGAUUUUGUAAAAAAAGGUCUAAAGUUAAUUUGGUUAAAAAAAAUUUUCUGUAACAAAAGUUAAUUGGAUUUAUAAUUUUCUUUUUUGAAUGGGUUGUAUCAGUGAAAUUAUCUUUUUAAGUUAAAUGCCCAAAACCCAAUUAAUAAUAUUUAUUUUGCUGAUAACAAAGUGAGAUUAAAUAGGAUAACAUCAGGGGAGAAGCCAGACCUGUUUUCUCCUGGGUGCAUACAAUUAAUAUAAGUUAAAAUAAUUUAUAAUAUAGUGGGGCAUCGAACUCUGGAUCAUUGAAAAAUGUGGGUGCACCUUAACCAAAUAAGCUAUUUCAACCAUUACGUACAAUGUAAAAACAUAUUAAAUAAAGAUAAUAGGGAGUGCACGUGCACUCAGACUCUUCCACCUAGCUUCGCCCCUGGAUAACAUAUAAUAUAUAAGGAAGCCCAAAAAAUAAAAAAAUGAAAGGUCCAAACAACCUAUAUAAGUAGAUUUAUCAAGAAUGUUUCCCUUUUAAUAGAAUAGAUAUUUAUUGUUGCAACCUUGUACGUUGUCUCUUUCGUAUUAGUUAAUGUACGCAUAGCCUCCCUAAUAUCACUUAUAUAACACACCUCUUGGGUCUUGAAUGGAAUCCAUGUAUAUAAAAUAAGACAAGAGAUCAACUAUAUAUUACUCUAUCUACUAUAUCAACGUGCAUGGCGUUAAAUGCAGAUAACCCACGGAUUUCAUGGUUUGAGAAGGUUUAUUAUAUAUAUCUAUAGAUUAACCAAUAAAAAAUAUAUUAGAAAAGCUUAUUAAAUACAGAAGAUAAAAAUAUAAUAAAAAAUUAACAAAAAAAGUGAAGUUCAAUAUACCGGAUCUGUUUUUGCAUGUUCACCCUUCAAUAUACCGGAUUACAAUUCGUUUUCUGCAUGUUAAAAGCAAAACUAUGCUUUUAACCCCUCUCAAACCCCGAGUGGGUACUUCAACGUCGGUAGACUUCAUUAUGUUCUUUCGAACAACACGGUUUUAGGAUUUAAAGUGAAGCUUCUCUACAGUUUUUUUUCUCUCUCUGUUACUACAUUUAUUUUUUGUUAUGUUUUAAUUAUCUUCGUAUACCGCUUAACUGUCAAGUGUACCUCCGUUUGUAAUCAUCUAAGCUCUUAUAUAAGUAUUUGGUGUUAUAAAAAAAAAAUAAUAAAGCAAAAGUAUGCAUGGUUUCGGAACCUUUUUAAUACAAUCAUUCAAGUUGUCAUUCUCACUCCAUAAUUUACUCCAAAAGAUUAUAAAAAAAAAAAAUCAUUCAAGUUGUCUUUUUUUUUUCAUUCAAGUUGUCUUGUAUAUUAAUUAAGGAACUUUAUUGUUGCAUCCUUGUACGUUUUCUCUUUCGUUUUAGUUAAUAUAACGCAUAUGGUCUCUGAAGAUGUCUGGAAUCCAUGGAUGAUGGAUACAUAAUAUCGUGAAAAAAACAAGAGAUAAACUACAUAUUAAUCUAUGUACUAUUAUCUAUAUCAACGUGCUUGGCGUUAGAAGCAGAUAAGCCAAGUUGUUUUUCUUAAACCAAUUUAUAUUAUUAAAUGCAAUUGUCACUUAUAAAUUUACAAUAUGCAUAACUUUGAAAUAUGAGAGACAAAACAGACAUUAAAACACUGAAGAUACAUAUAAGAAGCAGAAAAGGAAAAUGGCAAAGGAGGAGGAGGAGCCGCUCAGCCCGAUGGCACGUAUUUUUCAAUCAUCCGGAGCAGACUACUGCACCGUGAUCAUUGUUGGGUUCAAAACUAAGAUUAAUCCUGAUGUAAUUCUUGACGAUUUAAAGCAAAACGUUUCCAAACAUCCUCGUAUCUCCAGCAAACUGGUAACCCUUGAUAUGUUCUGUUUUGCCAUGGUUGAUGCCUUUCCUCUGCUUUUUUUUUCCGAUAUCACAUAUAAAUUCACAUAGAAGAACUAAGGCCCGUGUUUUAUAAGAUAUGGAAACAAUAUCAAGAUGGUUGCUUCAAUCACGAUAUGCAAUCCCCCCUCCCAAUCAGAGCCGUGCGAGCACUAACAGCUUCCUAAGCGAUACUAUUUUUUUUUAUGAAUCUACAAUAAUAAAGCUAUUGUAGUUUAGUGUAACAGAACCAAGAACAAUCAUUUACCCAUUUUUAAGGGGACAAACAAUUGUUUCCAUAUUUUGUUUGGUUUCUUAAAGAAACCAUGCAUGUUUUCAUUCUAAUAUAUGUUUUUAGCAGUUUAGCAAAAAAAAUAUAUAUGUUUUUAGCUUUUUUGACUAUCCAUAAAACUACUAACGAUGCUAUGUUUAUAAAGUUGUUUUUUAUAAGAUCUAAUUAAGAGAAUAAAUCAUAAGAAAUGCUUUAAAACUUUUUAAAAAUAGAUGCAAGUUACAAAAAGAAAAAAAUUAGAUGCCCUAGGCCAAUCUUUAUUUUUUCCUCAUGUAAGCACGGCUCUGCCCCCAACGAAUCUCUCUAUAUAGCCUUUCCUUUAGCGCAUAUUCUCUCUAUUGUAUAAGAGCAUCUCCUAAAAAAUUCUAUAAAUUCAAAUAUAAAGUUUUUUGUAAUUCAAAAAGAAACUUUAAAAUUUCAAAUUUAGAGUUUUGAUAAGUGAAACUUCAUAUUUGAAGUUUCCCCACUCAAAACUUCAAAUUGAAAGUUUCAUCUUUUUAUUUGUAUUUUGCUCUUUAUAAUUAAUUAGAUUUCACAUUUAUGGUUCUUACGUAUUUUCUUAUUUAUCGUUUUAAUCCUUCAAUUUUUUUAUAUAUCAUAAAUAUUUCAAAUUUGUUCUUAUAUAUCCAAAUUUUACACAUAAAAUUAAAUAAAAUUUUCAAAAUAAGAUUUCGAAUAUCUUAAACAAGAAAUAGACAACACUAAUAUUACAAAAGAAACUUAAUAAAAAACUUCUUUAAAAGAAACAUAAAUACAUAAUUAUUACAAAAUUUAAAUAUUACAACAACACUAAUAGUUUGGCAAAUUUACUUUAGAACCUCCAAAAUCUCUUAAAUAAUGUCCACAAAAUUUUUGUGUAACCGAAUAUAUGGAAUAAUGUGAUAUUUUGGUUGUAGCUAAAUAUUUAAUUAUGUAUUUUUAUUUAAAAUAUUAUUUUAGUGUAAUAUUUUAUUAAUUAAUAUUACUGUAAUAUUUUAAUAUAUGUGCUAGUUAUUUAUAAUUUUUUUAAUGAAUUUAUAUUAGUUAUGAUAAAUGAAAAACUAUAGUGUAAAAUACAAAAAAAAUAAAAUUAAAUUUGAAGUUUUGCUUUUAGGAAAAAUGAAACUUCAAAUAUAAAAUUUUUCAAACUCUAAAAUAUAGAGUCAUCAUGGAGAUGCUCUAAUUACAAUAUUUACUGACUAAUGUUGACGUUGCAUUUACUUAUAAUUAGGAGGUUAAUGUUGCUGCAAGUGCAAUGAUAAUUAAUAUAUGAAAUUUUAAAAGUGAAAACCUAAUAUAUAUUUUAAUACUACACUGUUUUUGUAGAUUUUAGCUUUAUCAGUAGAAAAAACCCAUAACUUUAAGGGGCCCUAAAUUUAAACACUUAAUUAUCUAUAUUUGCCACCCAUUAAUAAAUUCAAGUACAAUUCAAACAUUUAAUUAUCUAUGACAUUUUGGCAAUUAAUAGGUAUUGUUUUGUUUUCUUGUAAAAAUGCACUUACAAUUAAUUGUGGUAGAAUAUAAAAAUAUCUACAUAAUUGUUUCCAUUCCUAUGUUGAUAAGAAUUUUUCAGUAUUUAUAAUUAUUUUACUAGUUUAAAAUUAUCAUAUGGUGAUACAUAUAUGUUAUUUUAUAUUUAACGAAUUUCACAAAAAAAAAUCAAAUUUCAUAAAUUAAAUUGUGCAUGUCUUAAUAAAAACAGGUCAUGUAAAAUUAAUUUUUUAUUAAGUCAUUUCAUUGAUUUUAUCAAAAAUAGAUGUGAUGAUGACACAAACAAUUUUGAAAAAAAUAAUUUCUUAAAUAAUAUUUUAGAGAUAUUUCUGUCUAUAUACUUAUUUAUAAUUAUCAAGUAAUGUAUGAUAAAAAUUGUGGUUUCUAUGCUGAAUUAAUAAAGUACAAGAUUUUUGAUCGGCACUUCGAAAGCGUGGAUUUAUGUUUGGUAUUAAAAGAAUUAUUUUAUAUGAAUUUCUAUAUAAAAUAUUGUAUAGUUAUAGGCAUAUUUAUCCGGAACUGAAGAAACGAAAAACCAAAACUAAAACCAAACGGAAGGAUGUCAAAAAAAAAAAAUACCGAAGUUCAUAAAUAACGUAAUGGAUCAUUUAUCUCUGGAACUAAAAAAACAAAAGCUUAACUACUAUUAGAUCUCAGCAUUCAUGGAUACUUUUUAAAACUUCGGAAAACAAUAUUUAGGUACUUCGGUUUUUCGAGUAAUUCAGUUUAUAAAUUAUAUUCUUAGUAUAUAUUUUUAAAUGGUGCCAAGAAAGCAUGUUAUUUGUACAAAUUAUUUAACUACUUUUAGUGGGAUACAAUAUGUAUUUUAUAGGCGAAUUUAAACCUAUUUUUUUAUAUUCAAGCCAAUUAUGCAGUCAAACGGGUAAACGCAGUGAUCCGCAUAUAAACCGUUUGGAUUUAGUGAAAACCUGUUGAUUAAAAAUCUUAUAAAUUUAUAAAAUCUGCCAUUAACCAAUGAUAUGACAUUGGUCGACCUGUGAUAUGACUCGACCGGAUAAAAACCAUUAGAUUUUUCUUAAAAAAAUUGAUUAAACCUCUCAUUUACUUUUUAAUACUACAUAAGAUUGAAUAAAGUAUUUUAUAAUAGUUUUAUAUUAUAACAAUCACGAUAGCUACGAUUUUUUUAUAUGGUCCAUAAUGGUUAUAUAUAGUUGUAAGUGUAUAUUUCAUGUCGAAGUGAUCAAAUAAUUUUUAAGUUUGUAUAAUAUGAUCUAUACGAAAUGUAAUGAGAUUAUAUUAUAUUAUAACGCAGGAUAUAAACGGUGAUUUUUUUUAUUGUUUAAUUAAGGCCCAACAUGUUAACAUUGUAAUAAUGGAAUUGAAUUUUUUUUUUUGACGUCGAAAGGCCAUUCUAGUGGAAUUGAUUUAAACGGUCAAUAACACAAUAAUGAAUUUAUUAAAAUGUUAUAUGAUAUCAUUUGGUUGCUAUAAUAGAGGUUAGUUAUAAAAUUUGAUUGUAUUUAAUAGGUAUGACUAAAAAUGAAUAGUUGCAACAAUCUUGCAUAAGUAGAUUUUUUAAGAAUCCAUCUCUUUUAAUAGUAUAGAUGUUGGGAUCAAAAUCGGUAAUGACGAAAUCAAUGCCGAAAUGUUAUCGAGAAACCUUCCUAAAACAAAAUAAUAAUAAGGAAAAUAAAACUUCGUAUUCUUAAGACUAUUACCCGACAAGGGACCAUUCAAACCAUCGAACGAACAAUUCCCGAUCAUCGGAACAACCAAACCAGCAUCGUCCAACCCAUCAGAGAAGUUGGAUUAGCCAAGGCCAACUCGCCCAACGGCGAGCUGGAUCAGUCUUGUCCAGACUUGCCUUUGCCAAGUUGGAUCAGUCCAGAACCAUGUAUUCUCGUCUCCAGAACUCCCCCCUUCAGGCCUUGGUCAAACUGUCUCUUGUUUCGUCUCAAUCGGAGUUACCGUUGAAAAUUUACAGAAAAUCGACAAAAGCUUAUUUUCGCGUAAAUGUUUCGAUCAAUCGUAUAAAGACAAUAACGGUUAACUUAACACCAUGGUUAUCUUGAAUAUAUGAUUUAUUUGGAUUAUCUCGCAAAACCAGCAUCGUACUGGAAGUUACUCUUUUGAAAAGAAAUAGUAAAAACUUUUUCAUUGAAAAACGGCCCAAAGGGUUUAAAACGCGACAAAAGUCCACUUACAAUUUUUAAUGAGAAACGGCCCGAAGUUACUAUGACGAUUUAUUGAAUAAUCGUGAGAAGAGAUAAAUAUCAAAUUUGAAGAUAAAUAUCAAGUUUGGAGAUAAAUGUCAAUUUCGGAAGUAAAUGUUAAAGUUUCAAAGAAUAAUCAUGAAGAUCGAAAAAAUGGAAUAUUUUCGCCAAAGGAUGAACUCGACCCAAAAGCGAAAAAGGAAGGCUCAAACCAGCCUAGGAGGAGUAUAUAAGGGAUUUCGAAGGCGAGUAGCGCAAAAAGAGAAUUUGGACUCAGAAAACUUAGCACUUAGAGCAAUUUAGGCAAAUUUUCUGUUUUAGUUAUCGAGCUGCGACUCAAUUAAGUUUUCAAGUCUUACGAAGCUUCGCGGAAGAAGACUUGAUUUUAAGACUCCGCUUAACAGACUGGGGAGCACGCAUGAUAACCCUAAAGGAGAACGCCCUGGCGAUAUAACCUCUGCUGUGACUCGGAAAACCUUCCACCCCCCGUGCGGGAAUUGGAGGAGUACAACGUCGAACGAGUUAACUUGGAGCCCAGCGAUCAGUUCGAUCAUUCAAACGAGGAUGCGGACGUGCAUCCAAGGAGGACCAGGAGCCACAAAAAUCGGCUAGAUUCUUCGUUCGAGAAACCCAUGACAGAAGAAGAGGAAAACACCUUCUGGGCCAAACAAGAAAAACUCGCUGAGGAACAGGCUCAAAUCACUCACAACAAACGCCAACAAACUCGGAAAGCCGCUGACGGUGAUCUCGAUGAAAUCUGCGAUCUCCGGGAUUACAUCACCUGAGAUUGACAGGCUCCUCGAGGAAUCUCGAAAGACUCGCUUCACCGCUAGCAUUACCGAGACAAAGGUUUCAGACCCUGGAAACCUUUCAGAUCGCCAUGGGGAAGGCCAUGCUAAAGGGAAACGAAAGAGACGCCGGCCAUUGCCGCCUCUUCGUCGACAAUAUCCAGGGAGCAGCGCUCGAGUGGUUGUCCCGCCUUGGGCGAAAUUCCAUCGAAAGUUUCCAUCAACUCACUUCGGAAUUUCUCAAACAAUACUCUAUAUUCAUAGAUAGAGAAACUUCUGACGAUGAUCUCUGGAGCCUUACCCAGAAGGAGGAGGAAUAUCUCCGCAACUUCUUGAACAUGUUCAAGCUCGUCAUGGCAAUAGUUAGUGGAAUAAGCGAUAAGGUGGCAAUAAACACACUCAUGAAGACGCUCUGGUACAAGUCGAAGUUCCGAAAGUGGAUAACUCUCGGCAAGCCGUGGACAAUCCAAGACGCCCUCCAUAAGGCAACAUAUUACAUCACCAUCGAAGAAGAGAUGAAAGUUCUGUUGCAAAAACAUAAGUCGACAAAAACAUCCUCGAAAGAUGCGGCAUCAGAUCAGAAAUCAAAGAAGAGGAAUUCUCGUUACGACAAGUGCGUCCGUCACGAGGGUGAAGAACUCUAGGGGGCACAUAACUAUGCUAUUAACUCCGAACAAGGAAGGACGUCGGGAAAUACGUGGACUAAAAAUUCGGGAUACAAUGACUUCGUCUUUCACGAGUUUCACCAGACACGAGGACACUCAACCGUAAACUGCAAAAUACUCGGCGCGAGGUUAGCCGUGAAAUUACUCGCAGGAGAAAUAUCUGAAGUCACUGGUAUUAAGGAUCUCAUCUGUGAUUCCGAUUGCCCACCGAAAACUGAUAGAACCCUAGAGAAUCCUUCUUAAAGGAAUCAAUCAGGCGAAAAACACAGAAGAAGGCAUGACGACAAAGGAAACGACAAUAAUCGUCGCAGAGUGAACAUGAUCAUCGGCGGAUCACAAUACUGCCAUGACACUGUCUCGUCCAUCAAGGUCUACCAGCGGAAAGCUGAAACAAGCAUGAACUAGACGACCGCGUCUCCGCCUUGCGACGUACCAAACGGCGUGAUCACCUUUGAGGAGAAAGAGACUGGUGGAAUUGACCAGCCCCAUUGCAACCCGCUCGUUAUUGAUGUCGUAAUCAGAGAUCUCGCGGUCGCAAGGAUCCUAGUCGACACAGGAAGCAUGGUCAAUGUUAUCUUCUGCGACACUCUCAAUAGGAUGAAUAUUGAACAGGGUGAAGUCGUACCAACGCCGAAACCGCUGACCGGGUUCUCGGGUAUAACGUCAAUGACGCUCGGCUCGAUUAAGCUCCCGGUGAUGGCGAAAGAAGUCACGAAAAUCACCGACUUCGCGGUGGUAGACCACCCUGCCAUCUACAACGUGAUCAUGGGAACGCCUUGGACAAACUCCACGAAGACAGUUCCAUCAACAUAUCACCUAGGCAUCAAAUUCCUGACUCCCAACGGAAUCGCUGCAAUCUGGGGAUGCGAAAGAACAGUCGCGACUUUGCUUCCUAGACGAACACAAACUUCGACAAGCCACGACGACCUCUAUGUUCAAACCGAAAUGAACGAAGACAGCUCAGAAAACAUCUGAAAAAGCUUCGAAGAAGGAUGAUCCAAAAUGAUUCACUCAGGCAACGGCCACGGAAAACAAGAAAGUUCCCGAGCCCAUUGCUUCAGACAUCCCAGAAAAAUCAAAUCCGGAAGAAAUCGCCAAUCUAGUAACAGUCACCGCGACUAAUAUGUCUGACGCAAUCUCGCCAAACGAGUAAGAAACACUCACGACACAAACUAAACUACGAGAUGACUUGAUCCUCGAAAGGAGUACGUAGGCAAUUCGUCACAAGACGAGUUUAGCUAUCCCCCUCUCUAAAAAACGGGGAGGGAGUGGGUACGUAUAUGUAUACUCGUAUACUCCCACAUUUUAAAAUAUCCAUCCAUGUACUCGAUAUUUUUAAUUUUUUUACGAUAAUAAGAAAAACUCAAUAUGAUUUCCUAUAAAAUCUCGCAACUCACUUUAUCGUAUCUUGCAAUUCGCUUUUGGCCACGAUGGCAGUCGGCGAUUCGCUUAAAAACGCUCAAAUACAAAGCAAAAUAGUAUCUCGUAAAACCGGCAUCGUACUGGAGGUUACUCUUCCGAAAAAAUUGUAAAAACGUUUUCGUCGAAAAACAGCCCAAAGGAUCUAAAACGCGGUAAAAACCCACUUACGAUUUUUAACGAGAAAUUGGCCUGAAGUUGCUAUGAUGGUUUAUCGAAUAUUCGGGAAAAAGAUAAAUGUCAAGUUUGAAGAUAAAUGUCAAGUUUGGAGAUAAAUGUCAAUUUCGGAGGUAAAUGUUGAAGUUUCAAAGAAUAAUCAUGAAAAUCGUAAAUAUGGAAAUUUUCCGCCAAAGGAUGAACUUGACCCAUAAGCGAAAAAGGAAAGCCCAAACCGACCUAGGAUGAGUAUAUAAAGGAUGUGAAGGCAAGAGGCGCAAAAAGAGAAUUUGGACACACAGAAAACUUAAGACUUAGAGUGAUUUGGGCAAUUUUUCGUUUUUGUUAUUGAGCUGCAACUCAAAUAGGUUUUCAAGUAUUAGGUUGUUAAAACUAGGAUUUCGCCGACAGCUCUUACGGCCAAGGCUUUACCUGUUCUAAACGCUUAUACGCAAAUUCGGAAUACGAUCAUCUUUGCUCUAUUUUUGUUUCUAUCAAUUUAAUACAUUGUCCAUUUUUCGUGUUCUGAUUGCUUGGCAUAUGGUUUAGCAUAUACCCGGGACCUUGGGAAAAUUUAGGGUUCCUAUCUUUUCUAAUCUGACGAAAAUCAACAGUGCAAAUUUGGGUUCCCACAAUAGAUAUCUUAUAUAAAUAUAUACUAUUAAAAAUGAAGGAUUAUUAAAAAAUAUACGUAUGAAAGGUUGCUGCACCUAGUCAUUAUAUUUUAGUCUUACCGUUAUUUUCUAUAACAAUCAAUUCAAAACAAUAAACACAUAAUAUACUUUUUGGAAAUAUCGUUGGUUUGUUUUCGUUAUUAUAUUUUACGACAUUAUGAUUUAUUUAUUCAUCUAAAAUUAUUAAAUGUAUUUUCUGGUGUAGUAAUAUCAGUGAAAUAUAUGUAUCUCAUUAUAACACGCAAAUGUGAAAUAUUCAAAGCAUAUUAUUCAAUUUAUGUUCCUUAUAUAUGUAACAUAAUUUAUUGGCCGUUUGAUCAUAUAUUCAUAUUUUAUUUUUAAUCACUUUUCGAUCAUGUUAUUAAACUGUAAAAUAUUAGAAUUUACAGUUUAUACAAUUAUAAAAUUAUUGGCUUUCUUAUGUGUACUUAUACUAAAUUUUAUGCAAUUAUAAUUUUUUAGGUUUUUUCAUAUUUUUAAUAAAUCAUUUUUUUUAAAUCCGAAUUUUGUAAGAACAUAUUAGUUGGUAAAACCUCUGAUAGAAUGCUACAUGAAGAACAUAUGCCACUCCAGAUUAUAUAUGGCUAUCGGGUUUAUCAGUUCGACCACAUAUCAUGAUCGGAUAAAAACACUGCUUAUAUCUUAAUUCGUUUGUAAGCCACAUAUGUAUUCCUAGUAAAAGGAUUUAAACAAUUUGUAAAAAUAGAAUACUUUUCGUACUAUUUAAAUGUAGAUGGACUGUUAGUCUUUAGCAUUCUGUUUUGAUUUGAGUAUUUUGAGUUUUGGUGUUUUGGUUCUCUAAAUUUAGGACAAUUAUUUACAAAGUUUGGUUUGGUUUGAUUUUAGUUGGUUUGUUUUAUUUUAUUUUAUUUGGUUCAUUGGCAAAGUUGAGAAUCGCUUAAAUUGCAAAAAAUAAAUUGGGUCUAAUUAAAUUAUGGUUUGAUUCUGGUUUUCCAGAUAAUUUCAAAUUUAUAGGUAAAAAUAUUGGAUACUUUGGGAUUAUCAGUUCAAAUAACAUGUAAUUUUGGUUGUUCGGAUAAAAAUCUCAGAUAAUUCGAAUACUUUACAUAAUUUAAAAUUUUUUUUGGGUAAUUCGGUUUAUAUAUAAUACUUUUAAAAUAUUUGGUUAUUUAGAAAUUAAAUGUAAUUAAUAUUAGUAAGUAUAUACUUUGUAUUUUAAAAAUUCAUUUACCCUUUUGGUUCUCCGUUACUUAUGAAAUCCAAUUUAUUUUUAGUUUCAGAAUUUUCAGUUUGGUACAAUUUAGUUCGUAGUUCCGAAUAAAUGUGAUUAAAUCUAUACAAUAUAUUAUGUAGAAAUACAUUUAAAAUAUUUUUUGUAAUGUCAAAAACAAACCUUUCCUUUUCAAGCGCAGAUCAAAAUCUAGUGUGUUUUUAAAAUAUAAACAAGAGCAGUAUCCAAUGUUUGAAAUUAAACAAAAAUCUUCUCUCGAGUUGUACUGAAACUUUUAUUUUAGACUUAUUCUUGGGUUCACCCCCUAUGGUGAACCUCUAGGUUCACCAACCAAUAGGAUUAUGUUAUUUCAAAUUUGAUAUCUUUUAUAAAAGAAAACAAAAUAUUAUCAAGUUAUAUUAUGUUUUUAAAAUAAAAAGAUAAAAAUAUAAAAAUAGUAGUAAUUACAAAAAAAAUAUUUUUAAGUCGUCAGAAAAAAACUAAACCCUAAAUCCUAAUCCAUAAAUCCGAAACCCUAAACCCUUGGGUAAACCAUAAAUCUUUGGAUAAAUCAUAAACUCUAAAUCAAAAACAUUAAACACUAAAACACUCAAGGGUUUAGGAUUUUAGUGUUUAGUGUUUUUGAUUUAAAAUUUACAAUUUAUCCAAGGGUUUAGGGUUUACCCAAGGGUUUAGGGUUUACCUAAGGGUUUAGGGUUUCGGAUUUAGGGUUUAGGAAUUAGAAUUUAGGGUUUAGUGUUUUGCUGACGACGUUAACAAUAUUUUUUUAAAAAAAAUCUUUUUUUUGUAACUACUAUUUUUUUACCUUUUUAUUUUAAAAACAUAAAAUAACUUGACAAUAUUUUGUUUCUUUUUUUAAAAAAUAUCAAAUUUGAAAUAACAUAAUCCUAUUGGUUGGUGAACCUAGAGGUUCACCUUAGGGGGUGAACCCAAAAAUAACUCUUUAUUUUAUGAGUUAUUCUUGGGUUCACCCCCUAGGGUGAACCUAUAGGUUCACCAACCAAUAAGAUUUAGUUAUUUUAAAUCUGGUAUCUUUUAAAAAAGGAAACAAAAUAUUGUCAAAUUAUAUUACGUUUUUAAAAUUAAAAAAAAAUAUAAAUAAAUAAAAUAAUAGUAGUUGCAAAAAAGAACGUUUUCAAAAAAAAAAUUAAUACCAUAAACAAAACACUAUACUCUAAAUCUAAACCCUAAACCCUUCGGUAAACCCUAAACCCUUUGAUAAAUUUUAAAUUCUUGAAUUAAAAAAAAAUGUUUUUAACACAAUCAACAAAACACUAAACCGUAAAUCCUAAUCCUAAACCCUAAACCCUUGGGUAAACCCUAAACCCUUGGAUAAAUCCGAAAUUUUUGGAUCAAAUCUUAAACUUUAAGAUUUAUGAUUUAUUCAAGAGUUUAGGAUUUACCUAAAUGUUUAGGGUUUAGGGUUUAAUAUUUGUUGGCAACGUUAAAAAUACUUUUGAAAAACAAAUUCAUUUUUUGUGAUUAAAAAAUCUUUUUUCGUAAUUAAUAUAAUUUUUAUUUUAAAAAUAUAAUAUAAUUCGAUAAUAUUUUGUUUCCUUUUUUAAAAGAUACUGAAUCUAAAAUGACACAAUCUUAUUGGUUGGUGAACCUAGGGGGUGAAUCCAAGAAUAAGUCUUAUUUUAUGGGUAUGAUAUUAUAGUAUUUUUGAAAAACAUAAAAUCAUAUAUUCCCUCUCGAAUGUUGCGGUCAAUUUCGUUGGCAUUUUCCUUUUCAAAUAUAAACAAUACACGUUAACUAGUGCCCCUGCGUUUUAAACAUUUUGUCGCCUGAUAAUUCCUACAAUUUCACUUGGCUUCUGGUGAGCUAACGUCACAGGCUGAGGAUGGUGCAAGAUGGAUCAAAACCCAAGUCAAUGUAAAAGAUCAUGUAUUCGUACCAGACAUAGACCCUGAUGAAAUUGGUGACCAAGGAGACAAAUUCGUAGAGGACUACAUUUCACGACUUACAAUGCUUCCUCUUGAUAGAUCAAGACCCUUGUGGGAUAUCCACAUCCUCAACGUCAAAACAUCUGAUGCAGAAGCAAUCGGUGUCAUAAGAUCUCACCAUUCGUUGGGAGAUGGAAUGUCACGUAUGUCUCUCAUCUUGGCGUGUACUCAUAAAUCAUCAGACCCUGAAGCGCUUCCUACUAUUCCUAUCCUUAAACGACGUGAAAACGUGUCACACGGCCUUAGAAACACAGGCUGGUUCUUAAGCUCGAUGUUUGCCAUUUAUGCCACAGUGAGAUUGAUUUGGAAUACCAUUGUAGAUCUUCUGUUACUCUUGGCUACGGUGUUGUUUCUGAAGGAUACAGAGACGUCUCUAAAAGGUGGUGCAGAAGCCGAGAGCAAUGCGAAGAGAUUUUCUCAUCGAAUUGUUUCUUUAAAUGACGUAAGACUUAUAAAAGACAUCAUGGACAUGGUAAUUAAGUUUAAAUAGUUUCGGUUUGAAUACUUACUAUAAUUUCUUAACACUACAAGAAAACUCAAGCUUAACGAGGAAUAUUAACGAGGAAAAAAAAUCAUCGUAAGUUUCCGUCAACUUUACGAGGAUUUUACGUGAAUAACGGUAUCAUCGUUAUUUCCUCGUAAACUAACGACAAAAACCGUUCGUCGUAAAGUCGAUGUAAUGUGACGUGUCAUUUACGAGGAAAUAACGAUGAUAUCAUGUUUCACGUACGUUCCUCGUAAAGUGGACGUAAACUUCGCGUCUUAUUUACGAGGAAACUAUUUACUUGGAUUUAGCGAGGAAAUUUUAAAUCCACCAACUUUGUAAGUGACACACGUUUUUUUUUUUGCACCUAAUUAAUUUUGAAUCCACCAACUUUGUAAGUGACACACGGAGAUUAUUGAAGUCGAAUUUCCAGGGAUACUGAAGCUGAAAUGCGUCCUCUUCAAAUGUGAAUGGUUCGACCCCGUCGUCAACAGAGGUGUUCGGUCUAACAAAUUCGGUGUAGUUGAUGUCAACGGUGGACGACGGUACAACAAAUUCGAGCCUUUCAUCUUAGCUUCACAAGCAGACCAAGUUAGCUUCCUUCCAUACUCUCGGAUGAGAGAUUCGGGUAUAAAUUGGUUAGUAGUGAUCAAAGUAACACCUCGAGGACGAAUCAUCAGUGGAGAAGAACCACCAUUGCAAGAAGAACAGAUAAAUGAAGUCGAGGAACCUGAACAAGAAAUUGAUGACAUCCUUCUCAUUGAUCCGCAUAAUCACGAGUACGAAGAUCUUACCGAUGAUGCCACAGACGAAGCUGUUGAAGACGAGUUUAAUGAAAAUGAAGACAUUUCUAGUGAUGACGAGAAUGUCGAUGAAUCCGAUUGAUGUAUUUUCGAUUUUGUGUAGUUUGUUUUAUGAAUAAGGUAAUGUGAGAGUUUGUUUUAUGAAUAAGGUAAUGUGGGAGUUUGUUUUGUGAAUAAGAAAAUGUGGGAGUUUGUUUUAUGAAUAAGUAAAAGUGGGAAUUGUGGUUUGGAAUAUAUGAAUUAGAAGAUAAGGAAUUGUGGUUUGGAAUGAAAAUAAAGAUAUGGUUUGAAAUAUAUGAAGUAGAAGAUAAGGAAUAUGGGGUUUGGGGUUUCGGAUUUUAGGGAUUUAAACGGAAUACUCGUUAAUUCCUCGUAUGUUGACGUCGAACUUACGACGAAUUCCUCGUUUAUUCCACGUAGGAGAGAUUCGUCGUAAAUACCACGUAGGACAAAUUCGUCGUAAAUACCACGUAGGAAAGAUUCGUCGUAAAUACCACGUAAAAUAAAUGAUGAACGCGGCCCACUUUAAUUCCACGUAGGACGGAAUCGUCGUAAAAACCACGUAACCAAAAUCGUCGUAAACACCUCGUACUGUAAAAACUAGAAAAAAAAAGAAAAAGAAGAAAUAUACUCGAUUUUGUGUAGUUUGUUUUAUGAAUAAGGUAAUGUGAGAGUUUGUUUUAUGAAUAAGGUAAUGUGGGAGUUUGUUUUGUGAAUAAGAAAAUGUGGGAGUUUGUUUUAUGAAUAAGUAAAAGUGAGAAUUGUGGUUUGGAAUAUAUGAAUUAGAAGAUAGGGAAUUGUGGUUUGGAAUGAAAAUAAAGAUAGGGUUUGGAAUAUAUGAAGUAGAAGAUAAGGAAUAUGGGGUUUGGGGUUUCGGAUUUUAGGGAUUUAAACGGAAUACUCGUUAAUUCCUCGUAUGUUGACGUCGAACUUACGACGAAUUCCUCGUUUAUUCCACGUAGGAGAGAUUCGUCGUAAAUACCACGUAGGACAAAUUCGUCGUAAAUACCACGUAGGACAAAUUCCUCGUUUAUUCCACGUAGGAGAGAUUCGUCGUAAAUACCACGUAGGACAAAUUCGUCGUAAAUACCACGUAACCAAAAUCGUCGUAAACACCUCGUACUGUAAAAACUAGAAAAAAAAAAGAAAAAGAAGAAAUAUACUGGAUUUACAUGUGGCAAGACUUCCAGCAAUUAUAUUACUUAAGUCUCACCAACAUAAAUUCCAAUAUCAUCUUCUCUUCCUUUUUUCUCAAAUUUUUAUAAUUUGAAUAGGAUUGGAUUUGAGAGUAUGAUGUGAGAUAGGGUGUGAUUUGGGAGUUUGGGUGUGGGUUGAGAAGGAGAGUUACGGGUAUAUUUAUAGGGAAGCUUUCCUCGGUAAUUCCACGUAAGCAAAAUAGUCGUAACGUCCUCGUACCUAAAAAACACGGGCCUUUGUAAUUCCUCGUAACUUCCUCGUAUAAUAAAACGCGGGCCUUUGUAAUCUCUCGCUGUUUCGUCGUAAAAAAAAACACGGGCCUCUGUAAUUCGUCGUAAAAUUACGAGGAAUUUGCGACGGAAUGUAAUCUUAUAUAUACACCCCGAGCGCUCACUCUUUCUUUCCUCUCUACUUCCUCUCCACUUCCUCCCUGUUUCGUUGCAAUGGUAAGCCUCUCUAAUUCCUCUCUAAUUUGGUUAGUUUAGGUAGAUUAGGUGGUUAGUAUAGGGAAUUUAGAUAAGUUUACGGAUCUUAUGUUAUUUAGUGUUGAUUAGGUGGAUAAUGUUGGAAAAUAUAUGUUGACGAAAAUUUAAAAAAUUAAAUUUUUUUCUCAGGUUCGAAAAGGUAGACUUACUGCCCAUUACAGAGAGAUGUUCGGUGAGCCGGGUAAUCGUUUAGACCCGUCGUCUUCAUCAGCUCCCGGUUCUUCGGGACAAGAGACUGUCCCCGAGACUCAGUACACUCAGAGAGUCUUUGGGUCUCCUUCUUCUAGAGGACCAUCGGUUCCUCCUCCCCCGAUGACCAUGCGACAACGAAAUCCUAUUCCAGGCGAGUCAACAUCCGACACACAUACCGAGGCGGAUGUAACGGCGAGGAGUGAUGAAUUCUAUCGGGCGAUUCACGACCCUUAGUUCUUUUUAAUUUCGGUUCUUGUAUUAUGAAUUCAAAACUUAUUUAUAUAUAAAAUAUUUUGGUUUUGAUUUUUUUAGAAUUUUAAUUUUAUUAAUAAUUUAAAUUAUUUAAAUUAUUUUUUUAAUUAUAAUUUUUUAUAUUUCUGUAAAAUAACGAAACGAAGUAAAUUCGUAGUUAAUUUUGCGACUUCUUUACGUGGAAGCUUAACGAGGUUUUUACGAGGAAUUGUUUACAAGGAAAUGACGUGGAAAGUUCACGUGGUCUUUACGAGGAAAGCUAUCAAGAUAUUUACGUUUACUUUACGAGUAUUUACUUUCGAGUUAUUUACGUGGGUUUUACGAGGAACGUCUUUCGUGGUAUUUACGAGGAAAUUUAGCGACGUCCUUACGUGGAAGCUUUACGUGGUCUUUACGACGAAAUAUUCCUCUUUGCUUUUACGACGAAAUUAUUUCCUCGCUAUGUUACGACGAAUUAGCGAGGAUAUAUGCGUUACGACAAACGUAUAACGACGAAACGGGUUUCUUCGCUAAUUCCUCGUAACACUGCUUUUACGACGAAGUCACGAGGAAAACUGCCCUCGUAAAACUUGUGUUUUCUUGUAGUGUAAAGACAACACUUUCUCAAACAAAAUUAAGUGUUUUUCUUGUUUCCUGAUCUUGUGACCAUUUCUAGACUAUCAACGAUGUUUUACUUGGAGUUACACAAGCUGCUCUCUCGCGCUAUCUAAACGGAGCACAUGGUAAAUAUCGACUUGCAAUAAAAACAUAUUACAUGUGAUUUAUAUGUCUUAAUGUUUAUUUUGGAUUUACGUGUUGCUUCUUGACCUAAUAAAAGACAAGACGAAUGAGAAUGGUGGAACAUCAAGACCGCUUCUAAAUAAUAUUCCAUGUAAUAUACGAGUUCGUGCAGGAGUUUUGGUAAACCUAAGGUCGGAAAUUGGAGUCCAGGUUAGAAACAUGCACCUUUGAAUACACUGUAUACACCAUUGUUCAAAGAUAUAGAAAAAAAUACAUGUAUUGUGACACGAGGCAAUUAUGAUUGAAGCCAUUGGCAGAUAUGAUGGCAAAAGAUUCGAAAUGCAGAUGGGGAAACCUUAUCAACAUAGUUGUUUUACCACUGUCGAUUGGUCCAGAAACCGAUCCAUUGGUCUAUCUAUCGAAAGCUAAAUCCACGAUGGAUCAAAAGAAGAACUCUCUUCAUGCUCCUAUACUUUAUUUGAUUAUGAGCUUCAUUGUUAGUGUGUUUGGUGCAAAGGUAUAUAAAAAUGAUCGUCAUACUCGAUUUCUUUCCGCUGUGAGAAAGUGGGGAACUUAUAAUAUAAGACUCUUAUCAUUUUAGAUAGGAGCAGCAUUGUUCAAUCGAUUAUUAUUAAGCACAACGGCAUUCAUUUCAAACGUCAAUGGCCCAACCGAAGAAAUCAGUUUCCAUGGCCAUCCAAUCGCUUAUAUCGCUCCUAGCGUCUAUGGACACGCACAAGUAUGUAAAGAGCCAAAGAACUACUUAGUCCAACCUUUUUCUUCUUAAUAAUUUUCUUUGUUUUUAUUCUUAAUAAAUUUAUGUUUGUGUUUGACAGUCACUGCUGAUCCAUUUCCAAAGUUACGCGGACAAAAUGGUAAUCUCGAUAGCGGUUGACCCUACAAUCAUACCAGAUUCGCACAAGCUAUGUGAUGCAAUGGAGGAGUCUUUGAAAUCUAUGAAAAUUGCUCUUUUAGGAAAAGGGCUACUGAUUAACGAAGAAGUAUCCGUACGGGUGAAUAAUAUGUGUAAGUAAGUAGUCUUUGUUUUGUGGAAAAAGAUGAUGUUCUUAAAAAGCCUUCAAUGUCAAUUCUUCGAAGUUAUUUUCAAAUCUUAUUUCAUAUUGGAUGAGAUGAGAGUAUAUUUUCUAAACAGAGUAUUAGUUAUGAACUUACGUAUCAUAUAGUAAAUCGAUAUCCACUCCCAACUAAACUAAAAUAAUUUAAUUCAUACUUUGACCAUAGUGGAUAAUCUGCUUAUAUAAACUUGAUAUCUUACUGUUAGAUGCUCUAUCAUAGUAACUUAGUACAUAUUGAGAGUAACAAUGUAAAAGAGUGUGCUGACUCAUUCCUACGCUCAUGAAGACGAAAAGCAUAAUAUUGCCUCAUACUAAUUGUCUGUUUCUUCAGCUUCUUAGUAGCUUCCGUUACUCCUUUCUGAAUACCAAGCUUAAAUUCAUCUUUUCCAUAUGUAAAUAAUAGAGGAUACUGUAGUGCUAGAUAUGAGGGAUGUAUCUCAUUAAUCCUUAUUAAUUUUCCAGAAUGUUUUUGAAGUACUAUAUCUCUUUUAUCUAUAUCAAGAUUAAAAUCUCCAGGAAUCAAAGCUGCAACCUCUGAUGAUGUUGAUGUGUUGUAUGUUCUGCCAUCCUUUAGACGAUCACUAAUGAUCCUCAUAUGAAAAGCUUCUUGAGGAUUAGUACUAAAUCGUUCUCCUGCUGAUCUGAAGUUCUUAACAUAUGGAUUCACUUCAUCUAAGACUUUCAUCAAAACUUCAAUAAUUUAUUUCUUCAAGUUGUCCUUUUGCUUGCCUUUAAAACUCCUUUUACCUUGGCUGCAGUUCAAACGAUAAUUAUUAGAUUAAAAUUCCUGUGAUACCAUAUCGAUCAUGACAUGGAAGAAGUUAUAGAAGUUCAAUACAAAGAGAAAUAUGUUUUAAAGGAGAAAUUAAUUUUGAUAUUUAUAGAUUCGAAACCGAAUCUGAUCCGAACCAAAGUAUUUCGGAUACUCAAAUAUAUCCAAAAAAGGUUUAUAUACUUAUACAUAUUAAUUAUUUUUAGAUUUAAUGUAUAUAAAAACAUACAUAAUGCAUAUGAUACUUUUAAGUUGGUUUAAACACUUGAAAAUAUCUACAAAUAGUCAAAUAUAAAUAUCUAAAAAAAAUUUAAAGUAUACUCAAAAUACCAAAAAUAUUAAAAAUAAUUAUUGAUUAUCGAUCCAAAUAUUUAAAACAAACCAAUUUAAAUGUUAAGUUUAGGUAUUCUAAAAAUAAUGUGAUGAUCAAUAGAAUUCACACAAAUAUUUUUGAAUUAAAAGAAUACAACAAAUAAAUUUCAAUAUAUUAAUUUCUCAAAAAUAAAAAAGAAGUGGAAUUUAUUUGGCAUAUAAGAAGUUUAGAGACAUAUCUAUCUAUCUUUUUUUUUUGACAACAAAUAUUCACACACUCAUGUUGACUCUGUGAACCAAAGUGGUAACUCUGCAUCCAUAUGUACGACGAAAGACGGUUGAUUCCGAGCACUGUGUGCUAAACUAUCCGCCUUAAGGUUCGCCGUCCUAGGAACAUGAAUGAUUUCUGAGUUGAGGAAACUUUUUCUGGGAAGCUUUAUGCCUUCCAGGUAGCUUUCAAAUGCUGGUCAUUCUUCUGGUUCCGAAACUAUUUUCACCAAUUGAGAACAAUAUGUUGCAAACGUAACCUGAAACUGUCUUAAAUUCUUCCAUUGACAUAUCUAUCUAUCUUAUUAAAGCGAAAACACAUUUAAUUUUGGAAAUAUAGAUUUAUUAAGACACAUAAACAUAAUAAUUGGUGUUUUAGUUUAUUAAUAAUUACAUCAAAAAUUGUUUUAGUUAAAAAAAUUAAUUGACAAAUAUGUUAUAUAACAUAUUAUUUUGAUAAGUUUUGUAUCCAACUGCAAUGUGAGAAAUCAACAAAUUAUACAUAAUUAGAAAUCGUAAAUCUACACAAAUAUUGUAUAUUACAAAUUGAACAAACACCCAUAUGAAUGGAUCUUAAUGCAACCAUUAUAUUUUUAUAUUGUUAAGACUUUAUAUAUUUAUUCUUUUAAACAAACACUCGUGCGGGUGCACAGAUCAAGAUCUAAUAUUUUUAUUAAUUUAUAGGACUAUUAAAAUCAAUUAAUUAAAUUAAUUUCAUAUACAAAUUAAUAAAAUCAUAAUUUAGAAGAAAAAAAACUAUUUCAUGUGUAUAUAAAAGAUUGAUGUAUUAAUAAAAAAUAAAUACACAAUUUUAUUUAUUGAUUUUCAGUUUAGUUUUUAAGUUUUGUUUGCUUCCUGUACCACUUACAUUUUUACAUUUUAAUUUAUGUUUUAGUUUUAAAAGAAAAUAUAUUAAUUCAAAUUUAAAAUGUCAUUUUUUACAUACAAAAAAACAACACCUAAAGCAUCCGUUUUUUUUGUGUGUACAAGAGAGUAUUAAUUUAGUAACACAGAACAUUUUCUGAAACUUUAAUUUUGUUAAAAUAACAAAAAGUACAUAGUUAAAUGUUUUAGUGAAAAUUAUAAGCUGGAUAAAGAUCCAUACUUUUGGAUUAUAUGGUACAUUUGCAAAGUGAUAAACAAUAAGUUAUUCAAAGAACUAGAUAGGGACCCAUUGAAAAAUGUGCUGAAGUCGAAUUUCAUGUCUGGUUUGAAGCUACUCGUAAACAAGAAGAACCAGCGGAAAUACAAUAUCCUAAACAAAUAACAAUCUCUUAGCGAUAUAUGAUAGAUGGAUCAUGGUCUGCUUUUCAACUGAGUUGAAAGAACUGAUCAAGCUGAAAAAUAAAUUUGCAGAGUUCUCGAUUGUUUUUAUUUCUCGUACUGAAAAAAUAAUGUCUCAUUCAUUAGCCAAAAUAACAAAAUCUUUUCAUAGGAACAUGUACUAUGUUAGUUGUUUUGUUCCAGUGUGAUUCUAAAGAUUCCGCAAGUUUGAUUAAUAGAAUUAGUCGUUUGAAUAAAUAAUGUCUCAGUGAAACAAACAUAUACAAAACUAUCAUUUUAAAUGCAUCCUAGCUAAAAAUUAUUUACUUUAGCUUCUUUUUUUUCUUUCGUUUUGCCUAUUAGUAAUUAGCAGUGUGAAGUAAAAGAAAAAAGCUGGACAAUAAUAAUUCUGGAACCGUCUCGAUUUGGGGCAAGCAGAGCAAAACCCCAGCAUGGCGAUCAUCUCAGAGGUUGAAGAGGAAAGCAGCAGCCGACCCUCGAUGCUGCCGUUCAGGGCGACCUUCGAUUCUUCCGACCCAUUAGGUUUCUUGCAGAAAGUGUUCGACUUUCUCGGCGAACAGAGCGAUUACCUCAAGAAACCCUCCGCGGAGGAGGAGAUCGCCGCCGUGGUAAGGGCAGCCAAGGAGAAAUUGAAUAAAGCGGAGAAGGAGAGUGUUGAGAAGAAGCCUGCUGAUCCUGUUGAGGUGAAGGACAGUGUGAAGCCCACCAUGGCUGCGUCAAGCUCAAAGCCUUUGGAAGAUAAGAAAGAUGGUCCCAUUGGUAAAUAUCAAAUCUUUUUCUUUUAAAGAAGAGAUCUUUUCACAUUUGUGUGUUCAUUGGUCUUGAUCAUAUGAUAUUGGAGAGGAGUUUUAGCGUUUGAAUCAAUGAACUUGCUCUUCUUAGGUAUCAAGGCAUCAUCAGUAUUUUUUAGUUCUUUAUCAUGUGUUAUAUCAUUCUUGUGUCAACUUGUAUAAAACGACUAUGAUCCUUGGAGAGGAGUCUUUAGCUUGAACCAGUGAACUGUUUAGUCGAUCCAUCAUCAGUGUUCACCUAUCACCAGUGUUAAUAUCAACCACUUGAGGAGGAAAUUUUUGAGUUCUGGAACAUUGAUGUCUCUCUUGUCUACUAAGUGUAUUUGAUGAGCAUCGCUUUUCUCUUGUUCGGUGGAGUUAAAUUUGUGUUUUGUUUCUAAUCUAUGCAGUUCCUAACAAAGGUAAUGGAACUGAUCUUGAGAACUACUCAUGGGUCCAGACUCUCCAGGAGGUCACAGUUAAUAUUCCAGUGCCUACUGGCACUAAAGCACGCUCUGUUGUUUGUGAGAUUAAGAAGAACCGUCUUAAGCUUGGUCUCAAAGGGCAGGAUCCAAUCAUCGAUGUAAGUUCAUCUGCUAUUGUCUUAUCAUAUAAACUUUUUUAAUUCCAUCCCUUCUGCUAAAAUUUGCAAUCUGUCAAAUGGUAUUAUAGGGAGAGCUCUACCGACCUGUGAAGCCUGAUGACUGUUACUGGAAUAUCGGUAUAAUUCUCUCAGUGGUAUAAGACUGAUGACUUUAUUUUUUUGGUAGGCAAUAUAAUUCUCUCAAUGCUACUUUGUUUGCAGAGGAUCAGAAGAUGAUAUCCAUUUUGUUGACUAAGCAAGAUCAGAUGGAGUGGUGGAAAUGCUGUGUGAAAGGUGAACCUGAAAUCGAUACCCAGAAAGUUGAACCAGAGAACAGUAAACUAGCUGACCUUGACCCUGAAACUCGCUCCACUGUUGAGAAAAUGAUGGUAACUUUUGUCUUUAUCUAAUCCCUUCUUCAAGUGUUUUGUUCAUUUCCUUUUGUGACACUGAAGCUUCUUUUUCUUGUUCUUGGUAUCUCUAGUUUGAUCAAAGGCAAAAGCAGAUGGGUCUUCCAACAAGCGACGAGCUACAGAAGCAAGACAUUCUCAAGAAAUUCAUGUCUCAGGUAAACAAACACAUCCCCCUGAAACAUGUGUAUCUUCGGUUCUCAUCACACUUGUCUUUUCUUUAUACUGAACGGUGUUCUUCUUUUCGAUUCUUUACAUGCAGCAUCCAGAGAUGGACUUCACAAACGCAAAGAUAAACUGAUCCUCGUGUAGCCUUGUUUUACUUCCUUCACCAUCUUGUCUCUCGUUUCAUCUUUGAAAACCUUACCUUUGUUCCUUUGAACUGCUUUUGUUUUGUCUACUUGAAAGCAUAGUUUCAUCUGCAAAUACAUGUUGGGUUAUUCCUCUAAGCCCUAUGGUUCGGUUUUUGUUUAUUGAAGCUUUUCUUAAAAUCAUGUUGAUCCUUGGUAUUACAUGAGUCAGCUCUUAAACCGGACAAAACUUGGAAUCGUUGUACUUUUAUGUUCGAUUGCGUCCUCUCUACUGCUUCUUUGAUACGUGACGGUGUGGUGCGACACAUGGGACUACUUCAAUACGUAAUGAAGCUGCCGUUUUCGGUAAAAAUAUGAACCGGGACCACGUGACACGUUGGUGGUCCAGCCCCGGUUAAGUUUGGAAUGUGGUCCACGUUGUUGUUGUCGUUCCUCUACAACCUUCUUUCUUUAACUUCACAAAAGGAAUAAUGAAACCCACCAAUGUACUUGCGUAAAUGCAAUACCAACGUCCUUCAUUUGCAUAAAACGCAUUCACUUUGAAAGCAAAAGAUCCUUUCCUCAGUGUUGUCAUGGCAUGUGUCCAAUUUUCUGCAAGAUUUUAGGCUAUGAAUGGUGGUUAGGUUCCCCGUUUGAACACAAAUAAUUGAGUGCAACUGUAACCGGGGUGUGUAAACUAUUUUUUCUCGUCGUAAACUUCACUUGAAUUAUUUUUCCAAACAAGACCAUUUUGUUUUUGAAACACUUUUUUUUUUGAAACACCUAACAAUACCAUAUAUAUUUGAAAUAUGACUCAGAAUAUGACGUAAGUGAGCCACUCAUCUAACUAGCUGGCUUAACCUUAUUAGUUCAGCUUAUAAUUAGCCUCUGUGACAUUUUAUAUGACCAUGAUAAUACGGUAGCUCAGGAUUUCUGGUUAUAUAAAAGAUUUUAAAUUAAAAUAUAGGAUUCCGGUCCAGAACAUUGUCGUCCAAUGGUAAUAAUGAACUUCUUCCUACACGCAGGGUGAGAGUUGGAACUCUGCCGUAGAGAACUACUGCACGGUUGUCUCUGGACACCUUACACAGAUAUGGAUUCUUGCUUUGGCCUAUUUACAAAUCCGAUAUGCGAGUCUACCCGGAGGUCACACACCGCCAAAAAAUUAGUCUGGGUCUGUUUGUGUCUGUGAUCUACUCCUAAGUUAUCAAAAAUAAUUAGAGGUGUUUUUUACUCGUGGACUAAUAAAAGACCAGGUCCCGAUUAUUAGAAAGCUUGACAGAACGCUAUCAAAUGAUGAUAUAUGGUGAGAGGUUUAUCGAGAAGCAGUUGGUUCUUUUGAAGCUCCGGGGGACUCUGAUCAUUCUCCAUGUGUUGUAGAUUUCUCCACGGAAGAAGUAUGAAGGAAGUCUACCUUCAAAUAUUUUUCUUUUAUAGAAACACACCCUCACUUCAUGUCAGAAAUGAAAUCAACUUGGGAAGAGGAACUGCAGGUUGGCUCGAAAUAAUUUACCCUAGGCUAGCGUCUUAAAAAGGUGAAAAAGUUUUGUCGUAAAUUGAAUAAAGAAGGUUUUGGGAAUAUCCAGCCGAAGGCAAGUAAAGCUAUGCAUGCGUUAAAGGAUGUUUAGGAGCAGAUACUUACUACAUCGACUGAGUCUCUGCUUAGAGGAUUUUGUAUUCGUAAGAAAUGGCUUUUCUUUGAGCCUGCACAAGCUAUAUUCUUCAAUAAGAAAGCUCGCAUUAGAUGGCUCACGUGUGGAGAUGCAAACACAUGGUUCUUUCACAAAGCUCUGAUAGCAUAUCAGAUUAGAAAUGCCAUUAAUUACUUGAUGGAUGCUACAAAUCAGAGAGUUAACAAUCCCCUACAAAUCAAAGAAAUUGUACUUUCAGAAUCCGUUGGGUACUGUGGAUGAGCAGGUGAAUACGAUGACAAUUAAAGAAAUUCAGGAUCUAUGGGUUUAGAUGUACGGCGGAGGUGGAUGUGGAGCUUAUUAAAAUUUCAUCAUAGGAGGAUAUCAGUGAUGUAUUCCGUGGUAUGCCAAAGAACAAGGCUCCAUGCCCAGAUGGGUUUGCAGUAGAGUUCUAUUGGGAAGCUUUGGAAGUUGUAGGAGUAGAUACAAUUGCAGCAGUAAGGGAGUUUUUUUUUGUUUCAGGAAAAUGUUAAAAAAUUUAAUGCUAAUGCGAUUUUCUAAUCCCAAAGAUUAUAGGAGCUGACAGGCUUACUCUGUUUAGGCUAAUCUCAUUAUGCUCAACGAUAUACAAGGUCAUUGCAAGGAUUUUGAAAAAGAAGAUGAAGCUGUUCAUUGCAGAGGUAAUGCAGAGAGACCAAGUUGGUUUUGUACAGGAUAGACUUCUAUGUGAAAACGUGAUUUUGUCAUCAGAGCUAGUGAAUGACUUUCAUACUCAUAGCCCUACUAGAAGAGGCUGCUUGAAGAUCGAUUUCUCUAAGGCUUACGACAAACUGAGCCUGGAAUUUGUAACUAAUACUCUUAUUGCCCUUGAUCUACCGCCCAAGUUUGUUAAGUAGCUGCGAGUGUUACAUGACUACAUCCUACAACAUUGUGGUUAAUGGAGAACUCAAUGGUUAUUUACACGGCCGUACGUGAUUAAUGCAACAUGAUUCGAUUUUGUCUUUGCUUUUUGUUAUGGCAAUGGAUGUUUUGUCAAAGAUUUUGGAUAAAAGAGCAAUGAAUUGGGUCUUCAGAUUACAUCUUGAGUGUGGAGCUCCCUUAGUCACAAAAUUUGUUGACGAUGUGUUAAUGUUCUUCGAAGAAGAAUUUUUUAGAGGAAUACUUCAAAUUUUGGAGGAAUUUAAAUCAGUUUCAGGUCUGAGUAUUAACAGAAGAAAAACAGAGCUUUUGCUGGACGGAGGCAGUAACGAGAGGUGUAGAGAUUCGGCAGAGGCAAUUGGUAUUUCUCAGGGAGAGACCUCAGGGAUCUCUCCCGAUUAGAUAUCUUGGAGUUUAUAUAUCCUCCAAGAAGACGAAGAAGUCUGACUUUCAGCCACUACUGGACAAGAUUGGAGCUAGGUUUAACUCCUGGACAAGUGAGGCACUUGUCUUUCGUUGGAAGAUUUCAGUUAAUACAAGCAGUUAUAUAUUCUACCAUAUCUUAUUCAAUCUUUAUUAUUCUUAAUGACUGUAUUUGGGAAUUGAAUAGGAUGUGUAAUGUUUUUUUUAUGGAGGGGGUGCGCCAAGUUCAGAAAGAAUCAUUUAAUAGAUAUUAAUAUAAAAAAUUUAAUAUAUAUGUUAAUAUCAUUUAAAAUUUAAUUAUAUAUCAUAUCAAAUAAAAAAUUGUUUGGAUUAGUAAAAUUGAUUUAAUUUUAUUUUCGCACUAAUUUAAUUAUAUAUGUAAUAGUUAAUGACUUUUAAUUAUUAAAUAUAUAUUUAUUAUUUCAUGUAAAAAUAUAUAAUAUAUAUAAUUAUUUAUAUAUAUAAUGUCUUACGCGGAUCUUAACCUAGUAUAUAUUAUAACUGCAUCUAAAUUAACCACUUCCACUAAUAACGAAUUUAAUGCAACCGUAAUAUUCCCUUUUAUUAGAACUAACCGUAAUGUACUUAUACUAUUAAAAAUUGAGAGGUAUAAUAUUAUUCACGUGGAUAUAUAGCCUUCGUGAAAUAUUCCUUUGAUGAUGAUCAACUAUUCUACAUACAAUCAUUAAUAAAAAUACAUAUACAACCCAAAUACAAACCCACUUUUAAUAAUAACCACCAUUCGACGUCAAAUAAUAAUAAUAAUAAUAAUAAUAACCACCUUCUAAAUACCACAUGGAAUCGUCACACUGCUUCUAAAUAUAAAACUUGAUAUAUAUAUUACUCCAUAAUUGUAGGAACUUCAAUAUUUAUCCCAAAAAAUAAUAUCACGUAUAUGCUUUUCUUUAUUCAAAAGGGUAAUUAUAUUUUUGUAUUUUUUCUUUACUCCUAUUUGUACCUAAAUAUAUGACCAUAUCUAAUUUAAAUUCGGAGUAUUUAUUUAACAAAAAAAAACAUUUCAGGAAUCAAAUAGAUUAUUUUCAUCUCAAUUUCGAAAUAUGGUUAUCUAACCACUACGUUAAGAUAACCCUACGUUAUAUAACUGUAUAUAAAUUAUAUUUCUUUAACAUAUAAAAAAAAAUUACAGAAAAAUGUUACAUAUUUACAAAAACAUAAAAAACAAAAAAUUACAAACCAACAUUAUACCCGCGGGUCAAGAUGUAGAACAUACAAAUAUGAUUACAACGAAACGGGUAUACGGACAUAUGAUUAUAAAGAACCGAGCAAACGCCGGAUCAACUUUUAAAUUGUUAUUAUUUUAUAAAAUAGGUUUUGAUUACGAUUUAUACACAAAUAUGAUUAGAAAGAAAAACACAAAUAUGAUUACAAAAACAAAUACAAAUAUAAAAAUUAAAUUUAAAAAAAAAUUAAAACAAAAAUAUACCUGCCUUUUAAAGGGCAGAUCAAAAUCUAGUAAUUGUAUUAAAAUAGUUGGACACGACUAAUAUCAACAGGGCAUGAUCCAGAUUUAAUAGUAUUGAUGGUAAUUUCAAAAGUUAUAUGCCGUUGUCAAAUAGCCCACUACCCAAAGAAAUAGGGAGUUACAUUUUUUUACAUCAGAUAAGUAGUUAUGUUUUAAACUUUUAAAACCAUAAUAUUAGAUGCUACAUAAAUUAAGAAGUUAUUUUUUCCUUUUUGGAAGAGUAAAACAUGUAAAUAAUUAGUUGGACACAACUAAUAUCAACAGGGCAUGAUCCAGAUUUAAUAGUAUUGAUGUUAAUUUCAAAAGUUAUAUGCGGUUGUCAAAUAGCCCACUACCCAAAGAAAUAGAUUUUUUUACAUCAGAUAAUUAGUUAUGUUUUUAACUUUUAAAACUAUAAUAUUAGAUGCUACAUAAAUUAAGAAGUUAUUUUUUUUUCCUUUUUGGAAGAGUAAAACAUGUAAAUAAUUAGUUGGACACAACUAAUAUCAACAGGGCAUGAUCUAGAUUUAAUAGUAUUGAUACUUUAAAGCAUCUCCGGUAUUUAGUAUAUGAGUUUCAACAAAUAAUAAAACACCAAAUUUCAAAUUAGUUAUGAAGUGAAUACGAAAUUAGAAAAUGUUAAUAUAGAGAAAACCUAAUCAUUGAACAGAAAAAGAUUACCACAUUAUACCCACUCUUAGAAAUCACUAUUUAUUAUGUGAAUGCAGAAAUCACAAAGUUCUAAAAUAGUAAUACACAUGCAGAGAAAGAACUAUUAAAUGUAUAAAGAACUACUUAAUGGUGCGCCAUCAAAAACCCAAUCAGUGGCAUAAAAGACAUUAUAUAUGAUAAUAAUUUUGGGUUUCAAACAUUUUUUUUUCGUUUCUCCAUAAACGUUUCUCACAUGUGCCAACAAAAAAAGUUUCAAGCAAAUGUACUCGUCAUAUGACUUAUAUAUGUGGUAUACAAAUUUUUGACAAAAAGAACUAUAUAAAUAUCAGAUUUCAAAUGUUAUUUUGAUAGAGUUUCUUAUAAAACAAAUAUUCUAGGAUUUAUUUGACAAAUAAUAAAAGAAACAGGGAAAUUAAAUUUGUAGAAAGAAGGUAAAAAGAGAUAAGCAAAGAAAAUAAGAAAGAGAUAGUGAUUUUGGGUAGUUAGUGAAAUUGUGUGGUUUUUUUUUGGUUAUUUGACCUAAUUUCCCAAUUUGUAAACUGUCAUCAACAAAUUUAGCUAUGUCCAAACGCAAAAAUAAAGUUGUGCUAAAUUAAAGUAAAUGUUGUCUAGUUACGAGGCAGUUUCUUUAUGUGUAAAAGCACAAACAUCUCUCCAGCUGUAUUCUUUUAUAUAUAGAUACCCAUCUUUUUCGUAUUCAUAUUCCUAAUUUAUUCCUCUCUUUUUGAUCGUUUUAGAAUACUCUUUUCAUGCUUACCAAAAAAAAAAAGAAUACUCUUUUCAUUGCUUUUACUUUUACUUUAAUUAAAACUAAGAAUCAACCUAUUAGAAAAAAAUACAUAUACAAAAAAUAGCCUAUCUUAGAUAAUUAGCCAAUCAUUGUUGAUACAAAUCUUCAACUAGCUAGAAAUCUUUUUAUGACACUUGAUGUUGUCUUUUAUUUUUUCAAGUACAUGUCAUGUAAGGAAAUAUUUUAAAUUUUUGAUUUUGUUAUUUUAUUCAUCGUAAAAGCAUAAUGUAUUUUUCUCACUAAAUGUUUUUUUAUAGAUUAAAUCAUUUACAAUUGUACGCCACACAUAUAGAGGGAUAAAAAUAUUACUUCAAAUAUAGAGUAAAAUUAUUCAUUUACUAUAUUUUAGAAUUAAAUUUUCAAUGAUCCUUCACUUUUUAUAUAUUUCAUUUUAUCUAAAUAAAUUUAUAUAUUAAUAUAACUUUGUACAUUUAAAUAUUAUUAAAUUAAUAAAAUUAUACUCCAUCCGUUCAUAAUAUAUGAUGUUUUGGCUUAGUCCACAAAGAUUAAGAAAAUUACAUUUUUUCUAAAAACCUUUUAAAGAUAUAAUUUUAAAAUCAUUCAACCAAUUAUAAUAAAAACCUCAAAAUAUUAUUGGUUGAACAGUUUCCAAUAAAGUUAAAGUUAAUCUUAAAAUCUCAAAACAUCAUAUAUUUUGAAACAUCAUAAACUUUUUAAAACAGUAUACAAUUUGAAACGGAGGUUGUAUAAAAAAAGUAUUCCAAGAAUUGUUUACUCUGUACAGAAAAUCAAAGACAAAGAAGUUCAUUGCUCACUUUAAAAUGCGUUAAUUGAUCAUCUGUGGAGAGAUACAUUAAUGAUAGUAAGGGCUAAACAAGAUAAAACAAAAAGAUAAAAUUUUAACAUUUUAAAAGUUAUGGAUUAUACAAUAAAUUAAUAAACGAAUAGAAAAUGAAAAUAUUUAGAAUAUUUUUUUGGGAUUAAAAAUAAAGAGAAUUAUUGGAACAAACCCCCUUGUCUAUUUUAGAGUACUCUAUUUUUAGAAUUAAAAACAGAAACAAUAAUGGAGAUGGUUUUCUUUUUUUUUGGACAUCGAACGGCUGAUCUUAGCUCAAGCUUGAGGUGGUCUAGAGAACCAGACCGGAAAAGAACAACCAAUAUAAUACAGGUUCAUAUGAAAGGAUUUCGUUAUCUUAGCUAAUAAAUCAGACGAUACAUUUUCAGUUAGAGGAAUAAAAACAAUCGAGAACUCUGAGAAUUUUCUCUUCAGCUUCUGCAGCUCAUCUAGUUCAGUGGAGAAGUUGAGUCAUGCUCCUGGGUCUUGAAUCAUUGAGAUGAGAUCCUUACAAUCGGUGCCAAGAGCCUGACACGUCGAUAGUUGAAGCAUGCACUCCAUCGCCCAUAAAAGGGCCUCAAGCUCCGAAUGAAGUGGUGAGAUUCUUCGGCGUUGGUUCCUUGUUCCCAAUAGCUGAGUCGUUCCUCCUGAGAUUUUCCAUGUCCAUCCAUAACCACUAAAGAAUGUGUAUUGUGUCCAUGAACCAUCUAUUAGACUUCUCUCUGAAUUUGUUAUCUGCUCUGGGGUUAUUCUAAUUGUUUGUUCCUCUUGUUUGUUGUUUGCUUCAAACCAAGCAUGGCAUUCUGAUUCAGCAUGUCGGAUAGUUUCCAAGGGGUCUUUGUCUAUUCCUCUGAAAAGUUUAUCAUUCCUUGCUUUCCAAAUAUACCACAUAAUCCAGGGAUAUGGUUCUUUAUCCAAAUCAGGGUCUUCUAUGUCAUUUUUCCUCCAAAAAAGAUAGUCAAUGUUCGCAUAAUGACUCGUGGUACGGAACAUUGGUGGUGGGGCUGUGGUUGCUGCAUGUGCCCAUGUUUGUAAUGCUGGGGGACACUCGAAGAUGGCAUGAUUUAUGGUUUCAUCAUCUGCUCCACAUCUGGGACAAUGAUUGUCGCAUCGCAUGUGACGAUGUGUUAGAUUUUUUCUUAUUGCUAAUUAUCCAGAGAUCGUUUGCCAGAUGAAAUGUUUUGGUUUUAGUGGAGCUUGUAUCUUCCAAGUAAAGGCUUGGAGUUUUGUGAUGCUCGGUUCUUCAUGGGUUUCCACUGCCUCUCUGUUGAGGAUGUUCCUGGCUACCCAAUAUCCCAAUUUAAUAGUGUACAUCUCAUUCUUAGUAAAGCUCCAUCAAUAUUUAUCCCGCUGAUGUCAUUGGCUUAUGGCCAAAGAUUGAACAAGAAGGAUGUCGUCCGGGUGUACGUAAUUUUCAAGCAUCUCCGAGUUCCAUGUUUUUGGCUCCUCUAUCAUAAAUUCGUGAGCUGACAUCAUUGGAUGUACUACCGGUGCUAUUGGUCUAGCUGGUUUUGCAGGUAUUGUUGGUAUCCAAUGGUCUUCCCAAUUUCUAAUUUCAUUUCCGGAGUAAACCUUCUGUCUGAUCCCCAACAUCAUCAAUGGUUUUGCUGCCAUUAUACUUGUCCAUCCACAUGAGGGUCUAUCUAAUGUGUUAAGCCGCAAAGGUGUGCUACUUCUGAAGUAUUUUUCUCUCAGAACUCUAGCUACCAAAGAAUCUGGGUUUUGUACCAAGCGCCAUAAUUGUUUGACUAGUAGGGCUAUGUUGAAUUCAUGGAUCAUUCUGGAUCCAAUUCCUCCCUCCUCUCUUGGUUUGCAUAGAUCUUCCCAUUUUACACAAUGUAUACCCCUUUUAAGAAGGUUCGAGCUCUACCAGAACUGUGCAAUGGCACUAGCUAAGUUUUCACAGGUCUCUAAUGAUAGUAGCAGGGUUGACAUCACAUAAGUAGGAAGACCAGUAAGAUAGACUUUAUGAGUACUUCCUUUCUUCCCUUUGUUAGCCAACGUCACGUCCACCCAUUUACGCGAUUUUGCAACCGUUCCUUCAAGAAGGCAAACAAUUUUCUUUUCAACCCACUAAUAUCCUCAGAAAUACCAAGAUAUGUCCCCAUCCCUCCCUCAUUUGCAAUUCCUGUUGUGGUUUUGAUGGUCAAAAACAAUAAUGGAGAUGAUCAAAAAGAAAUGGAGAUGGUCUAAUAUAUAUACUUAUAUAAAUAAACUCCAUUUUUGCAAAGGGUAAUUUUUUUUAACAAUAAAUUAUGUUUAAAGAACUUUUUUUGUCAUCAACAUAAACAUGCUCUAUUAAGACUCUGGUAACCAAACAUAGGACUCUACAUUCAUAAAUACGAAAUAGCAGGAUUGAUUGCGAACACCGCGUACAAGAUUGCAUACCCUUGUAUUUUGAAUCUUCGGGAUAUGAAUGAUAUAUCUUAGCCUUGGAAAAACAUUCCUUAAAUAGUUGAAUCGUUUCCAGAUAUAUUGCAACGAAUGCCAUUUUUCUGGCUCGGAAACUAUCUUCACUAAUUAAAAAUAAUCUGUUGAAAACUUUGUUCUUUAAAUUUAUGUACUCAUUAUCAAUUUUAAUCAUAGUAUUUCAAUCUACUUUUUUUCUUUUUCAUAUACACUUUAUUUAUAUCAUAUAGAAGCCUAAUAAAUUAAAAAAUCAAUGAUGUUUUUCAUGAGUAUAUAUUAUAAAUAUGUUUUUUGGUCAAAAUAAAAAGUACCCCCUCCGUUCUUUAAUGAUAGACUUUUUAGAAAAAAAUUUUAUUUCACAAAGAUGUAUUUUGUGUGUUUCUAUGAAAAAUUUGUAAAUUUCAAGAAAAUUAAUUGAUUUUAUUAAAUUGCUAUUGGUUAGAAGUUAUUGAAAAUUGAAAAUUACAUAAAACGAUACAUUUAUUAUGAUAGUUUAAUGUGUUUUCUUAAUAUGUGUGAAAAUACUAAAAAACAUAUAUUUGUGGAACGGAGGAGUAUAUAUUACUAAAUAUAUUUGUAAAAGAAGGUACAUUGAACCCCUCUUUUUGCAAAAGGUGCGUACAUGGAGGUAAGAUUAGUGAUCGGGGAGCACCAUUGAUGUUUUGUCUUGUGUUUGUCUCUUCUCUUCUUCUCUUGGAGUGCGUUUUGGAACUAGUGGAGAGUUAUUGUAUCAUAACCCCAGGGAUCAUAACUAAUUAUAUUCUCUUUUCUUCAAAAAGAAUAACUAAUUAUAUCAUUCCAAUGUAUAUAGUUUCGAAAAUAAAAUAACAACGAUAAUAGUCGUUAGUGAGUACCAUACCACAAAAUGGUCUCUAUUCAUUUCAUCUUAUAAACACGUACGACGUCGUCUCUUCGUCAUCGUGAUCUAAGCAGUAUCUUCAUAUAAAUUUAUAUUUUCCCCCACAUUAAGAUACAAGAUGCAUCAUUUGUAAAAAAGUUUUUUUGGAUUAAAUAAAACUAACAUUCAUUCAAAAAAUAUCCCUUACAUAUUAAUUGAGAAACAUUACAAUAUUGUUUUGUAGCCACGUGUCACCAUGAAAAUGAAAUUCAGAAUUUUUAGAGAAAUAGGUUGGUCCAUCUUUUUAUAUUAAACUAACUGUUAAAAUUGAUAAAUAGUGUACAAAAUAAUAUUUUCGCAUUUUUCUUAAAUAAAAACUACGGAAUGACUUAAUAUGAUUAACAUAUAUAUGACAAUUAAUGAUUAUGAAUAAUAAAUAUUUGAUAAUAUUUUUUUGUGUCUAGCUCUUUUUAUUAUAUAUAUUAUAUUUUGAAUUUUUUUAAAAGACUAUAAAUUACUAAAAAUGUUAAAUGUUUCACAUUAAGAUUUUGUGAUCAAUGAUUUAACUUUUUUGGUAAUAACAAGAUAUAAAUGAUCAUAAAUCGUAUGAAUAUGAAGUAUUAUUUACUAAACAUUCAUAUUAUAUAUUAAUAUAGUUUAAAAUCAAACUAUAUAACAUAUAAAAAUACUUAAAUAUGAUAAUUUCUAAAUUUUUAUUGAAAAAGUAUUUAAACCUUAAUAUUUUAAUUUUGAAAUUUGCAUUCAAAAAGUCGCACAUUAGAAAUUUUGAGUUUAUCUUAUGAGUAUGAAUUCUCAAUAAUAAAUAUUUAUAUUAAAAUAUAUUAUAUACUCCCUCUGUUCCUUAAUAUUACAUAUUCUAGGAAAAAAUUUGUUUUAAAAAAAUCUAUUUUUUACAUUUUUAAGACAAGUUUUAUUAACUAAUUGUAAAUUUCAAAAAAAUUAAUUGCACUUACUGAAUUGUUAUUGGCUUAAAAUUAUAAAACAAAGAUAAACACAAACAAAUAUGCAAAUUUAAUGUGUUUUAUUAAAAUAUGUGAAAAAUCUAGAAUAUGUAACAUUAAUUUAGUUAUAUAUCAUAUAAAAUAAAAUGAUUGUUUUAAUUUUAAACUAUAUUUAUUUUAAUUUUAAUUUAGUUAUAUAUCAUAUAAAAUAAAUAAAAUGAUUGUUUUAAUUUAUUUACCAAAAAAAUAUCGUAAAUAAACAAGAUGUAUUGUUUUGAUUUUUGCAUUUAUUCGAAUUUAAUUAUACACAUAAUACGUAAAUAAAUACAAAUAAAUAAUACUCUCUCCGUUUCACAAAGAUAUAUUUUUUAGUAUUUUCACACAUAUUAAGAAAACACAAUAAAUCACUAUAAUAAAUGUAUCAUUUUCUGUAAAUUUCAAUUUUUAAUAAGUUUUAACCAAUAGUAAUUCAAUAAAAUCAAUUAAUUUUCUUGAAGAUUGCAACUUUUUCAUUGAAAAUGCAAAAGGUCUAUCUUUGUGAAACAAUUUUUUUUUCUGAAACUUCUAACUUAAUGAAACGGAGAGAAUAAUAGAUAAAAAAAUAAUUUUAUAUAUAACAUUCAUUCCGUGUAUUUGUGCGGCUCUUAAACUAGUAUAUAUAUAUAUAUAUGAUAUGUUCCAUACUUAACAAUAUGAACACAAAAUGGGUUGGAAACUGGAAAAGUGAGUGGCUAGACAUGGAAGUCGAAUCUGGCAUAACUUUUCAACUUUCUCCGCACCAUUUUUAUUUGGGAAAAUUGCCAAAACAGAAUAAAAAAACAGAAUGGUUGUCCCUAUGGUAUAAAUUCAAUUUUGUCCAUUUUAUCUCCCUUUUACCCUUUUAUUUCUGAAACUUAAUAAAAUAAAUAGUUUUAUGAAUCAAAAAAAUUAUUAAAAAUAUAAACUAUUAAUAGAACACCAAUAUACACAAGCACAUUUUUUUAUUUUUUUCAAAAACUUAAUAAAUAGAAUUUCCAAUUUACGUUCUACUAAAAGUAGAAUUCGUCUUCUACGGAAAUUGGGUUAGUAGAACGCAAAAUCCAGAAUAAACACGUACAUCUACUUGUUUUGGAACGUAAAAUCUACUUUUGAUUCAAUAUCUAAAUAUGGGGAAUGCGAAUUCUACUAAUUGUAAAGAUAUCUACUUUUCUGAAAAAUGCAGUUUCUACUUUUAACAAGUAUUCUAACAUUUCUCGAACGUAAAAUCUGAAAACUACACGAACGUCUACAAAAGGUAGAAAUUACAUUCCAUAUUAUUUUCAUGGUUCUACGCAUUGUAGAAGGUGUCUUCUACGGAUAAAAUGAUCUGUUUUUGGCGAAAAUUAAGGAAAGUCAGUUAACAAAAUAUUCUAAAAAUAUUCUAACUUCCUAAAAUGGUUCUGAUCGAUUUUCUUUGUCAAAUUUUUUUAAAAAAACGAUUUUGCCUUUCUUCUUCAUGAAUCUGUGAUUUUUUCAUAGUUUCUCUCUUGAUUUUCAGAAACUUUUGUUCUAGAUUAGAUGCAUAUCUAUACAAUAUGUGGUCUUUGGGAAUUAGGUGCAACUACGGGAUGGUUUUUUUCGGCUGACGGCAAAGGGGAUAGGCUACUGUUAGUGGAAUCAAAUUCUACUUUAGAUGAAUUAAAAAGGAUGGUUUUGGAGGAUUUUGGUAUGGAAGAAGAAAUCAUAGUCGAUUUGAAGUUAAGUUAUCUACCUGCUGAGUGGAUCAAUACUUCAGGAUGUCCACCUGUGAUCAUUGCAAACGAUCGACAGCUUCAUAAUUUUGUUCGAUUUGUUCAAAAGAGUGCUUCUACUCGAUUGUGUGUCACAUGUAAAGCCAAGGCUGAGAAUCCGAAUAAAGAAGCCUUUGAUCUUAACAAACCGCCAGCUGAUCCAUGUACUCAUGAAGAGAAAGAAAACUUGUUUGACAGUGGGGGCGAACCAGCUCCUGUGUAUGCUGAGAGGCAGGGGAAGAAGAAGAAUGAAAAGCGGAAAGGAGUCGCAGUUGACGAGGAUGGGGACUAUGAUGCUGAUACCAUGAUCUCUGACAAAGAGAACAUACAUAAAAUGUCAAAGUUUUCUCUGCUCCAUGUUGUUAAGGUCGGACAAUUUUUUGAGAACAAAACUUUGUUGAAGGCGACUUUCGAGAUGUGUGCAAUGAAGCAUAACUUUGACUACCAGAUUAUCAAAACGGAUAGACAACUUUGGUAUGUUAGAUGUGCGGAUAAUGCAUGCGAUUGGGGUGUUCGAGCAGAGUGUCUGAAGGAUUCUACAUAUUUCAUGAUCAAGAAGUAUGUCGGUAAACAUACAUGCGCACCUUCAAGCAAAACCAAAGCGGGUAAGACUGCUUCAGCAAAAACUAUAGGCAGUCUGAUUAUGCAUAAGUAUGUAGGCGUCAAGGAAGGGCCGAAAUGUAAUGAUAUCAUACAGAUUAUGCGUAGUGAUCAUGGAUGUGAGAUCUCAAAAUCUUUAGCAUGGGAUGCGCGUGAAUAUGCGAUCAGUGCAGUUAGAGGUAUUCCAGAGAGAAGUUAUGGGAAAAUUCCAAAAUACUUGCACAUGCUGAGAGAGGCUAAUCCAGGUACACACGCAUCCUAUGAGAUUGACGGAAAUGAGAAUUUUCGUUACCUAUUUAUUGCAUUUGGGCAAUCAAUAAGAGGAUUUAACAGAGUCAUGAGACGGGUUAUUGUGAUCGAUGGGACCUUUUUGAAGAAUAAAUACAAAGGAGUUUUACUGGUUGCAACUGCUUUAGACGGAAAUGUAUCUUGGGACAUGAUCUAUUUCCUCAUCAAGUAGCUUUGGUGGGGACAUGUUGAAGGGUCUAGAGUUUUCGACUUUCACUUGAGAAAGAUCAAACCCAUCAACAAAUGUAUCUUGGGACAAUUCCCUUAAUUCUUGUGUGCUCAAUCCAAAGUCAAACUCGUUAGUUUCUAUACCAUUCUUUAAACCAUCCUAUUCAUUAAAAAAAAUAAAUAUUUAAGAACUCUUUCAAUCAAAACACAAACAAAGCAUUAGAUUCAUGUCUUUAUCAUUACACAAACAUUCUAGCAUAUUAUACAAUAUAAACCUAUUACAAUAUCCGAAAGUUUUACAUAAUAUUACACCGUGAUGAAAAUGUUAAGUUCCAAGAACAACCUAACUCCAAAAGACUAGCUCCAGCACCCUAACACAGCUAAACAAUGAUACAAGUACAUCAACUUCUACACUUUCUUUUCGGAAGUACCUUUUUCUUUGCUGGAACUUGAGCUUGAUUGACCUUUUCUUUGCUGGAGUUUGGACGGUUUUGGUCUUAGGCGCAGCUUCAUCGGUUUUGCUCUUAGGAACGCUUCCUUCGGCACUCAAACUGAUUGCUUCCCUGAGUUGUGAAACCUCGAUCUCCAUGUUGCCGAUCCUCUCUUUGAACAUGCUCUCCAUACUCGCCAUCUGCUCUCUGAGUAUUUCUCCCAAGGAAUUGACAGAUGAGUGGACCAAACCCUCAAUGAAACUCUUAGUUUCUUGAUCAAUACUCUGUUUUUUUUCUGCUGUUCGCUUACACAGCAACUUCUUCUUUCUUGUCUCGGCUCCUUCAUCCUAAAUCUUUCUCUUGCCUCUUCCAGCAACAUGGACCGAAGAUGUCUCCACAUCUGCUGCAAUAUCAGUAGCAUCCACACUCUUAUCAGCUUCUGACUCUGUAUCGGCUUUCUCCAUCUCAGUCUCUUCAGCCUCUAUAACUGGCCAUUCUGUGUUGCUCCAAUCAAAGUUCUUUUUAAUCCUAUCGAGAAGAAGGUCCACACGUUCAUCUUCCAUCUCAUCCUUCCUUGUAUAAUCAGCAUGCCUCAACACAUCACCAUUGCCACUCACUGAAAUUACCGAGAACAAGUCUCCCUACAAAACAAUUAUAACAUUAUAAGCUUUAAAAAAUAUGCAACAGCCAUAUAAAAGAAUACAAUAAAUAUGCAUACCUUCUCAGUAAACGAUUCCUCAAGUUGAAUGAUGUCUUCAUAAGAAACUUUUGCAACUCCUUUCCAAUUUCCACACCUUGGACCACUGAAACUGUCCGAGACUUUGCUGCCACAUAUUUCUCCAAAAUCCGGAAUUGCUUCCAUAAUCCAAAUCUGGAACGCAUAGGAGAACCCCUCGAAAAUGUAGCUGUUCUUCUUACCCAACUUCUUCCUAACCUUCUCAAUGGAACUCAGUAAGAAGUCAUAGGAGUGAAGACCCCAAUGGAAGUUCCGAAGCUUCUCAAGAUCCAUCACCAGCUUGAUGUACAUAUGAGGGAUGUUCACCUUCUCAUCUCUCCCCAUCACAACACCCAUUAUCACACACAAGUAGAUCAACCUCAUCCUAUCACGCCGAGACCAGCUGUGAACUUCUUGUAGAUGCACCUUUUUGAUCGACUGCAAGGUGAUCUUACCACCUGUCCUUAGUAGUUCACUCCAAAAUCCGCCAUCACUUUUCCAUUUAACUACGUCACAGCUACUUUCCCGCGAGAUCUUGAGACCUGUCACAGCGUGGUACUCCUGAAGCGAAAAUCGGAGAGGCUUCCUCGCAAAUACAAACCACUUCUCAUGCAUCUUCGAGGUAAUCAGCUGCUUACACAAGAAGCUAUCCACCAAUUUCUCCGAAAACUUGAGGUUAUUUUCCGCAAUCGCCAUGAUAUGUUUGAAAAGAGGAUCUAUCUUGACAUCAUCGUACUCCGCAGGCAUAGCUUUCUUCAGAUCUCUGAUAAGUUCCAUGCGGCAGCAGUUAUUGAUCUUCUUCACCUGAGGUUCUAAACCCUCUGCAUACACUCGCUUAGGUAGCUCUAACUCCAUAUCUAGAAAAGACAAAAAAAUUGAUUCUAGUUAUAGACUGAAAUUGAUUCUAACUUUACAGUGAAGCAGAGAUAAACACAAGAGAAAAGUCAAACAAAUUCUAAAAUCAGAAAGAUAAAAACUAUCAUUCUGUACAGAAAGUAAAUCAAUAAACCAGCCCAUGAUAAACGAAAUCAAUUCACAAUAUAAAGCAGUUAAUCAAAGUAAGCCAAUUCAUAAUCGAAAUCUGUUCAUAUAAUCAGUUAACAACACUUAUAAUCCUAAGAAACGAACAUAAAAAGAGUAACCCAAAUGAAAAACUCAAACACAGAGAAAUGCAAUAAAGAACCGGAUAAAGAAAGAGAGAAAUGCUAACUUCAAACCCGAAUGAAGAAAACAAACCGCUUGACAAAUGAAGUAUCAAGAACAUACCUUAUGUGCUAGCAAUGUCGGAGCAAGAGAGAGGCGGGGAGGUUGAAGACAAACUCGAUUUCACCAACGACCAAGAGAACCUAAUAAAUCACCUUUGUUUGUCGAGAUAGAAAGAGAUCCAGAGAAAAGUAUUAGAACAAGAAGGAGAAAGGAACAAACUUUAAGACUGAAACCUAAUAAAUGAAGAAAAACUAGAUUUCACCAACGACCAAGGAACAAAUGAAGUAUCAAGAACAUACCUUAUGUGCUAGCAAUGUCGGAGAAAGAGAGAGGCGGGGAGGUUGAAGACAAACUCGAUUUCACCAACGACCAAGAGAACCUAAUAAAUCGCCUUUGUUUGUCGAGAUAGAAAGAGAUCCAGACAAAGGGGUUCCACCGGUAGGAAGAGAGAAAGGGCUUCCACCGGUGGCGUAAGCACUCGCCGUUGAUUUCACCGGAGAAGACGCAAUCGCCUUCUUCGUCGCCGUGAAAGAGAGAGGCUACCGUGAUUGUUUUUUUUUUAGGGUUACGGGGAAUUAGAGGCUACCGUGUUUUGUUUUAUUUUUUUUUAAACUCUUUCCCCAUUUAAACAAACUGAUUUCCCUAUUUUUUUUAAAUACAAUUAAUCAUUAAUAAUGGAAUUAAUUUAAGGUUAAUUUUGGUAUUAUGAAGAAAAUUAUACUAUAGGAACAAUUUUAGUUUGAAUUUAUACCAUAGGGACAACCAUUCUAUUUUUUUAUUCUGUUUUGGCAAUUUUCCCUUUUUAUUUUCUGUUUUAUAGUUCUAUUUCCAGAAUCGGGAAUGUUAAGGUUAUAGUGUUGCACUUUCCCUUUAUUCACCCAAAAAAAGCAGCUUUCGUAUGAUUUUUUCCAGCGUUUUUUUUUUGGGACAAAUUUCUAGCUUUCUUAUGAUUGUUCUUUUCUCUUCCGCGGGAAACAAUAAAACUAGUUAAAGAAUAUUUAUAGUUUUGGUUUUAAGAACAAUUCUUGUGUUUGGCAAAAACAUGUUGAUAGAAAAGAGGUUGAGAAUUUUUUUUUUUUUUUUAAGAGAGGUUGAGAAUUUUAUCUUUACAACUGCAAAUUUUUAAUGUUAAAAUAGUUUAAGCAAUCAACUUUAGCGUUGAGAUUCCCCUAUCCAUAAAUUGAUUGAAAGCUAUUGGGCUUUUUGUCCAUUACCUCCUAGAUGCAUUGGUUAGAGACAGAUACAAAACAGAAAGGCUUCCACAAAGUUUUCUGAACUAAUGUAACAACCCCUCUCAUGGAUUCCUAUCUUUUAGAAGCUCGUGAAAUUUGUUGUCUAGUCUUUUAGAUUCCCACAAGAAAAUUCAUGCAUAUUUACCUCACACCAACAAAUAUAUCUGAUUAACUGUAGAAUCAUAUUGAAAAUUUCCAACUUGCCAUUUAUGUCUAAUCUAUUUUAUUAAAACUGAAAUACAAAAUAGAACAAAUAUUAUUUUCAAUAAUUUAUUACAUUUUUUCUUUCUUUAUUUUCACUUAAUUUAAUUACGUUACUAGCUUUUGAUCUGCGCGUCCGCACGGGUUUUUGUUUUUCAUAAUUAUAUAUUUUUAACUUUUGUCAACGCCAUAAACUUAAUUGUUUAUGUUAUUGUUAUAGAUUCAUGUAUUAUUCAGUUUAGAGAUUAGUAUAUCAUGUUCAAUGUGUUUAGCUUCUAUUUAUAAAUUAUGAGAUCGUGUUUUUUUUAUUGUGUUUUAUUCAUUUUAUUUGGUAAAUUAAAUAUUAAAAUAUAAAAUAUAAAAUAUUUGAGUUGUAAGUAUAGUUGUGGGUUUUAUUUAAUUAUGUUUUAACUAUUUUGAUUUAAAGCUGAAUAAAAAGUUCAAAUUUGAUACUGAAUUUUUUUAAAAUAAAUAAAUUAUUUAGUCAGAAACAUAAAUAAAUAAUUAAAGCAAGUUACCAAAAGAUAAACAUAAGGAUUUUUGGAGAUGAAGGCGAAGUCUCGACAGAGAAAGCUCGAGGGAGAGAUGCGAAAUGAGUUUGGUUUGUGUUCAACAGAACUCACUAACAUGGUGUUUCCCAACAUACAAGUUUGUAACCUGAUGAAAACAUAUUGGUUAAGAUUUUGAGUAGUAACUACAGCAAAAAAAAAAACUGAAUUAGCACGUUUCCAGAGCAAGAAAGAAGUAGUUUUGAAAUCCAUCGGCUCAUACAUUCUGAUCCUUAGACCUCCAAAGAGGCAUUGACGAUGUACGCCUCGCAACACUCAAGAAGCUUUCUCUUUGCUAGAAGCCUAGAACCUAAUAGAGGAUUCUGACGUCGAGCCUAUUCUGAUUCCGAUAGAUCCACCUCCAUUAGCGUCGGCGACAACCCGAAUGCAUCGAGACUUUAGAGCUGGCAGCUAGUGAGAUCGAAAAAAUUACAUGAAUUAUCGAUCUCCAUAUGGUUGGUUAUCUUUUUGUUGUUCAUGACUUUUUUGUUUAACAUUCGGAAGACAAUGACGGGAGAAAACUGAUAUAAGAGAUAUGUUUAAGAAAAUGGUAUAAUUAAAACGACAGUUUAAUAGGCCAAUGGCAGAAAAUUUUAAAUAUUAGGGAUACGUCAGGGUUAAGUACAAAAUGUACUUAAGUUUUAAUAGUUUAGAUUAAUUUCUAUUUUUCAAAUAAUUUGACAGCAUUUAUUAUAAAAGUAUAAAACAACUUAUUUUAAAUGCUUUAGUAUAUCUUUUACAUUCUUUUUCACACUUCUUAAAUACUUCAUUAGUUGUAUUCGCCAUAGUAAUUUGAUAUCAUUUACUUUACGUGUUAACCAUAAUAUUCUAAAUAUUUGAAUGAUUGUUUUCAUUCGUAACAAGAAUUCAAACCAGUUAACAAAGAACUUUUUAUUUGUUUACAUAAUCAGUUAACUAUGUGUAUUUAGGUAUCCAUUCGGAUAAUAAUAUGUUCUUUUUGUUAUUGAGUUUUUUUUUAAUAUGGCUCUGCCCGAGUAUUAUAAAAUUUUGGGUGGGGAUUGAGUCCGUUCCUUCCGAGUCUAGAUGAGUUCGAUUCUGAUGUAUAAAAAUUUUAAGUAAACAAAAAAACUAUGUGUUUAGAAAUAUCACUGAACAAUUUAUAAAAAAAAAACGUAAAAACCAACACAUCCGCAUGGAUCAAGCUCUAGUUUAUAUAUAUACCCAAUGGUUAGGUUCAAGCUGAUCGAAGUCAGUUUUCUUGUUUCUGUUUGAAGGUUGCUUUUUGGAAAUUCUGUAACUAAUUUUAUACUCCUUGAUUUGCUCAUGAUUUUGAAUAUUAUAAACCAUAAUACUUUGUAAAGUAGAUGUAAAUAGUGUUUUGACCGAUUCCACUAUUGGUACCACUUAUGGUUUUGGCCUCUUGGGUAAGCGUGUAUGCGCGUGGAUACCUCCAGAUGCACACACACAGGCACACAUCUAAUUUACGUAUAAUCUAUACUAUUAAAAGGGAAGAAUUUUUUAAAAAUUACCUACGAAAGGUUGUUGAACCCUUUCAUUAGUAUUUUGUAGACCAACUAAAUAAUCUCCCUAAAUAUCUCCUAAUAAUUAUCAUAUGUACGACUCUGAAUUUGAAUAUCAUUAUUAUCUUUUUUUAUGCAACCAUCAUAAACAUCCUUAGAAUAUCAUAAUAUACAUCUACGACAGCUACAUAAAUAUUCAUUGAUAGUAGUACUUUUAUUUUUCUACGUAAUAGUUGACAUAUGUCAACAAAAAGAUGUUACCAUCUAUAAUACAUUAGUAUUUCAUGUGAAUUAUAGUGUCUUCAUUCUAAUUUUAAUCGACAGCUAAAUACAUCACCAAAACCAAAAUUAUAUCGAGACAUAAUCAUAUAAAAUUUUAUGUACAUAUAUCUAUUCUAAUAAAAAUGAAUCAUUCUUAAAAUCUACUAUAAAAAGAUUGUUGAACCAAUGUAUAACUAUUCUAUUAUUUUUAUCCUACCACUAAUUAUUCUAACCAUACAAAAUUUUGAAUAUUUCAAAUGGCUCCUAUUAUCUAUACUAUUAAAAGAGAAUGAGUUUUAAAAAUCUACUUAAACAAAGUGUUGCACCAUUUCAUUAAUUUACCUAGACCAACUAAAUAAUCUUUUUAAAUAUCUCCUAAAAGUAUUAGCUCCUAUAUAUAAGAUUCUGAUCUAGAGUAUCAUUAAUAUCCUUAGAAUAUUAUCUAUAAAAAUCUACGAUUAUAUCCUUAUAAUAUCAUUCUUAUUUAGUAUUACCUUUAUUUUCUUAAGUCAUAUGGUUAACAUAUAAUACACUAUUAAUUCACGUGAAUCAUAAUGUCUCUAUUAUAAUCUUAAACGAUGGCCAAUACAUAACCAAAACCAAAAUUAUAUUCAGACAUAUUCAUAUAAUAAUUUAUGUAUUUAGACCUAAUUUAAAAAUUUUAGGUUUGGGUUGGUUCUUUUCCGCUACAAAUCCAUAACUCAAAUAUACGCGAAACACAUGUACGUUUUGGAUACAUAACAGGUCCAGAUCGGUUCGGAUGUCUAAUACCCGAAAAAGACUUGAAAUACCCAAAAUCCCAAAAAUAUUUGAAAAGCCGGAAAACACACAACACAAAGACAUACCCGAAUACUCAAACAAAUACUCAAAAUAUUCAAAUAUCUAAAAAGAUCCAAAAGUUUACCUGAAAUCUGAUCCAAGGAACUAAAAAAUACCUAAUAUUAUAUUUUAAAAUUUUAAAUUGUACCUGAAACCCGAAACUAUAACCGAAAACACAAACCUGAUAACUAAAAUUAUUCAAUUGAAAUUCUCAAAAAUAACUAAUAUACACAAAAUAUUUUGGGUAUUUUUGGAUACAUGAUCGGGUCUUGGGUAAGACAUGGACUCGACAAACACAUGCGGGUCCAAAAAAUAUCCAAUAGUUACUUUGCUCUGGACUCGGACUAAAUCCAAAUCUGUAUUUUUUUAGUUGGUUUCGGUUCAGUUUUUGGGUAUGAGUAAAAUGCUCAAGCAUAAGAGAGAAUUACAUAAAAGUGUGUACAUACAAAAUUUCAAAUAAACUAAUUCAUAAAUUAUAUAAUUUAAAAAAAUAUUCUUCAAUAUAAUACAACUUUUAACAUAAUAAUAUAUAAUAAUUAGAAUAUACUAUUUUAUUUCAAAAAAAUAUAAUCCAAAAUAACCCGCGCUUCGAAAGCACGGGUCAAAAUCUAGUUCUUUAUUAUAACUAUGAAUAUAAAGUUUACGAUUAUUAUUAUCAACAACAAUUAAACUGACAGAAAAAGUUAUGUUGUUAUAUAUGAAAUAUCAAAUUGAAUGAAAAUUAAAGAAUAUAGUCUUUUGUAUCGUUUUCAUUUACAACCCUUCCAUACAUUUUUUGUACUAAUCCACAACAAGUUAUUAAUUUUAUGUUUUAUAGUUUUAAAUUAUAAAUCAAAUACCAAAGCAAAAAAGAUAUGUUGAUUCUAGAAAUGAUUGAAUCUCUCUAUACCAGUAAACACCACACUAAUUAAGUCCGGCAGAAUUCAGUCAUUGUAAGCAUAAGAAAAUUGACUCGUGAUAAGGUCGACAUCUAGGAGUGUUCGGCCUCCACAGUAUAUUAUGCUUUUCAAGAUUAGGAAAAUUAUCUUUAGUAAUAGGUUGGGUUUUGAGGUCAAUAUAAAUACAGAUUUAAUUGGAUUGUAAAUAAUUAUUCACAUAAAUCAGUAUAAAACCUUUAAAUGGGUAUUUUCCUCAAUUAUGUUUUGUGCUUCCUUUUUUUUGUUUUCUUGAUCUUAAUUCGCAUUUCUUCGGAAUAGAUGGUAUCAAUUCAAGGUAGUAACAACCUUAAAGAAUGACCAGAAAAAGUUCUCUUAAGUUUGACUUUCCGCGGUUCAACGGAAAAUGAAACUUUGGUAUCUGGCAACAACCAAUUAAUGAUUUUCUAACACAUGAAGGGAUGAAGAAGACUAUAUUAGAUUCAAAACCGGAACCCAUCGUACAAAUGAUUAAGACUAGAUGAUGUCUCAGCUAUUUGAUUAUGUUGCCAGACGACAUAACAACUUGAGGUGAUGGAUUUCACAAGUUGAAAACAGAUGUAGGAUAAAUUGGAGAAAAUGUACAAGUCAAAAUCUUUCUUUAGCAAGCUAUACCUCAAAUAGAGGUUGUUAGCUUUGAAGAUGUCUGAGAGAGGAGGUUUUGUAAUGCAUGUCAACAAUUUAAAUCAAACCAGAUAUGAUGUGUGUGGAUGUGAAUAUUGCUGACGAAGAUCAAGCCAUGAUCUUGAUGUGUUAUGUACAUUUUCAAUAUGAGACGCUUUGAAAGUUCUAAAUGUCAACAAGAUGACUAAAAAGCUGGAGACAGUUACUGUAGUGUUGCUCUCGCAUCAUGAAAAACAACAAAAUACUGGGAUGAACGACAACUCUCAAGUGACUGAUUAUAGGUCAAUCAUGAUAAAUAAUGAAAGCAGCCGGAAAAGCAUCCAGAUAGUUCUAGUAAGAAUAUAUAAAAGAAAAAUUUCUAGAAGAAGGUGUUAGUAUGAUAUAAGUGUGGUAAAGCUAGUCAUAAAAGAAGACAUUAUCCUGAAAAUAGCAUAAUUCGAAAGAAAGUUUGGGUUCUGCAAACGUGGUUCAGAAGAACGACGACUCAGACGGAUCAGCCGAUUCUGGCAUGCUUGUUGCGACAUCAGGAGAUCACUCAGAUUCUUGGAUAAUGGAUACGAGUGCUUCACUCCACAUGAAUCCUAGUAAAGAGUGGUCUUAGACAUAUACGGCUGGACACAUGUGUUAUGUUUCAUUAGUGGACGACAAAUUUUGUAGUGUCAUAUGAAUUGGACAAGUCAAGUUUCAGAUAUAUGAUUGCACGAUCGAGACUCCGAAUGAUGUCAGACAUAUUCCAGUCAUGAUGAAAAAUCUUAUACCUCGGAGAAUGCUUCAUACAUGGCUUCUAAUUCAAAUUUGAUGACGGAGAAAUAUGGAAGGUAUUCAAUGGAUCUAUGUUGGUGAUGAAAGGGCAUAUGACAUCCGAAAGCAUGUAUCGGUUGAUAGGGAAAGUGACUGUACGUAGACUCACAGCUGCAGUUUUAAGUCGGAGGCACAUCUAUAUGGCAUAUCGUAUGGGCCAAUUCAGAGAGCAUGGGUUGAAAGAACUCAUGAUAAAGGGUCUUUUCAACGGCUUGAAGAGUUUCAAGAUGGAGUUUUACAUAUAUUUUGUGAUGGGAAAACAAUCCAAGGUAUCUUUCAAUAUGGGAAACACACGACAAAAUUUCUCAUAAACUAUGUUCAUUCUUAUGUGUGGGGACCAACUCGAGAACAAUCAUUGGGACUAAUAAGGAAGGUUUGACUAGUAUAUGUUAUAAGGAAAAACUUUGAAGUAUUUGUGGACUUCAAGAUUUGAAAAGCUGAAGUAGGUAAUUAAACAAAGAGAAAAGUGAAGUACUUGAGAUUGGAUAAUGGUACAAAGUAUAUUGAUGGAGGGUUCCAGAGGUUUUGUAAAUAGAAUAUAUUCAAAGGCAUUUUACAGUGCGUAAAACACCUCAGAACAGUAGAGAAAGCAUUAAUGUGUUUGAGGUUGUAUAUUUGAUUACCAAAGAAGUUUUGGAUAGAAGCAGUACACAUGAUGGUCUACGUUAUCAAUAGAUGUGUAAGGAGUUACAUAGAAUAGAAAUUCACAAAAUAAUUAUGGACUGAAAUAGAUAUUUGAUCCAUCAAACUUGUGGAUAUUUGGUAUCAAUCUUGCAUGUUAGUUUUGGGUGACGAAAAGGUCAUAUUUGGAUUCAAAAUCCAAGAAGUGCAUCUUUCUAGGAUUCGAAAAAUGUAUAAAAGGUUUUAAAUUGUGGGAUCAUGAGGCAAGAAGAGCAUGUUAUUCGAUUCAUGGUUUUUGAUGAGCAAUAUAUAGUGUAUGCGAGAUCAGACAGACUGUAUGUGAUCAUUGAGACUUACACAUAUUUUAUAAUAACCCAUCAGAAUUCUGUGGAGAUAAACCAAAAGCAGUUAGUGAUGAGUGGUUUGCGGAAAAUGGCACAAAGAAGAUCAACAUGAAACGAAAGAGAGUAUGGCUGCUAAAAUACCAGAACAUGCAAUACUACCUUUGCCAGUUUCGAUUUUGAAGACAUGAAAAAUUAUGCUUUUAUGGCCAAAACGGUGAUCCAUCUGAUUAUCGGGAAGCUAUUAAGACAAUAAGUAGGAAGGGAUUGAUUCAGUGACGAAAGAGUCAGUAAGUGUAGAGAAGAAUUGGACUUGGGAUCUUAUGGAGUUAACGGAAGGGAAGAAGGAAAUAAGUUGUAAGUGGGUUUUCAAGAAGAAAACAAGGAUGUCUGAAAAAGAAGAAGUAACGUUUAAGGCAAGAUUGGUAUCAAAAGGGUACUUGCAAAGGAUAAUAAUCGAAUACAAUGAGAUAUUCUCAUUGUAGUAAGGAACACUUCCAUACAAGUUGUCCAAGGUUUGGUGGCUAACUGAGAUUUACACCUGGACCAAAUGGAUGUAAAACAAACUUUCUUCGUGAAGAUUUGGUGGACGCGAUAUAUAGAGAGAGAGCAAUAUGAAGGUUUUGUUAAACUUGCAGAAGAUCAUCUUGUGUGUAGAUUGAAAAAAUCUCUCUACAGACUGAAGCAUGUUCUUAAAGAGUUGUACAAACAUUUUGACUCCUAUAUGUUAAAAAUAUGUUAUCAAAGUUACAAGUAUAAUUGCUGCUUUUACAUUAAGUUUUUUUUUACAGUCAUUCUCUCAUAUUCCUACUGUUAUAUAUUUGAUAAUAUGCUUAUUUCUGAGAAACAUUAAAAGCUAUUGAUCGUUUCAAAGGGUUGCUGGAGAUGAACUUGAGAUGAAAGAUCUUGGUGAUAAAAAAAAAAUUCAUAUGAAAAGAAAAUUUAAGAGAUUAUAGUUUUUUUGAAAGAAUUACAUUGAAAAGGUCUUAAAACAUUUUGACAAGUUAAAGGCAAAAUUGGUUUCUACACAUUUGCGAAACACUUCAUACUUUCAGCAAAUUAGUAUACUAAGUCUGCUACGGAGAUCAAAGAUAUGGUACAUGUUCAUAUGCUUGCGCAGUUGGAUGCCUAAUAUUUGCAAUAAAGUGUACUAGACCAGAUCUAGCACAAACUAGUCAAGUUAGUAAAUAUAUGUCAGAUCCUAGUAAAAAUCAUUGAGUGGAUUCUAUGAUGCUUAUAAGGAACAGUGACUAUGGGCUUAUGUUCGGAGGUUAAGAGUGUGGUUUAUUUGUGGAUUCGUGGAUUCAUAUUAUGGUGGAGGUCUUGGCAAUUAACGGUCAACAACAAUAUACAUUUUACCCUUGCAGGAUGACCAAUAUGUUAGAGAUCGGGGCAACAAUCAAUGGUAGUGAUAUUGACUGAGGAAGCUGAAUAUGGCACUUAAAGAAGCAGCUAAGGAAGUAGUUUGGGUACGAGGACUUGUAUCUGAGUUGAGAGUUGAUAGUUGAUUAAGGAAAUGUUCAGUUAGACUAUGAUAGAAUAGUGUGGUCUGUUUGGGCAAGAAUCAAGUUUAUGAUGCAAGGACAAAUCACAUAGCUAUAAGGAUUCACAAAGUAAGGGAGGUAGUAUCUUCUGGAGAAGUCUUAUUAGAAAUGUGCAUACGUCGAAAAUGCAGCUGACAUAUUGACCAAUCCCGUUACAACGGAUAAGUUCAUGCAUUACUUGGAUUUGCACCAUUUUGACGAUGCUAAAAGCAUAAGAAGUUUUCCCCAAAAGAUAGAUUGGAUAAAAAAAUCUUGUAGAUAUUUUUUGUCAAUGUGAUGUUUAUUUAUUUUGGAAGUGGCUUAACUCUUUGUACACCAAUAAAGGCUACAUGCGUAGACGUGAAGAAGAAUUGACUCGUAAUCAAGGUCGAUAUUUGGAGGGUGUCGAGGACGAUGUCCCUGCAGUACGGUAUGAUUUUUUGGAUUAGGAAGAGUGAAAAUUAAUAUCGGAUUUUGAAGCUAGUAUAGAUAUGCAUCUAAGAGAUUGUAAAUCAUUGUGUAAGCUCCAUUUGUCCAGUGGUUUUACUAAGAGUGUGUUAAUAUGAAGAACCUUUAGAUAUAUAUAUAUAUAUAUACUAGGAUUGGCCCGCCCUACUGAAGGGAAGUUAUAAAAAACUAUUUUAUAUGAAUUUAUCUUAAUUUUAUGAAGCAUUUUUUUUAAAAAAUUGUAGAUUGAAAAUGAUAUUAUAAACAAACAAAAAAAUAAAUAGAAUUCAGAGAUCAUGUUAUUAUUUUUAAUAAAUAUUUUUGGACUGAAUUAAAAUGACAGUAACCUACAUUAUUCUAUUAAAAAAACAAUCUCAUAUAAUAGGAUUAAUGAUGUCCUUCAUGUGCAUAUAACUAUGCAAUGAUCAUGCCAGAGAAAUACAUUAAGGAAAAGCUUAUAUUAUCUAAGCCAAAACAAUGUUUUACUAGUGUGAGUAGCUCGGUUUGUGUAUGUUUUAAUUAAAUGUGAUAAUUCUCUCCUAAUGAAAAGCAUACUUCAAUGUCCCUGAUACUCUUAAAAUUUAAAACGGCAACUCGUUAUUAACUGGUUUUGUUCAAAACAUGAAGAAAAAAAAGUAGAAAUAGUAGUGGACUUUACUGGAUCUGCACAGAACUUGGAAUCAAAAUGGUGUAGGUAACAAUAGUUUGUUUGAUUCAGUUUUCCCUAAGAACGUUCACUAAAGCAAGUUCAACCAAUAAACAAAACAUCAGAGAUCAUGGAACCGAACCCUAUCCUCAAAACCACAAACAUAGACCAAACCCUAUCCUCAAUUUUUCCAUGAAAACAACAGAGACAAAAACAUGUCUUCAACUGUCUGAACAAAACACGAACAGAGACGAAACCAUAUCCUCAAAUGUUUUGAUCAAAACUACUGUGGGAACCGAAAUACGCACUGUCGAUUUUCUGUAAAAUAAGGAAAGAUAGAAACCCUAAAUUUCCCAGAGGUCCCGGAUUAUCUGCAUAAACCACGAAAAACGAAAGAGACAAAGAUAACAGAAUAUCGAAAGUAAAUUGCACAGCGGCGUAUUAUUGAUUAAUAAAAGAAAAAGAUUACAUGAUUUGCAUGAGACAAGACGGACAGAGUUUCGCUAGCCAUGUUAAUCUUAGAACAAGAACAAAAAGAGUCUUAAGUAAAAUCGAGCCGCCUAAAUUCUAAGUUUUCCUAAGCUAGCAGAGUUUUCUAGGUCUAAAAAUCUCUCCCCCUCGCCCCUGGCUUCGGCUCCUUAUAUAUAUCCCUCUAGGUCGGUUCCCCUUUCCUUGUUUUGUCUUUGGUUUAGUUUAUCACUUCGUGGAAACAUUCCAUUUUUCUUCUAUCUCUGUGUUUAUCUUCGGAAACUUCUUAUUUAUCCUCCGAACUUGCCAUUUAUCUUCUUCUGGGUAACAAAUGAUAAACCGUCGUAUCGACUGGGCUUGAUUCCGCAUAAAAUCGUAAGUAGGCUCUUUGCCGCGUCAUGGGCCCUUUCGGGCCAUUUUCCGACUUAGGCGUUUUUAAGAUUUUAUAAAAAGAGUGCUUUCGAAAUGAGGUCGUUCCCCAAGAACAUUCAAAUUCCUCGUAUAGCUUAGGCAAUUCUAGGUGUUCAGCUAACUUUUGCCAUUUUAUACGAUCAAUCCGAAUGUUAUCCGAGAAAAUGAGUUCUUGUGGUAAAGUUCCAUUGGUUCCUCCGAUCGAGACGAAACAUGAGCGAGUUUGAUAUAAUCUUGGGAGAGGAGCUUUGCGGAUGGGAUGAUAACAGCACGUUUGUUCCAGAUCGGCGGAUGGCCGAGCUGGUCGGGCGUUCGAUUCAGCUCGGCGGAUGGUCGAGCUGGUCGCGUGUUCGAUCCAAAUCGGUCAUCUGUCGAGCCGGAUGGGAUCAGUUCGUUGAACGGUUGAGCUGGACUGUUUUUUUUAGUUUCGGGGUUCGUCUCUCUUUGAAACUUACACUCGAGAACUUUUGUUGAGAGUAUGUCGAGAAAUUCUCAGUAAGGAAAGGUGAUUUUAGACGAUAUUUCGAGAUAACCGUUUUUGACCCCAACUACCACGAGCAGGACCAAAUGUUUGAUCAAAAGCCAGAAUUCUCAACAAUUAUGGGUAAAUUAUACAAACAGAGAGGAACCCUAUUCGAAACUUUAAGAAAAAAAAGUAUUCGAAGUUUUACAUAUUUGGUUUAUCAUAAUCCUUUUUCCAUUGGUUCAAACUUUCAGACAGAACCCAGAAAGUCGCUAAUCAUAUACUAUAAUAAUAAAAAAAAAUUAGGGUAACACAUAAAGGGGGUAUUACCAGAAGGUAGUAAAGUCAUAGAAGUUGUAAUCCAAGCACAUGAAGAUGAGAGAAGUGUUGGGGUCAAAAACGGUUACGACGGAAUUACCAUCCGAAAAUCCUCAGAGAUCGUAUUUCCGAAAGAGUUAAAGAAGGGAUGUAAUUUUCGUAAAAAUAAACUAUGCGAGGUUAUUUCUACGAAGAAGUAUUCUUUGGGAUUCAAACCAAACGAUCGUCCCGCUCGGUCACUACGUAGCAACCAAGCUCGGGCCAAAGCUCGGUCGCUACGUAGCGACCGAGCAAUCGUCCCGCUCGGUCGCUACGUAGCGACCGAGCUCAGCCAAGCUCGGUCGCUACGUAGCGACCGAGCGAUCGUCCCGCUCGGUCGCUACGUAGCGACCGAGCUCAAGCCAAAGCUCGGUCGCUACGUAGCGACCGAGCGAUCGUCCCGCUCGGUCGCUACGUAGCGACCGAGCGAUCGUCCCGCUCGGUCGCUAUGUAGCGACCGAGCUCGAGCCAAAGCUCGGUCGCUACGUAGCGACCGAGCGAUCGUCCCGCUCGGUCGCUACGUAGCGACCGAGCUCGAGCCAAAGCUCGGUCGCUACGUAGCGACCGAGCGAUCGUCCCGCUCGGUCGCUACGUAGCGACCGAGCUCGAGCCAAAGCUCGGUCGCUACGUAGCGACCGAGCGAUCGUCCCGCUCGGUCGCUACGUAGCGACCGAGCUCAGCCAAGCUCGGUCGCUACGUAGCGACCGAGCGAUAGUCCCGCUCGGUCGCUACGUAGCGACCGAGCGAUCGUCCCGCUCGGUCGCUACGUAGCGACCGAGCUCAACCAAGCUCGGUCGCUACGUAGCGACCGAGCGAUCGUCCCGCUCGGUCGCUACGUAGCGACCGAGCUCAAGCCGAAGCUCGGUCGCUACGUAGCGACCGAGCACUCGUUUCGCUCGGUCGCUACAUAGCGACCGGGCUCGAGCCAAAGUUCGGUCGCUGUGUAGCGAUUGAACCUUUCCGAACAUCGAUACGACACCAGUCCUUGCAUUCUCGUCAAACCUUCGAAUGCUAUCUCCCGAAGACCGUAGCAAGCUCAGUCCAUGUUUCCCGCUAUUCUAAUUCAUCGAUCAGACUUCGCGGAUUAGAAACCGCGGAAAACUCGUAGUAAACGUGUCGAGUCGGAAGACGGCCCAAAGGGACCUAAAACACGACUCGAGGCCCAUCCUACGAUUUUUCCUAACCAAAAGCCCGUGAACCAUGCUGUGGUUCACGCUUGGCCCACGAGGAAGGAUAAAUGUCAAGUUUCCGCGGAUAAAUACGGAAGUUUUAAAGAUAAUUGUGAAGAUCGGGAAAAAUAGAAUAUCUCCAUUUUUAUGCUAUGACGGCUUAAGGGCAGAACAGUAAAAGCGUAAACCGACCUUGGAGCUAGUAUAUAAGGAGUCCUAGGCGAGGAGCAGAAGGAGAACUUUUUUCAGAGCAAACUUAGAACUUAGAGCAAUUUAGGCAAUUUUCUGUUUUUGUUAUUUCGAGCUGCGACUCAAUUAGGUUUAGCCGUCUUAGGGUUGCUAGAACUAGGAAUCUCGCCGACAGCUCUCGAGCCCAGGCUUAUACCUUGUUGUAACGCUCAUACGCAGAUUCGGAAUAAAGAUCUACUUUGCUCCCUUUUCGAUUUCUUAUUUUUAUCGUUGUUAUUCUCGUGUUCUGAUUGCUUGACGUGUGGUAAUUAACAGAUAUCCAGGUCCUCUGGGAAAUUAGGGUUUCUUAGUUUCCUUAUUUAAACGGAAAUCGACAGUGCGAAUUUCGGUUCCCACAGUUUGGCGCUAGAAGGAGGGGGACUUACGGAUCAAUCUAACCCGCAAAAGCCACACACAGUCAGACAUGUCAACCAACGACGCGGAUAACGUGCAAACUCCCCUUAACGGAGGCAGCGGCACCGAUCUCCACACUCCGGUAGCGGACGUAUCUGCGGCCAACGCGCAAGCCAACGCCGCGACUCUCGAGGAGUUUAAAAAGAUGUUCGCCACCUAUGAAAAAAGGUCGGAAGAACAGGAUAAGCUCGUGAAUACCUUGACCAAACAGGUUGAAACCUUAACGGCAAGGACCCAAGCUAUCCGUCCCCGCGGAACCACCAAAAUCCGCGGGAAGAGGCUCGAUUUCGCCACCCCACUCGAUAGAGCAGGAGUCGCGCGGGAACGACCUUCCGGUCAAAACCCCAGCGAGAAGUCUCCCAUCGAGAAGGGGAACUCUGAAAGUCUUCCGCUCCCUGCAAAGGACUCGGAGGAUAACGAAGCCGAACACAUUGACCUGGACCCUAGCGAUGUCUCCAACGACAGCGACGAGGAUGGCGACAGACAUCCAAGAAGGACCAGAAGCCGAUCCGCUCGGGAAGGCUCCCCGUUCGAAAAACCAAUGACGGAAGAAGAAGAAGUCGCCUAUUGGAACGAACAAGAGGAGCUGGCCGAAAGGCAAACCGAGCUCACUCGCAGUAAGCGCCGACAGGCUCGGAAAUCCUCUGACGAGACAUCGGAUAUCCGCGAUCUUCGCGACUACAUCACCAAGACUGCGGCAGAAGUGAGAGCCGUAAAGUCUCAAAUCCAUCAUGCUACUAGUGCCGCCCCCGAGAUCGAUCGACUGCUGGAAGGAGCUCGAAAGACCCCCUUUACCAAUCGCAUUUCGGACAUGAGGGUGUCCGAUCCGGGAAAGAUCAAAGUACCGAAGUACGAUGGUACGGCCGAUCCGAAAGCGCACCUUCAGGCUUUCCACAUCGCGAUGGGAAGAGCAAGACUGAAGGACGGCGAAAAGGAUGCCGGCUAUUGCCGCCUGUUCGUCGAAAAUCUUGAAGGAGCAGCGCUCGAAUGGUUCGCACGCCUUCGUCGCAACACCAUCGGGAGUUUUCGACAGCUCGCAUCGGAAUUCCUCAAACAGUACUCUGUAUUCAUAGACAGGGAAACCUCCGAUGUUGAUCUCUGGAGUCUCUCCCAGAGGGAAGACGAACCCCUCCGCGAGUUUAUCAGCCGAUUCAAAUUGAUAAUGUCCAGGGUCAGCGGGAUAAGCGACAAAGUGGCCAUCGACGCGCUGAGAAAGACGCUCUGGUACAAGUCGAAAUUCAGAAAAUGGAUAACUCUCGACAAACCGCGAACGAUCCAGGACGCCCUCCACAAAGCAACAGACUAUAUCAUAGUGGAGGAAGAAACUAAAGUCUUAUCGCAAAAACAUAAGCCGGCAAGACCAUCCUCGAAAGACGCAGAUCCGAAGGGGAAAAAGAAGAACUCUCGUAACGACAAGUACGUCCAUCACGAGGGGGAAGAUCUCCAAGGGGCGCAUAACUAUGCGAUCAGUUCGGAUCAAGGCCGGACCACGGGCAACACAUGGACUCGCAAUCAAGGGUAUGACGAGAACACCUUCUGCGAGUUCCACCAAUCCCGAGGACACUCCACGACUAAUUGCAAAGUCUUAGGAGCAAGACUGGCCGCGAAGCUGCUCGCUGGAGAGCUUUCGGAAGUAACUAGCGUCAAGGAUCUCAUCCUCGAUUCUGAUCGGCCUCCAAAGACGGACAGAAAUCCGCCCGCCGAAAAAUCUCCUCAACGAAACCAACCUGGGGAUAAACGCGGUAGGAGGCCGGAUGACAAAGGGAACGAUAACAAUCGUCGCAGAGUCAAUAUGAUCAUCGGAGGAUCUCAAUACUGCGGCGAUACCGUGUCAGCCAUCAAGGCUUACCAACGGAAGGCAGAAUCAAGCGCAAAAUGGCCUACAUGGUCUCCUCCUCGAGACGGCCAAAAUUGCUCGAUCACCUUCACGAGGAAGAAGCCGGCGGUAUCGACCAACCUCACUGCGACCCUCUCGUCAUAGAUCUCGUCAUACGAGAUUUAGAAGUCGGAAGGGUACUCGUCGAUACGGGAAGCACGGUCAACGUAAUCUUCCGCGACACUCUCAAUCGGAUGAGUAUCGAACUCGGAGAGGUAAUUCCGACGCCAAAACCACUCACGGGUUUUUCAGGCGAAGUGUCGAUGACUCUCGGGUCAAUCCAAUUGCCAGUCAUGGCCAAGGAGAUCACGAAAAUCGUCGAAUUCGCGGUAGUCGACCAUCCCGCUAUCUACAACGUGAUCAUGGGAACCCCAUGGCUCAACGCCAUGCAGGCAGUUCCGUCAACUUACCACCUGGGUCUCAAGUUCCCAACGCCGAGCGGAGUCGCGGCCAUCUGGGGAUGCCAAAAACAGUCGCGACUAUGCUUCCUCGCGGAGCAUAAGUUAAGGCAAAUCACGGCUUCUGCAAACGGCAAACGCGCGAAGAUAGAUCGAUCUUCGGCCAAAAGCACCCCGCACAAGGACGAAGUAAAAUCGUCUGUCAACGCAAACGCAUCGGACGUCGAAGCUCGACAUAAAUCCGAAGCCCACGCGACAACUCAACCGGAACAUCCGGAAAAUAGCGUCGACCCAGCCACGAUCGACACGGUCAAGGCGGACAUCGCGACACCAACCGCCGAGUAAGAACACUCGCGGCAUGAAACAGAACUACGAGAUGGCUUGAUCCUCGAAAGGGGUACGUAGGCAGCUUGUCAAAAGACGAGUUCAGCUAUCCCCCUCUCUAAAAAGGGGGGGGAGUGGGUGCGUAUACUCGUAUACUCCCACAAUCGCCAUUAUUGUAAUCGAGUUUUUAGAAACAUAAAAAUUUUUACAAUAUACACUGUCUUUUUAUCGAAAACGCUUACGCUUCAGUUUACGCUCGUCUGCGGCCUCAUCCGGCCCAAAAAUCGUAAAGAUUAUCACCUUUCAAACACGCAUAAUCCUCGAAAAUAACUGCGAGACGUCGCAAAAAGUUAAAAUUCGAGGACAAUGCUAAACAAAUUGUCCGAACGCGACCACUAAAAACCUUACACCCCGUUCGUCGAUUGGCCCCGACGAACACGCCAGCCGUCUUAAACAAACGCAAUCCGAUCACUCUUUUGAUCUUUAAAAACGUCCAGCACAAGGACAAAAGCGCGCUACAACAAAAAUCCGAAAUUUUGGUUUAGCACUUCCAGAUUCUGAGAAGAUGCUCGAUUCGUACCAUACAAGUCAUAUAAGCCGAGAACAUAUCGCGGACUUUAAACCGGUGCGAGUCAGGAAGAAAUCGCAACAGGAAAAACGAUAGCCGGCUAGUCACCGCACAAACCUUAACCGAAAGUAAACCUAGGUCUUGCCCUAAACCCAACGCUCUGGUCUCAAACAUCUCAAGGCAUGAUAUCUAAAAGAUACGAGAUCAUAAACCAUGCCUCUCCGUUCGUAUCUCAAUGUUCUCGAAAAUCGUAAAGACAGAUAAAUUUUUACGAAAAUCACGAACGAACCAACAGAUCGAACGUCUAAUUAGAACUACAUACGAGACGACAACUCGUAUUUACUUCAACCCUACUCAGGAAAAACUCGAAACGAAACAUUUAUCAUAUAAAUAAACCGCGUAAAGCGGCAAGGGAUUCAAAGCCACCAACGGCCAGUCCCGGAAAUACAAAUACGGCCAUCGUGGCCUAAACGAAAUCCAAAUUCAAAGGGCCACAUUCGAACGAAAACAAGGAUAACUGAUCCAUCCCUCAUAAUCCAAAGUCGAAGUCCCCGGACAACGAAGCACCAAACGCAUCCGCAGGACGAUCCACUUCCUCGCCACCGCCGUGAAAAUCGAUCGGGACCUCCUCGGUAUCAGGAGAAACCGGGAUGGAAUCCCAGAACCCUUGAAUCCUCUCGUCGAUCGGAGGGAUAAGCGCCUCAGCGUGGGCACGGUCACUCAUCCCACUCUUCAUCAAGCUCAUUUCUUCUUCAAACACAUAGUCGUCGGCUUGCGUCCUCCAAAGACUUCCGACCGAACCACGGCACUCGCGAAAGUCGCCCACCGAGGUAAAGGCAUUCUUAAGAUUCCCGUACUCAACCUGGAACUGAGAUGCGCGAGUCUUCAUCACCUCGACGAUCUCUCUUUUGCCUUUCCUCUCCGAUCUGCGAACAGCCCGCGCAUGAUCACGAGUAAGCUGUGCCUCCCGCUCCAGCAUCUCGCCUUGCACACGGGCGAGAUCCCGCUCCGCUUUCUCCGCCUUGAAACGGUAGACCAUGGCUUCUCUAUGACCCGCCUCGAUGGCCGAGCCCAGCAAGCUCAGGCCCUGCAAAAUCAAUAGGCGUGUUACAAAUCCAUACAUAGGACAAUCACUUAAAAAUUCCCAAGAAAAAACUAACCCCAUUGAUGAUGCGAGAUCCUUCCGCAACGACUCUCGGCCUCGCCGAUUCUUUCGUAGGAGGAGGAGCAUCGAAGCCCGAUGGCAGCCCAGCAAAGAAAUCAUCGAAGUCCAGAAUGGGGGCUUCGCUCGAACCGCUUCCGUCGCCGUAAGCAAGGUUCGGAUCCCAUCCUGGAAGCAUAGAGUCAUCCAUCGAAAACUCUAUGUCGCCGAGAUCGACGUCUUUUCCCUUCCAAGAGCUCGACUCCGGCGCGGCUGUCGGAACUUCAACGGGACUCUGGCCGUCGGGUUCGGAGUCGCUUCCCGUAUCCGCGUCCAAAGCUGGACCAGGUUGCACAAAUUUCAGCGCCUUCCGAACCCUUCUCGGCGUGAAAGAAGUCCAGAAGAAGGGACCAUUCCUGAGAAGAUCCCUCACCGCGAUAAUAUCCUCAGGGAACGGAGCAAGAGGGUUGAUGAAGGGACAAUUGUUCGGCAACCUCCGGAACAGUGGAAUGCAACUCUCUUCGACGGACGCAGCGUCCAAACGAACAAAGAAAAAGAACUUCUUCCACGAGUUGAAGUUCGAAAUGAACUUCUUAACCACCGACAUAAAUUUCCGAGGGACAAACCUAUGCUUAUCCGUAUCCUUGACAAGUUGAAGCCUCAAAAGCGCUUCAUAAUGAUCGACGGAAAGGGAAAGGCCAUGCUCAUAGCUUAAGAUCAAGAUCCCAAUAAGGUGCUGAAUGGCAAGGGGUGUCAACUGACUUAUCGCGACUUCAAAACGGUCCAACACUCGGACGAGAAUUUCGGGUAUGGGGAACCAGAGGCGACAACGCACUAUGAACACCUCAUAACAAGUAAAGUAACCCUCCGGGGGGUUGUUAGCACACUCCCCGCGGCAGGGAACCCGGAACUCCACAACAUCCGGGAUGCGGUAGAACGACCGCAUCGUCGCGAGAAACUCGUCAGUGGUCCUACUUGCGUCCUUUCCCUCGACUCCACGAUGGACCAGGACCGGGAAUGGCUUCUCCUUGGGAGGGAUCAACGAGCCGUAAUGAGCAACCCACCAUGCCUCGUUCUCGGCAGGAUGCACCGAGUGAGGCACGAACUCCGUCUUCGGAACGACGAGCUCUUCGUAAGGACUCGCGGACGAAGACCCUUUUUUCGCAAUCUUUUUCUUGCUCGACAUCUUUACACUUCUCUUAAGAGAAUAGAGGAAAAGGGUGGAGAGAAAGAUAGAAAGUUUUUGAAAGAUCUUAGAGAAAAACAAGAAAGUGAAAAAAUUAUGGAACAAGUUACCUCUCUUCUUAUAAGACAUGAGGAUUUACUAUUCAAGCUCGGACUUUCGCAUAUUAAUUCCAUCCAUCACGCCUAACUUGCCAAACAUGCCUAACCGCACGCUAGGAUCCCCCCAUGCAUGAUCCUAACGGGCUGGGGGGCUAACUGUUGGGGUCAAAAACGGUUACGACGGAAUUACCAUCCGAAAAUCCUCAGAGAUCGUAUUUCCGAAAGAGUUAAAGAAGGGAUGUAAUUUUCGUAAAAAUAAACUAUGCGAGGUUAUUUCUACGAAGAAGUAUUCUUUGGGAUUCAAACCAAACGAUCGUCCCGCUCGGUCACUACGUAGCAACCAAGCUCGGGCCAAAGCUCGGUCGCUACGUAGCGACCGAGCAAUCGUCCCGCUCGGUCGCUACGUAGCGACCGAGCUCAGCCAAGCUCGGUCGCUACGUAGCGACCGAGCGAUCGUCCCGCUCGGUCGCUACGUAGCGACCGAGCUCAAGCCAAAGCUUGGUCGCUACGUAGCGACCGAGCGAUCGUCCCGCUCGGUCGCUACGUAGCGACCGAGCGAUCGUCCCGCUCGGUCGCUACGUAGCGACCGAGCUCGAGCCAAAGCUCGGUCGCUACGUAGCGACCGAGCGAUCGUCCCGCUCGGUCGCUACGUAGCGACCGAGCUCAGCCAAGCUCGGUCGCUACGUAGCGACCGAGCGAUAGUCCCGCUCGGUCGCUACGUAGCGACCGAGCUCGAGCCAAAGCUCGGUCGCUACGUAGCGACCGAGCGAUCGUCCCGCUCGGUCGCUACGUAGCGACCGAGCUCAGCCAAGCUCGGUCGCUACGUAGCGACCGAGCGAUCGUCCCGCUCGGUCGCUACGUAGCGACCGAGCUCAAGCCGAAGCUCGGUCGCUACGUAGCGACCGAGCACUCGUUUCGCUCGGUCGCUACAUAGCGACCGGGCUCGAGCCAAAGUUCGGUCGCUGUGUAGCGAUUGAAUCUUUCCGAACAUCGAUACGACACCAGUCUUUGCAUUCUCGUCAAACCUUCGAAUGCUAUCUCCCGAAGACCGUAGCAAGCUCAGUCUAUGUUUCCCGCUAUUCUAAUUCAUCGAUCAAACUUCGCGGAUUAGAAACCGCGGAAAACUCGUAGUAAACGUGUCGAGUCGGAAGACGGCCCAAAGGGACCUAAAACACGACUCGAGGCCCAUCCUACGAUUUUUCCUAACCAAAAGCCCGUGAACCACAUCAUGGUUCGCGCUUGGCCCGCGAGGAAGGAUAAAUGUCAAGUUUCCGCGGAUAAAUACGGAAGUUUUGAAGAUAAUUGUGAAGAUCGGGAAAAAUGGAAUAUUUCCAUUUUUAUGCUAUGACGGCUUAAGGGCAGAAGAGUAAAAGCGUAAACCGACCUUGGAGCUAGUAUAUAAGGAGUCCUAGGCGAGGAGCAGAAGGAGAACUUUUUUCAGAGCAAACUUAGCACUUAGAGCGAUUUAGGCAACUUUCCGUUUUUGUUAUUUCGAGCUGCGACUCAAUUAGGUUUAGCCGUCUUAGGGUUGCUAGAACUAGGAAUCUCGCCGACAGCUCUCGAGCCCAGGCUUAUACCUUGUUGUAACGCUCAUACGCAGAUUCGGAAUAAGAUCUAUUUUGCUCUCUUUUCGAUUUCUUAUUCUUAUCGUUGUUAUUCUCGUGUUCUGAUUGCUUGACGUGUGGUAAUUAACAGAUAUCUGGGUCCUCUGGGAAACUAGGGUUUUCUUAGUUUCCUUAUUUAAACGGAAAUCGACAGUGCGAAUUUCGGUUCCCACAAGAAGCGGAGGAGAAUAUGAUUUGGCCGAAACAAAGAGUGAAACUGGUGCUGGUGCCGAACGAUCCCAGCACAUGCUCCAUCCACCUACUCUUUUUCUCUUCAUUGUCCCAACAUGAAAAAUGCAUCAAUUCUAUUAUUUUCCUAGAAAAAGAGAGAGGAAAAGUUUCUUCAUCCAUACAUGUGACGAAGCCAACUGUACUUUGUUUCCUCUUUCUUUCAAGCCAUUUUCUCCUCUUUGCCUGUAUAAGUAAAGAUAUAGCAAACAUUAAACAAUCAAUCACUCAUCUCCUUAUAACUUAUUACAAAACCAAAGCAAGAAGCUUACAUAACAUGAAUGCAUAACUGAAACAAAGAUUCGAGCUUUAGAGGAUCUAACCAGCAACUAUUACCGAAUCCCACUCGGUUUUGCCUUUUUUUUUGAAUUGUUUCAGAUCCCAAUUUCAAUUAACUCACUUAGAUCUUGAAACAAUGAUUUUCGUCGUGGUGAUUGGCAAAUCAGUCUCGUCUCUACCUUUAUCAGACACGGAGGCGCAUUUCGUUGGAGAUUUAGUCGGCACCUCCUUUACAUAAUCAGAAGCAGGCUUCAGAAUCUCCACAGUGGUUGCAGAAACAGUACCAGAAGUGGGUGUUGACAUACUAUUUUCAGAGAAAUCUCAACAGAUGGGGAAUAGAGAGAGAGAGAUCGCUUCCAUAAAACUGCAAAGUAGAGAGAGCGUUUGGUCUGAUCGAGAAGAAGCUUUUCAAAUCGAAACAAAGCAUUGAAGACGACAUCGUGGGGGGGGGGGGGAGUGAGUCAAUGUGAUUAAAGACAAAGCCAUGACGCGGACCAUUACAGGUCGUGAGAUGAAGCGCAAACGUCACCGCCUAGCCACCGCACGGAGAGGAGAGACGAACGUCUUUUCUUCGCUUCAGCCGUAUUAGGGUUAGAGGCGACAUUCAUCUCAGCGGGCCGGAUAAAUCUUCCAGUUUCAAAGCCCAAUCCUACAAAACGCGAUCGAAGUCCAAGACGGCGUAGUUAAAUGAUACGAUGUGUUUUGGCUCAGAUUGGCACGUGUCGACUCCUCAAUAAUCGACUUUCUGACAUAGAUCCCAUGUGGCAUCAUGUGAGUGAAGAAAACAUCUUUUUAUAUGUAUAUAUAUAUAGAUAUAGAUAUCAAAAGCUUUGGUUAAUUUGUAGUAGUAUUCGUUUUGGGUUCUUAAACUAUUGUGAAGAUUUCUUAAUUAAUCUAAUUGGUUCUCUUCCAAUAUUUCCAAUUUAUUAUUAUUAUUAACUCUAAAUGCUACAAUGUUAUAGAAAGAUUUAUAUUCUAACACCUCUAUUUUUAUUCUAAACUAAAUAUUUCUUUUAUUUAUAUUUAGAAACAUAUACUAAAAUAUUUUUUACUUAUUUUAAAAAGGCUGGAAACAGUUUUUAAGUGAUUUUCAUUUUCUGAUUUGUUUUAAAGUAAUUUUACAUUUUGAAUGAAAAAAUAUGAAAUAUGAAACAUUUUCUUAAUUAAUUUAUAACAAAUAAUUAAUUUGUGAAUUUUGAUAAUUAUAAUCAAUAAUGUGCAACUUUCAAAUUUGUAUGCAUUAUGUCAAAAGAGUACCAAAUUGUAGACAUUAUACAUAAAUAACAAAUAUUUGUAGCCAGCUUAUACAAGUCACAAUUAUUUUUUCUCUGAUUCUCAGAAUGGGCAAAUGGCAUCGUGGUUCUUGUCAUGGUCAUGGCGGUGUCACAUUUUGGCCUUUCUCACUUCCUACUGUUGAUGGUGGGUCACUUGACUUACUAUCGGUAGUGUUGUUUGGCUGAUGUUUAAGUGCAGGUUGGUAGAGUUGUCUUCGGUCAGUGUGUGGCAAUAAGGUCAGCCCGUGCUUCGGCAGCAAAGGUGUAUGCUUCGUCAGGUUUCUGGCCACUUAUGGUUAGUGUCCUCUACUGAUAUCUCUUUUGUCGUCUUGUUCUUACGAGUCGGUGAAGAUUACAGGUUUGACAAAUUCGUCGGGAUCCGGUACUCUGGAAAUGGGAAUUUCUAGAAUUUAAGACAACGAGGUGAAUCUCCAGUUCACGUGGCUUUUUUCAAUUGCUGAGAACGGUAACCGAUGCUCGAUUUGGAUCCAGACUAGUGGAACGUGUCAGAGUGAUGAGUCGAAUGAAACUAGUUUAGAAAAAUUAAGUUUCUUGCGGUUUUAUUCGAAUCAGUUUGUAAUUGGAACCUAUUCCUGAUUUGGGUUGAAUAUUUAAUAUUUAAUUUAUAUAAAAAAAAAUAUUUGCGGUAGUCCAAUGGAUUUUCAUUCCUCAUUAGACACGAGACAAAAAUGAACUGAGACAAUGUAAAAUGUAUUGAUGAAAACAAUGAAAGCGUUCCAUAAACAGUUGUUUAUUGCUGAACAAGUCAGAACUUUUUCUCUAUGGUUAACAGUUAUAACUUAAAAGUAAUGCAGAUUACAACAUUAAACAAAAGACAUUUAUAUGUUCUGUGGACACAUUUUUGUUUGUUUUGUAUUAUGCUGAAAAAUAAAAAUAAAAUUAUUUUCAAUAAAAUAAUUGUAGUGGGCUUUUUUUAACUCUAGUGUAUCCACAAUGCCACCAAUAUACAAAUAUAAAUGCAAUAAGCCUCUCUCUGUCAAUAAAAGGGCAAGAGGAGAGCAAAGUACCAAACUUUUUCUCUCCGGGUUUCCUCUCAAUAAUUUCACCUUUGGGCUCUGCUUUCUUAUGUUCACCUUUUCCUACUCUUCUCUGAAAUCCCCAUUUCCUAUUUCCAAAACUUUCUCUAACAAAAGUGCAAGAACACAAAAUGUAUGCAGAUUCAGGGUUAAUGCUCCGUUACAUGCAAAACUGUUCUCCAGAUAUUCAACAAUUUGAAGACCUCUUCAAACCAUACAAGCUCUCAGAUGCUGAAAUGGUUAGAAUUUUGAUUCUCCAUUUUUCAUUUUCAUUUUCACUUGUGAUGACUAUUCUUUUUAUUUAGUUGAUUUAUAGAUUUUGUGUUUUCCUCAGAAGAUUCUGAUAGGGGUUGGUCUUUCUGAUGUAAUCAACUUUCUUUCUUCCUCUCUUUUGAAGUGUUAAGAAGAUGAGAAAAGCAAAUUUGUCUACUAGUGAAGUUGAAUUUUCCAGAGACAAAAAAAAAAAGAAAAAAAACUUGUGGUGUGAACUGUUAAGUGGCUGUGUGGCCACUUGAUGAGAUAUUUUUGUUCUGCUGACCUGACCACAAGUGUGUUUUGGCUACUGCUGAGAAAGUUGAGUAGGAAAAAAAUUAGGUCUUUUUUUUUGUUCUUUGGACAGAAGAAAAAAGAGAAUCUUUUUGAUAAAACAGAAUCUUCUUGUGCAGCAAAAAGCCAGUUCUUUCUUUUGCCCGUGAGAGAUAAAAAAAAGAGUAGUUUUCUCGGGAAAACCAAAGAAACCUUUUUUUUAUGAGAGUUGUUUCUUUUUCACAUGAGAUUCCACAAUAUCUGGAACAUGAGAGAUUCCGUGUUCCUCAAGACUUGUUCUUUAACCCUUAACAAAGAAAUGGGUUUGUUUCAUUGGCUCCACUAAAAGAUUCGCUAUACCCUUUCCACUUACAAAAAGAUCCGUACUUUACUGUCUCAAUGUCUCGAACUAUGUUCUGUUCUGUUUUGUGUUGUGGUCUUUGAUUCUGAUGUUACUUUGUGAUUGUGACUUUCUCCAGAACAACGCUUUUGCUGAGUCAUCAAACAUGCAUGAGUAUGAUAUCGGAGAAGAAGGAGAUCUGUUCAAAGCUCCUGAUCCAAUUCUUGAAGAACCAAUCUUAGCCGUUGAUCCACUCUCAGCUGCCUUAACCAUGAUCUCUUGCGGUGAAGACUCUUCCCAAGGGCUUUGUGAGCUUCCUGAUCUCGAUCUCGGGUCGUUACAAAGUGGUCAGCAGCUUCUUGAUAAAGCUUUCUAUGAAUGUGAGCAAGAUCUCAUGAUGAAGUCAGCUAUGGAGUCUACGUUCUCUGAUGUGCUAGACAUCAAGAACAUCUCUGAUGUGUUAGAUGUCAAGAACGUCUCUGAUGUGUUAGACAUCAAGAACGUCUCUGUGGUGACGGCCAUAGAUGAGAAGCAGGAUAUGCAGAAGAGCGUAAGCUCGGGGAAUUUGAGCUCUAUGGAUUGGUCACAGGCACAGCAGGAGGCUGUUGUGAUUCAGAACUUUCCUGAUUUUGCUCAGCUAGAUUUUAGUUCUGAUUAUGGGAUGCGAAGAGCCUUUAGUGAAGGUGACAUACAGGUUCGAACGAUUUUGUGAACCUUUAUUUUGUUAAAUCUUUUUUAGAGUCUAGAUGAAUAUGAAUAGUCUGAUUUGUGUGUAUCUUCUUGAUGAGCAGAAACUCGGGACUGGUCUUGUUCCAUCUCCAUUAGAUAGGAUUAUUGUGAGUUGUACUUCGGAGGAUCGACGUGAGAAGCUAUCCCGAUACAGGAACAAGAAGAGCAGGCGAAAUUUCGGGCGCAAAAUCAAGGUAUACAAAACAAAACACUUGAACAUCCUAUAAAAAAUAAACGUUGUAAGGACCUCUAACUAAUUGAGAACUAAUCUUUUUUUUUAACUCAAAGUAACUUGUUUUGUUUGGUGUCAGUAUGCUUGUAGGAAAGCUCUUGCGGAUAGCCAACCAAGGAUCCGAGGAAGGUUUGCGAAAACAGAGGAGAGGAAGUAGAAUGGUUUCAAAUAAAAUGGUGAUGGGAGUGAGCAAAAGGAAGAAUAAGGAGACAAGAUCCAUCUCCUUAGAAACUAGUUUUGUUUUGUUAUAUAAAUAUAUGUAUAAUCAUAAAAUGUUAUAUAAGCAUUCAAAUUAGUUUUUGUUUCUUUUUUUUAAGGAGUUCUCUAAAUAAGUUUUUUAAGGAAAGAAAAUUGUAGCUACAUAAGUCAUGUAAUGGUGGUUAGAUGUGUAGAUAUAUAUGUAUCUAUAAUUCUAUAUAACUAGGUAAUAACCCGCGCCUUGCGCGGGAUGUGAUUAUUAGUUUCGAUAUUUUUAAUAAAAAGACAUUAAAUCUGUUUAAUCUGGAUAUUGGUUCGGUUUUAAGUUUUUUUUUUUUGGUUUUUAAUCUUCUAAAAUAUAACUAUUAUUUUAAAUUAAUAUUCAUUUUAGUUUAUUCGGUUAAAAUGUUUGAUUUUUUUUUGUUUUUUUCCGGUAAAAACCAAAAAUUAAUAUUAUUUGUUUAUUUUCAUGUUAUGCAUUUUAGAUAGUUGUCAUGUCGAACCAAUAGUUUCAUAUUAUAGUUUCUAAACAGAUAAUAUUUAAUGAAAAAGAAAAGAAAAUUAUUAAGACAAAUCAUUUUACUACAAUUUGUCGGUAGUGAAAGAAGCAAUAAGAAAAAAUAUAUCAAUUUUCAAAAGAAUUAGAUAUUUCAGUUGUUGUAUGUGUAUGUAAAAAGUAUAUAAAAAUAGUUGACAAAUAUAUAAAGAUAUUGUUAAUUAAUAUGAAAUGACAUUUUUGUUCAAAAUAAUAAAAUUAAAUUUAAAUUAAAAUAAAAAAGGCUUUGACAUUAGUCAUUUUUCAUAUAAAGAAAUAAAAUUGUAUCCGUAAAUAGGGGUGAGGCCAAAUCGAAUAUAUAGGUAUUUGGAAGCAUUCGUGCCGAUUCAAUCUUUAGCCACCUAGAUAUUCGGUGAUUCGGAUAUCUGAAAUGUUUUAGAAUUUUAAAGAAUAUCGAUUUGAUCCGUAAAUAAAAUAAAAUUUUAAAAUAAUUGAAAAUUUUAAUAAUAACAUUUUAUUACGAAAAUAAAACAUUAUUUAACUUUUUAAAUUUUAGUACCUAAUAUAUUUAAUUUAAUUCAUAACAUAUAUAUAUAUAUAUAUAUAUGUAUAUAUAUAUAAUUCUUUACAUAUGUGUAUAUAUAUUCAUAUAGCAGAUCAAAUUAGAUAUAUGUUCCUAAAAUUAUUGGUAUUUGUGAUUUGCUUUUUGUUUGGUCAUUGAAUUUUAGUAUUUGAUUUGUUUCGUAGAGUUACAGAUAUCUAAAUUAUUUGGUUCAAAUCAAAACGGAUAACGAUUCGAAUCAAAAUUUAUGAAUAUUUUGCUCAACUUUAUCUGUAAACAAUAAAAGUAAUAUAUAUAUAUAUAUAUAUAUAUAUAUAUAUAUAUAGUUUGGCUUUUGAUUCGUUAUCUAUUUUUAUUUGAACCGAAAAAUCCAGAGUUUUAUUGGAACAAUGUAUGUGAGUUUUAUAUUUAAAAACGCAAAAUACAUAGUGUGAACACAUUUAUGAAUAUAGUGUGAACGCGUUAGCAUAUUUAUUAUCAAAUCACUGUGAAUCUGACACGUGUCCGUUAUAGUGUGAAUGUAUUUAUUACAAUGUUUCUCUUUUAAUAUAUAAGGGAUUAUUUAUUAGAUAAUGUGAAGUAAAAAGUAAUUUGAUGUUUCUUUGCUUGUAAGCACCGCAACAAGUUAGAUUUAACUCCUUUCUUAUUUACAGGUUUCAGAGAAUAUGCAUUUUCAUUCUAUUCGUUUUUAUCAUAAAGGAACACCAAUCAUAUAGUUUUUUUUUGCCAUCUCACCAAUCAGAUAGUUAUUGAAUUUAGUUUUAGAGAAAUUUUGUUCUAGUUCGUUUAAUAAUCCUCUUGCAAAUUAGAAUUCGAUUUGAACUUAGAGCAUCUCCAAAAAGGAACUCUAUUUUGAAGUUUCCAAAACUCUAUAUUUGAAGUUUCAAUGUGUUCUUCUUCAAAAGUAAAACUUUAAACCUAACUUCAAAACUAUUUAUAUUUUACACUAUGGUCCUUAUAUUUGUCAUAGUUAAUGUAAAUUCUUAAAACUUCUAUAAAUAACUAGUAUAUAUAUAUAUUUAUAUAUAUAUAUAAAUAUUACAGAAAUAUUAAUUAAAAAAUCUUACACUAAUAAACUUUUUAAUAAGUUUUUAUUAUGGUUUUUUGUAAUAUUUUUGUUGUUUAAUCCUAGUUUUAAAAUAUUAUAAAUCUUGUUUUAAAAUUUUUAUUUAAUUUCAUGUGUAAAACUUAAAUUUAUAAACCAAAUUUGAAAUAUAUAUGAGAUAUAAAAGUUUUAAAGAUUAAAACAAUAAACAAAAAUAUAUUUAAGAAUUAUAAAUAUUAUGUAUAAUUGUAAGGACCAAAAUGCAAAUAAAAAGAUGAAACUUCAAAUUUGAAGUUUUGAAAAAUGAAACUCUAUAUUUGGAGUUUCACUCUUCAAAACUUCAAAUUUGAAGUUUUGAAGUUUCUCUUUGGAGAGCAAAAAACUCUAUAUUUAGAGUUAUAGAGUUUCUUUUGGAGAUGCUCUUAUAAGAGAAAAAUCAACAAGACAAUUGGAACGGAUCCCCAAAGUGAUUUCAACCACUCAUAGUUUUUUUUUCUCAACCACUCAUUUACUGGUGUCUCUUCUUUUCUUUACCAAUGGCACAUGUUUCUUGCUCAAUAACUAACUCCCUUUGGUGUUACUGCGUUUUGGAUGGAGCUUAUACUAAAUAUGCAGUAGAUAACAAAUGCUGUGAACACAUGACAUGUGAUCACUAUCAAAAAUAAAACAUUCUUUUGGCGUUUUCAAACUACUCAUACUAGUUUUUACUCUGUAGUUAGAUUCAUAACCCCAGUGUUUUUUUUCACACAAAUCAUCCAACGAAUGUUUUUUUAAUUAAAAUAUACUCCCUCUGUUCCUAAAUAUAAGAUUUUUAGGUACAAACAUCUUAUAUAUUAAAACAGAAGUCACAACCUUGAUUCAUGUGUGAUUUUUAAAAAAAUGGACCUAAUGGACCUAUUCAUAGAAAUUCAUACUAUAUUUUAAUUCAGACUAAUAAUAAAUAUAACUUUUAAAAUAUUUUAAUCAUAGUAUCUUUUGAUAUCUUUUCAUUUUAAAUAUAAAUAUAUUUAUUUUAAAAUUCUAACAAAUCUGUUUAAAAAGAUUUUUACAAGAUCUUCAUUUUUGAAAUUAUAUUUAAAUAUUUUCACUAAUUUCGAAAUUAGUUUAAAAUAUUAUUAUACAUUAAUAUAUUCAGUUAUAUAAAAUGAAAAAUAAAAAAUCUAUAAUAUUUUAGUUAUUAUAUAAUCAUAAUCAAUCAUAUUAAAUUAAAAUUAUUAUAUUAAUCUAAAUAUAAUAAAAUUGUAUUAAAUUUAUAAAUUUAUAUAUUUUAUUUUCGCAAUUAUAAAAUAUUUUAUGUUCAAAAAUAAAAUCUAAUAUGUUGGUAAGAUGGGUUAACAUUAUCAAACUAUAUAAUACAUGUAUAAAAAUUAACAUGUAUUUCUUUAAAGUUAAUAAUAUAAAAUCUUUGUAACUACUUUAAUCAUAAUAUAUUUUCAUUUUAAAUAUAAUAUAUAUUUAUAUAUUAUAUUUUAUAUUUUAAAAAUUCUAAUAAAUCUGUGUAAUAUUUAAACAAUAACUUAAUGUAUUUUAAGUUAUCGUUUAGAAAUGAAAAUAAAUAAAUUAUAUCCUAUUUUAUCUACUUUUAUACUCAUGAUCAUGUUAAAUAUAAUUAUUAUACUAAAAUAAAUACGAUAAAAUUAUAUUCAAUUGAUAAAUUUAUAAAUUUUAUUUUCAUAAAUAUAAACUAUUUAUUUAAAAUAUAAUAUGAUGAUAGAACGACUUAAAAUUAACAAAUUAUAUAAUACAUGUCUAAAAAUUAACAUAUCUUACACUUUUAUAUAUACAAUAAUAAAUUAUCUAAAAUGAAUAAGCAUAAAAAUAUUGGUAAAAAGAAAUCCAGUUUUGAAAUACGAGUCAGAAUUUAGCAUAAAUUAAAUACAAAAUAUUUUUUAAAUAUAUUUUCUCAUGAAUAUAUUAAUUUGCUUAAUAACUAAAUGCAAAUACAAUAAGAUAAAUAUAUAAUAAGAAGUGGCAAAUACAUAAAGUUUAACAUGUAAAUUAUAACAUUAUUUUAUCUGAAAUAGUUAUAUAAAUAUUUAAGUAUAUGAUUAACAUUAAAAAUAUAUACCACUUAUAUUCUAAAACAAUAAUUUAUGUAUAGAAAAGUGAAAACAAACACCCGUACGGUUGCACGGGUCAAAAUCUAGUAUAUAUUAAGAAAACUACUUUUUGUCUAAAAAAUAUCAUUAAAACUAUAAAUUAAUGGUAUUCAACCAAUUACAAAAUCUUAUAUAUUAAAAGAGAAGUCAUGACUUUUUUCAUGUGUGAUUUUUUUUAAUUUGGACCAUCACUUAGAAAUUUUAUUAAAUGUAUUUUAUUAAGACUAAUAAUACAUAGAAUUUUUAAAAUACUUUUAUCAUAAUAUCUUUUGAUAUCCUUUUUAUUUUAAAUAUAAAUAUAUUUAUUUUAAAAAUCUAACAAAUCUGUUUUAAAAGAUCUUUACAGGAUCUUCAUUUUCGAAAUUAUAUUUAAAUAUUUUUCACUAAUUUCGAAAUUAGUUUGAAAUAUUAUUAUACAUUAAUAAAUUCAGUAAUCGUUUAUAAAAUAAAAAAUAAAAAAUUCUGUAAUAUUUUAUAUAUUAUAUAACAAUAAUCAAUCAUAUUAAAAGAAAAUUAUUAUAUUGAGCUAAGUAUAAUAAAACUGUAUUAAAUUUAUAAAUUUUAUUUUCAUAAGUAUAAAAAAAUUAUGUUCAAAAAUAAAAUCUAAUAUGUUGGUAAGAUGGAUUAAGCAAAAUAUAUAAUACAUGUAUAAAAAUUAACAUGUAUUUCUUUAUAAUAUAAAAUCUUUGUAACUACUUUAAUCAUAAUAUAUUUUCAUUUUAAAUUCUAAUAAAUCUGUGUAAAAGUAUUUUAACAAUAAUUUAAUGUAUUUUAAGUUAUCGUUUAUAAAAUAAAAAAUAAAUAAAUUAUAUCCUAUUUUAUCCACUUUAUGUCAUGAUCAUGUUAAAAUACAAUUAUUAUACUUAAAUAAAUAUGAUAAAAGUAUAUUCAAUUGAUAAAUUUAUAAAUUUUAUUUUCAUAAAUAUAAAUUAUUUAUUUUAAAAAUAUAAUAUGAUGAUAGAACGGCUUAAAAUUAACAAACCUUAUAAUACAUGUCUAAAAAGUAAGAUAUUUUAGACUUUUGUAUAUACAAUAAUAUAUUAUCUAAAUUGAAUAAACUUAAAAAAUAUUAGUAAAAAGAAAUACAGCUUUGAAACACGGGUCAGAAUUUAGCAUAAAUUAAAUACAAAAUAUUUUCAAAUAUGUUUUUUCAUGAAUAUAUUAAUUUGUUUAAUAACUAAAUGCAAAUACAAUAAGAUAAAUAUAUAAUAAGAAGUAAAAAUACAUACGGUUUUAAUCAAAUGAUUUAUUAUAACAUGUAAAAUAUAAUAUUAUUAUAUUUAAAAUAGUUAUAUAAACAUUUAAGUAUAUGAUUAAUGUUAAAAAAAUAUACCACUAAUGUUUAAAAAUAAUAAUUUAUGUAUAAAAAAAGUAAAAACAAACACCUGCGCGGUUGCGCGGGUCAAAAUCUAGUAUACUAUUAAAAUAUGAUUGGAUACACAGUUUUUAAUAAAGUAAAAGUUACUUAGAAAAAUGAAAACAUCUUAUAUAUUGGAACAUCAAAAUUCUGCAAAAAUCAUAUUUUCAGGAACAAAGGGAGUAGUAAUCAACAAUACUAAAAUACCCAGAACAAUCGGGCAACGGAACAAUUACACAUCCGGCCGAUUUAGAUCAUCCAUCGAAUUGGAUCCAAAAGACUUGGAUUCUCUCCACCAACUCGUUUGAAACCCAAUAAACAACAACAAAAACACCUACUAAAAAAACAAAGUUGAGUAACGAGUUCGAGGAAAAGCAUACCAGCAAAAAAAAAGUUUGACUUUUUAUAUAUAAAAAAAAUCUUGUAAAAGAAAACGAGGAGUUUACUUAAAAAGAAAUAAAAAAGGUUACUGAGUUUUAUGACAAAACAAGAGCUCGCGAGUACAGUAUAGUUAAAUACCGUACCAUGUAACUUCCAGUUUCAGUUCCAGUUCCAGUUCCAUAGUUGUUGGAGAUUGUUACAGGUUCUAAUAAAAAAACAUCAAAUAAAAAGAACACACAGGUUUUAGUUGAAAGAAAACGGAUGAAACACCAAACAUAAAAAGAAAAGAAAAACACGAAGAGAGAAUCGGUCUAAAAACUCUAAUAAACCAGAAGACAAGAAAACGAGCCAAGGAAGGGAAGGAAGGCAUAAUCGCGCAAGUUAGCCUAAUUACAUGAUUCGCCGGUAAUGUGCACACGUCUCAAGUCCGAAACCAAUCUCUCUUAUAGUAUAUAUAUUUUUUUUAUCUUUUAGUAUUUUCUUCUCUGCCCUUCGUCGUCGUCGUCUUCUCUCUCUUAACAACUCUGUCACGCUCUCUCUCUCUCUAAAAGUUCCUCACCGAGCCAAAAAAAAAAAAGAAAAAGCUUUCGUCUUUCAUCUUUCGUAUUUCGAUUCAGCAUUCCGUUUAAUAUCCUUAUCCAAAUCAAAUAAAAAGGAACCAACGCAUUCUUGUUUUCUUCUGGGUUCCUUAUAGUUUCUAGAGAGAGAAAGAUAAAGUUAGGAUUUUUUUUUUAAUCGAGAACAGAUCUCUUGAGCCAAGAAAAAUCAAUUCAUCUGCAAUUGAAUGCGAUCUGCGGCAGUGGGUGAAUCUCUGUUUGAUAAGUGUUAGUUCAAUCAACGAACUUUGGAGGCGAGAUUAGGGUUUCGUGAAAGGGGGAAUCAAAGAAGAAUGAUUAUCAAACGGAAACUGAAACGAAUGCCGAGUUUGAAACGACGUAGUAAUGAGGAGGAGGAGGCUCCUCGUGGGAAGAAGAAGAGAAAGGUGAGUUACAACUAUUACCCUCUCAGUCUUCUCGGAGAGAUAGGCGCCGGGAUAGUUCCGGGGAAACUCAACGGGAAUAAUGGGUUCUCUGCUUUGUGGUGCAAGGAAGUCUCUUCUCCCGUUGAGCCUGACUCUAAGUCUAAGAGGAUAGUUAUUGAUCCCGGCCGUGGAAGGGAUCGGACGGCUGGUGUUUCUCGGCCACCGCUUGUGAGGACGUCGAGGGGGAGAGUUCAGGUGCUUCCUUCUCGGUUUAACGACUCGGUUCUCGAGAAUUGGAGGAAAGAUAGUGGCGAUGAAGAGCGAGAGGAAGAGGUUGAAGAAUGCAGGAAGGAGAGAGUCAAACCUAAGUUCAUUCCUAGGAACCAUAAGUAUAAUAGUAGUGCACCCUGUCAUGAUGAUGAUGAUGAGGAUGGAGAGAUGGUGAGGUAUAGUAAUGACAUGAGGAAGCAUAUGAGCAGCUCUCGCACUAGUACGCUUGAGGAGGCACGUCCUAAGAAAGAAGGUGUUUAUGGGCCUGAGGAUUUUUACGCUGGUGAUUUGGUUUGGGGUAAAUCUGGGAAGAACGAACCCUUUUGGCCAGCUAUUAUCAUCGAUCCAAUGACGCAAGCCCCGGAGCUUGUUUUGCGGUCUUGUAUACCUGAUGCUGCAUGUGUCAUGUUCUUCGGUCACUCCGGGACAGAGAAUGAAAGGGUAAUGUGUAUAUUCUCUUCUUCUUCUUCUAUGAUUGUUAUUAACUUGAGUUUAUGUAACAGGACUAUGCAUGGGUUAGAAGGGGCAUGAUCUUCCCAUUUGUGGAUUAUGUAGACAGGUGUGUCGUCGCUUAUGAUCUUACAAAAAAGAUGUUGUUUGUUUGCAUGUGGAUAUUUUGCUUAAUAGUUACUUUCUUACUUAGGUUUCAAGAACAGUCCGAGCUGCGUGGAUGCAACCCUGGUGAUUUUCAGAUGGCACUUGAAGAAGCUCUUUUGGCAGACCAAGGAUUCACAGAGAAGUUGAUGCAGGAUAUCCACAUGGCCGCUGGUAACCAGCCGUUUGAUGAUUCUGUCUACGGAUGGAUUCAAGAAGCUGCAGGCUCGAGCCAAUAUCUUGAUCACGUUGCUCCAAGCCAGGCAAGUUUCUCUUUUCUUGGGGUUCCCUUUUCGAGCAUGUAUAGCUUAUUCCUUUAUUUGUUUGCAGGACAUGUUGAAGAAAUAUAGAAAUCCAAGAGCAUGUGUAGGAUGCGGAAUGGUCCUCUCUUUUAAGAUGGCAAAGAAAAUGAAAGCUCUGCUUCCCGGAGAUCAGUUAUUGUGUAAACCUUGUUCAAGGGUACGUAAAGUUUCUUAUAUUCUCCUUCUUGAUUCAGUUUCAGUUCAGUGAGCUCAAAACUAAUUAUUGUUGCAGUUGACAAAACCAAAACAGGUUUGUGGUAUAUGCACAAAGACAUGGAAUCAUUCUGAUAGUCAGCGCUGGGUAAAAAUACAAUACAAAUCAUGUUAAUACUAUUGUAGUCAAGAAUCACCUAAUGUUUUCUUCUUGCAAUCUUACUGAUUGAUUACAUAACGGUGAAUCAGGUGCGUUGUGAUGGUUGUAAAAUCUGGAUUCAUGCAGUGUGUGAUCAGAUAUCACAUAAGCAUUUUAAGGUACAUGUCCAUGUUGUUGCUCUUUAUCAAGGUUAUCUUGUUCCCUGCUGCUUGCUUGUGCUGACAUCAGAUCUCAUUUGGAAUAACCUGAAGGACUUGGGGGAAACAGAUUACUAUUGUCCAACAUGCAGAGCAAAAUUUAACUUUGAUCUAUCAGAUUCAGAGAAACAAGACUCAAAAUCCAAGUAGGUCUAUUUACUUGCAACUUUUUAAAUUCUUACAACAAUUGAAUUACCAAAUUCUAAAGUUGAGAGUUUUCUGGUGGUAGAACUGGCAAAAACAGUUCUUCCCCCAUGGUGCUUCCUGACAAGGUUAUUGUUGUAUGCACCGGAGUUGAAGGCAUUUAUUUUCCAAGCCUUCAUUUGUAAGUUUACACCGUCUGACCUUAAUUUCUCCAGAACUUUAGCCUAUCUAUGUUGAAUGAUUUAGAGAGAGUAUUCUUACUCCAUUUUUGGUAUAUUUACAGAGUGGUAUGUAAGUGUGGGUCUUGUGGACCUGAAAGGAAAGCACUUAGUGAAUGGGAAAGGCAUACUGGUUCAAAAGCAAAAAAUUGGAAGACUAGUGUUAAAGUUAAAAGCUCCAAACUGCCUCUAGAAGAAUGGGUUUGUGCAAAUUUUCCUCUUUUUCUUUUGCACUUGUCCUUUCAAUUACAUAAAAGUUUGACUGCCAUAUAUUCCUUCACUCUGCAGAUGAUGAAAUUAGCAGAGUUCCACGCAAAUGCUACUGCAGCAAAACCUCCUAAACGACCUUCUAUAAAGCAGAGAAAGCAGAGGUUGCUUUCCUUUCUUAGAGGUAUUAAGCAAUUCGGAUCUCAGAACUUAGCAAAAGGUUUAUGCUUUCGUUAUGCGUUGUUAAUGUUGGCUUGUUCUUUCAUCAUUGGCAGAGAAGUAUGAGCCGGUCAACGUGAAGUGGACAACGGAGCGAUGUGCAGUAUGCAGAUGGGUUGAAGAUUGGGAUUACAACAAGAUCAUUAUCUGCAACAGGUACUGUUCUAAAAUGCAAAUGCAUAGUUGCUCUAAGCUUUUCAUUAAAAUCAUAUAUUAUAGUUGUUUUCUUGUUAUAUUAGAUGGAAAUUAUAGGAAUUGUGAAACAUGAUCUAAUACCAUUGAAAAUGAUGUCUUCUGUCUCUUUUCUCAGAUGUCAGAUUGCUGUGCAUCAGGAAUGCUAUGGAACGAGGAACGUUCGUGACUUCACAUCAUGGGUCUGCAAAGCCUGCGAGACACCUGAGAUCAAACGAGAGUGCUGCCUCUGUCCUGUAAAAGGCAUGUCGUUUCUUAUUUGUUCACGCAUACUUAACACGGUCUUCUUAGUUUACUGUUACAACUAGUGGCACCUAUGCAUAUUACUUAAAAAGAGAAUUUGUAGCAUUGUUGCCUGUCAACUAACUUUUUCGCCAAUUUUUGUGUGCUGAUCAAUAGGAGGUGCACUGAAGGCAACUGAUGUGGAGACACUGUGGGUUCACGUGACAUGUGCUUGGUUUCAGCCUGAAGUAUGUUUUGCGAGUGAUGAAAAAAUGGAACCAGCGUUGGGGAUUUUGAGUAUUCCAUCAAGUAAUUUUGUGAAGGUACUAUAUACCUUUUUGCUAUCAUUUGAUGGUAACUUGUUCCUAUCCUAUGUGCAAAACUAAAAAGCAAGAAACUAUUCUCCUUUUUUUUAAUGAAAUCCAGAUUUGUGUGAUAUGCAAGCAAAUACAUGGGUCAUGCACUCAAUGUUGCAAGUGCUCUACUUAUUAUCAUGCCAUGUGUGCUUCCCGAGCUGGCUAUAGAAUGGAGGUAACAACUUCUUUACUGUAUCUGACUCCUGCGUUUAAUUCUCUAAGAUACUAUAAGUUUGUUUGGUAAUAAUAUAUGCACAUUUUUGAAUGUAGUUGCACUGCUUGGUGAAAAAUGGUCGACAGAUCACAAAGAUGGUGUCGUACUGUGCUUUUCACAGGUAAAUAAAUGGUCUUAUAUAUAUUAUGCUGCAAUGUCGUUGCAAUCUGAUUUUGGAUUUAUAAGUUUGGUGUUUCUGUGUUGUUUAAUUUUUUUUUUUGGUUGUAGGGAGCCGAAUCCAGAUACUGUGCUAAUAAUACAAACGCCUUCAGGGGUCUUCUCUGCCAAAAAUCUUGCUCAGAACAAGAAGAGUACAGGUUCGAGGCUUAUUUUAGCAAACAGAGAAGAAGUUGAAGAGCCCCCUCCAGAGGAGGCUGUACCAGUUGAUCCAUUUUCUUGUGCUCGUUGUCGAGUUUUUAAAAGAAAGGUUAAUAGCAAGAAGGUAAAUCUUUGGAAAACUCUUUAUGCAUAGGUUUGUUCAGUGAGCUGAUCCAUUAUGUGUGUGUGCGUGCUUGUGAUUGUGAUUGUACAGAGGAGUGAAGAAGAAGGUAUUCCUCACCAUACAGGAGGACCACGUCAUCAUCCUUCAGCAGCCAUCCAAACUCUGAAUGCAUUCAGGGUAAGAAUUAUGCUUUCUGUAGUGCUGCUAAUAAGCAAAAUGCAUGCCUUGAGACUGAAGCUUUUUUUUGGUUAAAUAUAAUUUGUGUAGCAUGUGGCAGAAGAACCCAAAUCAUUUUCCUCGUUCAGGGAACGGCUUCACCACUUGCAGGUAAAGCUUUAACAUAAGUUUGAAAGAGAUUAUGUACAUGUAUCUUGUUGUAUUAGCAUCGAGUCACGAGUUUCAUGUCUUGUGACAGAGGACUGAAAUGGAUCGGGUGUGCUUUGGUCGAUCGGGAAUACAUGGAUGGGGUCUUUUCGCUAGAAGAAAUAUUCAAGAAGGAGAAAUGGUAGGCUGAGAGCCAUCUGAACAUAACAGUACCUCUUCCUUUCCUUGCAUCUGUUGUGUGAAGUGUUGAAAUGUAUUUUUCUGUUUAGGUUCUCGAAUACCGCGGGGAGCAAGUGAGAGGAAUCAUUGCAGACUUAAGGGAAGCAAGAUAUCGUAGGGAAGGGAAGGAUUGCUAUGUAAGUUGCAUUCUCUUGCUACAGUCUUAACAUGAGUUUUUGAGUAUAGAUUUCUGAAACCUUUAUGUUUGUUUUGAAUAUGUUGCAGCUGUUUAAGAUAAGUGAGGAAGUAGUGGUGGAUGCUACAGAAAAAGGGAAUAUCGCUAGACUAAUAAAUCAUUCGGUAAGCAAAUCAAUCAAGUACAUUCAAUGAACAGAGAGUCUUAGAGUCUAAAAACACUAAUUGGUGUGUUGUGUUUUGGUGUGAUGCACCACAGUGUAUGCCAAAUUGCUAUGCAAGGAUAAUGAGCGUAGGAGAUGAUGAAAGUCGGAUUGUACUGAUUGCCAAGGCCACCGUACCUACUGGGGAGGAGUUAACGUAUAAUAUACACAUCACUACUCUCUUUACACAGUUAAACGCAUUUUGAUUCAUUUACUAAAUAUGACUGACAUGGUUGGUUGGUGUGUAUGUGUUUGGCAGAUAUGAUUAUUUGUUUGAUCCAGAUGAGCCGGAUGAAUUCAAAGUGCCAUGCCUAUGCAAAUCUGCCAACUGCAGGAAAUUCAUGAAUUAGAGAAAACUUUGUUGGAGCUGCUCUUUUACACUUGAGAAGAAGAAGAAGCCAAGAAGCUGACUACUACUGACACAAGAACAUGCUGCACUCCACGCUUGAAUAGGACAAACUCAGGGAGCUUAAAAAGCUGAUGAAAUAGAACCUUUACAGCGACACCGCUUUUUUUCCGAUACUCUAAUAAGGCACUUCUUCAGUUAUCUAUAGAAGCUCCAAGUUUUUUUGUUUUUGUAGGUAGAAAGAAAGACUAGAGAGGUUUGUAGCUUAGUCAUUUCUUAUAUCCCAUUUCUGUAUAGCUAACUCUGCAAGACCUUUUCCUUUUUUAGGUUCUUUUUUUUUUCUUUUUCAGUGACUCAAAUAUCAAAAAGCAACAAAAAAUAGACUUUGAAAGAACCUUUUUUUUUUAUCUAAUGUUUUAUUAUUUUCUUAAUUUACGAAAUGAUAAAAGAAAGAGGGCACAAAAAAAGGAACAGAAGAAAGCAAAUGGAUUUUUGAGAAGAUGUAAUUAUGUCUUAAUGUGUACUUGAGAUCGGAAGCCGGUUCGGUAAAGUUUUAGUGGUUGGAUGUAGAGCUGAAUUGCGGGUCAAACCUGCUCUACCCGCAAAUCCGCGGAUUGGCUGAUUUUUUUACUCAAAAAAUUUGAUUCGCUUGACCCGUGAGAAGAAAAUAUGAAACCCGUACUCGCUCUGCUUUAAACCUACAGGUGAUCUGCUAGAACCGCGGAUAAUAAUAAUAGUAAAUUUAAAUAUUUUUAUAAAAAUAAUAAUAAUAUUUAAUAUUUUAAAUAUGUUUUAUUAAAAAUAAUAAUAAAAUUUAAUAUUUAAAAUAUUUUUUUAUUAAAAAUAAUAAUAAUUUUCUAUUUAUAAUUAAAAUUAAAUAAUUUUUAAAUUUUUUGUUUAAAAUUAAUAUUUUUUCAAAAAAAUCCUUUUUUUUUAUUUUUACGGGUUGACGGAUACCCGCAGUCGAAUUUUAGCUGACCCGCACUCGCUCCGCAUAAAAAUCACUCAAUCCGCACCUGCAUCCGCAAACCAAAAUUUUCAAAUUACUCGAUCCGCAUUCGUCCUGCCGCGGAUCAAACGGACGGGGCCUGCGGAUGGCCCGCGGAUAAUGAUUCAUAUUCCCAGCAUUAGUUGGGUGGGUUAUUUUCAUACUCCGUCAUCCAUCCAAUCAGCGAUCGCCACGUCAUUAUGAAACCCAAAUGAGACCCAGUAAAGGUUGUCCUCUAAAGCCCCAUUACGCUGAUUCAGGCCCAAUGUGAGAGAUAUUUUUGUAGAGAAAAUCAAACGGGGGCAGACGUAGACGCGAGUCGACCUCGAGGCGCGAUGCCUCAGGCGUACUUCAUCACGCAACUCUCACGAGCUUCUCUGUCCUUUUAUACCACUUUCGUUUUUUUCUUCAUUUCUUUAAAUUUGUGAAAUUUAAUCCUUUUCUCGAAGGUGAAGAAGUUGCGUGUCGUCCAUCUUCAGACCGAUCUCUCCCUCUCUCUGUUUUUUCUCUGUGUUUGGUCGGUUCCUCUUACCGGUAAGAUUUUGCAAUACGAUUAAUUGUGUAAUGAUUGGAAAUUACUUGCUAAAUUUGGAAACUUUCUGAACAUUGCAUUGAUUUUAUGUAGCGGGUUAGUGUCGGAUGGCUCUUUGUGGUGUUUCAUCGACUCCAAGCCUUCGAAGUUUGGAAAUUUUGCAAUCUGCUAGAAACUCAAGCAUUGGUCUGAAACGUAACCGUAGUUUAUGUCAUCCCACAAACUCUUCGUAUCGUGCUAAACCUGUGAGACUCCGUUGUUCAUCUUCUAAUGUGGAGAUGGAGGAGGAUGUUGGGAAUGGUAGCUCCUCUGUCUCUGUGGAGGAUGAAUCAGCACAUGUGAUGCAGUUCAAGUGGAAUGAUUUCAAGAUUCUUGAUCGUGUUAGCAUCGGUCAUGGCGGUCGGGUAAAUACACAUUUAACCAAUUUGAUUGGUCGUGUUUCUUUAUUAUAUUUUACUUAUGUUGCUAAUUGAGUUUACUUUCUUACAGGCGGAUGAGCUUGUGUUUGAAGCUGUAGUUCAGGUUCCAGAUAGGUCAGUUUCUUACUUCAUUGUAUUACAAGGUUGCAAGAUAAACAAAAUUUCAGGGGCUUCAUCUGUGUGUGGUGCUUUAUAUUCCACAGCCCUUUGUUUAACCAAGGAGUUGUUCUUCGGAAACUGAAUACAACUCAUGCUCAAAGAAGGGGAAGAAGAGCCAUUGAAGUUCGUUGUUUCCUUUUAAAUCAAAAUCACUUACUAGCUUCUUGUAUCUCUGCUCACUCUUACUACUUUGCAGGUAUUGAAGAAGCUAGUUCGUCGUAGGCUUCUGUACCAUUCUUACUCAAUGCAAGUUCACGGUUAUAUCUCUAAUAGCUUGAGGAGCGAUGAUCCCUACUCAUUUACCCUCGUACACGGGGUAUGUUCUUCUGUAUAUUAUAUACUUCAUAGGUUUCCACCAUAUAAUUAAUAUGUAUCUCUCUCUCUCUCUCUCUUCUUGCAGUGCCAUGGGAGUUUCUCGAUUAGGCACUGGCUUCAGCAAUCUGAUUGGCUUCCAACGUUAGAAGCUACACUUGCGCUAGAUGAAGAAUCCUUUAGAAGAGUAGGGGAUGAUACAACUGGAGGACCUGCAGUUUCAAGGCAGCUAAGACUCAUCCGUAUAUUAAUGAGAGAUCUUUUAAUCGGAGUAUGUAUUAUUGUGUCCCCUUCAUAACAAGCAGAAUAGUUCUUUCUUUUGGUCAUCAUGUCAUUGAUUUGGUUAACAUGUGUGUUUUUGGUCUUGAAAGGUCAAUUACUUGCACAGCCAUGGUCUUGCUCACACAGAACUGAGAUUGGAGAAUGUGCACAUUAGCCCUGUGGAUAGACAUAUCAAAGUUAGUAUUAUUAUGCUUUCAAUCAAUUUCGAUUAUGAUGAAGAUAAGUCAAUUAAUAUUUCGCAAGUGUAGGUAGGGAUUCUGGGAAAUGCUGCCGACUUUUAUGGGGAUGGUCCAAGCAGUAGCAACGCUUACAGUACCAUGGACAGAAGACAGAUGAUGAUAGCAUUUGACAUGAGGUAAUAUUUUGAGAUCUAAUCAUCAUUUCUGUUUUUGUUUACAUUACUCAGAUUAAUUUUGAUAUUUAAUUUUCACGGUCAAAGAUGUGUUGGAUUCAUGAUGGCUAAAAUGGUACUCCAAGAACUGAUGGAUCCAUUAAUCUUUUCCAAACUAAAGUCUUUCCUGGCAAAGGUAAUCAUUUGAAUAAUCCAUAGAUGAGUUUAAUGUUUAUAAAAAAAUGUUUAAACAUUCUUGUAAAUGUAAUAUCUAGAGGAAUGAUCCUUCUUCUCUACGGGAGUUCUUUGUGACGACGCUCAAUACAAACUCAGAAUCUGGAAAUACUGGAGUUCAAGUAAGUCCUCAACCAAGUUUUAUUUUGUACCUCUCAUCUGCUGUGAGUUUAAUGAGUUGUUUAUCAUCACACCUCUUGUUUGUUCUCAGAUACUUGAUAGAAACUGGGGAGCAGGUUGGCACCUUCUAUCUUCAUUGAUUGCUACCAGACCUUCUAAAAGGAUAAGGUAACAUUCUAACAUUACUGUUACCAAUUUGUGGAGGUCUUAGCUGGGGUAAAAAGUAAAAUCUGUUGGGGGGUUUGGUGCAGUUGCUUGGAUGCUCUUAAGCAUCCCUUUCUAUGUGGACCAAGAUGGCGUGUUGCCCCAUCAAUGGAUAUCAUCAGAUGGGGUCUUGGAUCAACCGCUGUAAGGAUAUCAGAAGAAUACAUUUACCGCAUGCCUCAGGUAAUGUAUAUGAGAUGGUUUUUCUACAAGUUCUAAGAAGUUUGAACCUUUACUCACUCUUAAAGGCCAAAUUGGAAUAAUACAAAUCUUAUGCAGCGCCAAAGACUUGCCCGCUUCAUUGAACUAAUGGAGAUGCUAAACCCAUGUCCAAAACCAAAUGUACGAGUUUAAAAAAAAAAUCUCAUGCUUCCUUAACUUUUUCUAUUUAUAGUACUUUAAUUUGUGAACUUUGGUUUUGGAUCUCUUGGUUAAACACAGUGUUGGUUGGAGCUGUUACCGGGAAGAUGGCGUCUGUUGUACUCAACCGGAAAGCACAUUGGUCUAACUCUGCGUCAGCCUUCUACACGUGCUCUAAUAGGCAAUGUUUAUUUAACAAUAAACCGAGCUUCAGAAGAUUCCAACAACACUUUGCUAUCAUUCACCUCUGACAUAGGCUUCACGGCCAUAACCAGCAAAGACUGGCCACACGACAAAACCGGAGCCAGAGGCAAAUUACAAACGCUCUCUCAGUUCAGACUAGUAGCCGGAAAAAGACUUUACCUCAAAGAAGAGAAAAAGAACAUCAGUAAGUUCUCGAUGGGAGAACCAAACGCUGAAGAAGGCCUAGUAGAGAAGCUAGGAACCAAGAAAUGGAAAAAGGUGGUGCCCUUCAAGGAGUUUCCGUCGAGUCUUCCUGUAGUGAAACUCGUCUCUGGAGAGAUCGAAGUGACGAUGAACAUGGCUGAUCGUAUAGAGUCGCCUGGGAACGUGAUUGGGGAAGUUAGAAAGCAGAUUCCGCAGGAGAUGUUUGAUUUGUCUAAGCUUGUGUGUGGUACGUAUAUAGACAGUAGGUUGCUUGUACUUAGGUGUGUGAAUGGUUCGGCAUUGUUGUUUACAAGGUCUAGCUUUGGACCAUAAGUCUAUGUAGCCCACUUGUCUCGGUUCUUAUGUGUGUAUAUAAACACUGAGCAUUCUUUUUGGGAUAAAAACCUUUUUAAUCUCUGUGUAUGUUGUACAUGAUGAGUCUUGGCAUUAUAAAUUCGUAAGACUGAGCAUUCUAUAUAUGAAUCAAGUGCUGAAACUCAGAAACUAAAGUCUUGCGAUGCUUCUGUUUGAGCAAGAGUCUUUGGCUUCUUCACGCGCUAUAUGCAUUGCAAACAGUAAGCGGUGAGUGGUUUGAUUGGUUAAUAAUAUACUUAACCAAGUAGAGAUCAAAUAUAAAUAAGCCCAAUAAAGUUUUUUUCUAGUAUGACAGCAAACUUGAAAAAGUUUAAUAUAAUUAUCUAUCUGGCUUGUGGCCCCCUUCAUGUUUUUCAGCUCUUGUAAUCAUACUGUAAAAUAAUUACCACUUAUUAAAUUAAUAUAAAUGUCCUUAUAAUGUAUUUUUUUUUUGGUUCACCAGCUUCCAAAGAGAAAAAAAAAGAAAGAUAAAUCUAAAACAAUCUGGACCGUUGAUGUGAGGGUCAGAUAAGGACCACGCAACACGCGAAGUACAGAAUAAGCGCCCUAUAUGAAAGCUAUCCGAUAACUUGCUUCGCUUACGACCUCUCUUUCUCUCUCUUCCCUUUUUCGCUGGAAACUGUUUUCUCUCUCUAUCGCUCUCUCUCCAUACCUUUCUUCUAGGGUUUCAGUCUCCGAUCGCCGCCGCCGCCGUCGAGAUUCUAGGUAAAGCCUCUUCGCUUCCAUCUAUCGAACCUGCUUCAGUUAGAUCCAUCCUCCGAUUCCCUAUGAUUCACCCAACCUCACUGUUUCGAUUUACCCAGAUCUUUAGGAUUUGAACUCGUUUCAAUUUUAUAUCUAUUCAAGUAAACUAGUUUGAUUUGGCCGUUCUCCUUUCUUAGUCUGCUGAAUAUUCAAUUUUGAAUUCGAUUGCGUCUUCGGAUCUGUGGGUCUCACUAUUUUGAAUCAACUUGUAUAGUCUUUUAACUGCGCAUCUUUUCAUGAUCCAUGGUGUUAUGCCUUGCAAUUUUAGGCUAGUUUGCUGUAGAUCGUAUGCUGACUUCUAGGGAUGACUUCUGUCACUGUUGUUGGCUUUCACCUUGAUCUGUUCUUUGGCGUCUUAGUUUUACUGAUUUUUAUCAAAGUUGCUACCUUUUCUCUUUUGUUUUGUGUUUUAGCGUCUUAGUCUUUGGUUUCUGACUUUUUUUUUGUUUUUUCUUUUGCAGACAAACUUGUGGCAAUGGAGGUCACCCAGUUGCUCUUAAACGCUCAGUCGAUUGAUGGAACUGUUCGUAAGCACGCUGAAGAAAAUCUCAAACUGUUUCAGAGUCAAAACCUUGCUGGUUUUUUGCUCUCACUUGCUGGAGAGCUUGCCAAUGAUGAGAAGCCAGUAGAUAGCAGGAAACUUGCCGGUUUAGUCCUUAAAAAUGCUCUCGAUGCUAAGGAACAGCACAGGAAGUAUGAGCUUGUCCAGAGAUGGCUCUCUCUUGACAUGGCAACAAAGACACAGAUCAGAGCCUUCUUGUUGAAGACACUUUCCUCCCCUGUUCCUGAUGUUCGUUCAACUGCCUCUCAGGUCAUUGCUAAGGUUGCAGGUAUUGAGUUGCCCCAGAACCAGUGGCCUGAGCUUGUCGGAUCUCUUCUCUCCAACAUUCACCAGUUACCAGCUCAUGUCAAGCAAGCCACUUUGGAGACUCUUGGAUACCUCUGUGAAGAAGUGUCUCCUGAUGUUGUAGAACAGGAGCAUGUAAACAAGAUUCUCACAGCGGUUGUUCAGGGUAUGAAUUCUGCUGAAGGAAAUAACGAUGUCAGACUUGCAGCAACCCGCGCUUUAUACAUGGCUCUGGGUUUCGCCCAAGCAAAUUUCAACAACGACAUGGAGCGUGAUUAUAUCAUGAGAGUCGUGUGUGAAGCAACUCUUUCCCCUGAGGUGAAAAUUAGACAGGCUGCUUUUGAGUGUUUGGUAUCCAUCGCUUCCACAUACUAUGAGAAGUUGGCGCAUUAUAUGCAAGAUAUAUUCAACAUCACAGCUAAGGCUGUUAGAGAAGAUGACGAGUCUGUCGCUCUACAAGCGAUUGAAUUCUGGAGCUCUAUAUGUGAUGAGGAGAUUGACAUCUUAGAAGAGUAUGGUGGUGAGUUCACUGGGGAUUCCGAUGUUCCAUGUUUCUAUUUCACUAAGCAGGCCCUCCCUGCGCUUGUGCCCCUACUGUUGGAAACUCUGCUUAAGCAAGAAGAAGAUCAGGAUUUGGAUGAAGGGGCUUGGAAUAUUGCAAUGGCUGGUGGGACAUGCCUCGGUUUGGUUGCUAGGGCAGUUGGAGAUGACAUUGUACCUCAUGUUAUGCCGUUCAUCGAAGAGAAAAUAUCAAAGCCUGAUUGGAGAGAGCGGGAAGCUGCAACAUAUGCUUUUGGUUCCAUUUUGGAGGGCCCUUCACCAGAUAAGCUGAUGACAAUUGUUAACGCGGCGUUAACAUUUAUGCUCAAUGCUUUAACAAAGGACCCAAGCAACCAUGUGAAAGACACAACCGCAUGGACUCUUGGUCGGAUGUUUGAGUUCCUGCAUGGUUCAACAAUCGAGACACCCAUAAUUACUCAGGCAAACUGUCAGCAAAUUAUCACAGUAUUGAUCCAGACAAUGAAAGAUGCACCUAAUGUUGCAGAAAAGGCUUGUGGGGCUCUAUAUUUUCUGGCUCAAGGCUAUGAGGAUAUUGGUCCCAACUCUCCAUUAACACCCUUCUUCCAGGAAAUUAUUCAGUCCCUUCUAGCUGUUGCACACAGAGAGGAUGCAACUGAAUCACGCUUGCGAACUGCAGCGUACGAGGCAUUGAACGAAGUUGUCAGGUGUUCGACUGAUGAAACAUCAACCAUGGUUCUGCAAUUAGUACCUGUGAUAAUGCUCGAGCUCCACAAUACUUUGGAAGGGGAGAAGCUUUCUUCAGACGAGAGGGAGAAACAAAACGAGCUUCAGGGACUGUUAUGUGGAUGCUUGCAGGUCAUCAUACAGAAAUUAGGAUCUGAACCGACCAAGUAUGUUUUCAUGCAGCAUGCAGAUCAAAUGAUGGGACUUUUCCUGAGGGUUUUUGGCUGUAGAAGUGCAACUGCACAUGAAGAAGCCAUGCUCGCCAUUGGCGCUCUUGCUUAUGCAGCAGGUCCUGAUUUCGCCAAGUACAUGCCUGAGUUUUACAAGUAUUUGGAAAUGGGUCUUCAAAACUUUGAAGAAUACCAAGUGUGUGCUGUUACUGUGGGCGUUAUUGGGGACAUCUGCAGGGCAUUGGAGGACAAGAUUUUACCUUACUGCGAUGGGAUUAUGACGCAGCUUCUGAAGGAUUUGUCGAGCAACCAGUUGCACCGAUCAGUAAAGCCGCCGAUUUUCUCCUGUUUUGGUGACAUAGCACUGGCUAUUGGGGAAAACUUCGAGAAGUACAUCAACUAUUCAAUGCCGAUGCUUCAGAGCGCAGCAGAACUAUCAGCUCACGCGUCUGGAGCUGAUGAUGAAAUGACAGAGUACACGAACUCAUUGAGAAAUGGAAUACUCGAAGCUUAUUCAGGCAUAUUCCAAGGGUUCAAGAACUCUCCGAAAACACAGCUCCUAAUUCCUUACGCACCCCAUAUUCUCCAGUUUCUGGACAGUAUAUACAUGGAGAAAGACAUGUAAGUUUUCUUUGUUCUUUUAAACCCAAUCGGAAUUAUAGAUUAGUUUUGCGAAAAUAUAAAAAGUUGUUUAAUUUUGUGGAUAAAAUGGCUUGUGUGACAGGGACGAGGUGGUGAUGAAGACAGCGAUUGGGGUGUUAGGGGAUUUAGCGGAUACACUAGGGAGUCAUGUGGGUGGUUUGAUACAACAGUCAGUGUCGAGCAAAGAGUUCUUAAACGAGUGUUUGUCAUCUGAUGAUCACACAAUCAAAGAAGCAGCUGAAUGGGCAAAGCAUGCCAUCACCCGUGCCAUUUCUGUUUGAAGGGCUCUUUUCUCUGUGCCUUUCGUUUUGUUUUUCUUUUACAGUAAAGUCUGCAUGCAUCUCUGGGUGGGUUUGAGUCUGGGAAAGGGUAGAGCUGCAACAGCCGAGAGUCACAUCAUCAUCAGUUUCAUUUGCAUCAUCAGCAUUACUGGGGUCAGCAUUGAGUCAUGGAUGGGGGGGGGGGGGAUGAUGAGUUUUGGGGGGUAGAUAAUGAAACUGGAAAGAGACGCCGGUGAGACUUUGGCCGGAGGUGAGUAGGAGGAGUCGUUUUCAGGUGGUUUUGGGGACAAAAGGUUCAUCGAACUAUCAUAAUACUCUACUACAUUUGUUUUCAUGUCAUAUGUUUCUUUUUCUUCAACCCCUUGAGGGGAAGGUCUCUGGUUUUUUAUCAAGUGAGGGGGCAUUAUCAGAUGACACAAUCCCUUGGAUUUUUUUUUUUACUUGUUUAGUUGCAUUCUUUGCAUCAUCGUUUUGUCACUUUCUUUUGGGGUUUUGUAUGUUUGGUUAUAAAAGCAUGUUCACAUUUUUAUUUUUAUAUAAAAAAAGUUGUCAGGUCUAUUUCCUCUUUGAUGCAGUUUUAGGAGAUUGCAAUUAGCACAGUUAGUGCUCUUAGCUUAAAGCUUCUGUUUACAGGUACAUUAGAUGUUGUCAUGUCUCUAGACAAGAGGUGUACAAAGUAAUUGUUAUUAUUCAUGUAAGUUCCUUAUUUACUUGGUUGGCUCGAACUGUAAGGGAAAGGUCGCAUGUUAACAGGGAACGUCCUGCCUUACUCUUUCUCUAAAGAGCCAAGUUAAAUCUAACGUCACACCUCACUCAUAUCCAGCGUUCAAGUUACCUGUUAUUUACAUAUCUUUGUAAAUAAUACCGAACCUAUACAUGACUUACUGUUUGAAACAAUCUCGACCAUUGAAGUUAUGUGUACUUUAUGGGUUAAACUCUAUAUAUAAUAUAGCAAGCUAUGUCAAUAGCAUUAUAAUUAUAGGUAGAAUCUUCUAGCGAGUUUGUAUCGGCACUUCUACGUAGUCCUAAACAUUUUCUGACAUGGUUCGAACUUUUUACUUGAUAUUUCUAUAAAUAAUAACUAAUGUCAAAGUCUGUUGCUAACUUUGAUUUCGUUGUCAUAACACUCAUCUAUCUUUCAAUCAAAUGGACGACACACUAUCUUCCAUUCAAAAAACUAAAAAUAUAAAACUAAAAACAAUAGAAAAUAGUUAACAUCCACGAGAUGAAUAGGAGAGCCAUUCCGAGGAUAAAAAUGGAGUUGAGAAAUAAUCGGUGGUAAUUAGAAGUGUACCAUUUCUAUUGUCAAAACUGUCCAGAAACCCCAAAAUAUUUUUACGCAAAAAACCAACACCAACACAUUUAUAAUGUGGCCCGCGACGAUUUUCUUCAUACUCAAUUAAUGUAUGCCCUGUUUGAAAAGGCUGCUGACUAGGCGGCCGCCUGGGCGCGACUCAGAGCUUGUUCGCGACGAGGAGAUGCAAUUCGGUGACUAAAAUCGAAAACUAAUUAAUCGGCCCAAUUCCCUACUAAUCAAUUUAACACUACAACAAAACAGUGGUAUUCUGACGGACGUUCCGACGGAAAAUGAAUUCCUCGGAAUAUACCGAGGCAUUUCCGAGGCAAUUCCGAGGAAACACAAAAUUUUGCUUCCUCGGUAUUCCGUCGGAAUAUUCCGUUUGGCCAGAGGUUCAGGAUUCCGUUUCGCCCCACAGCUCAUACCAUACAUCUCCCUCUCCAUUACUCGCUCCUGCUGCUCCCGCUCCCGCUGCUGCACCCGCUCCUGGUCCCGCUGCUGCACCCGGUCCUCCGGGAGUGAUGAGGGUUGCGGAGUUGGUUCGACAGCCCGGUCGUGACCAUCUUCCCUAUCUCACUGAGUAUCCACAUGGACAUGGUCAAACAUGGUAAUUUAAACUUUUAUUUUUUAAACUAUUUUUUAUUUAAACUAUUUUUUUAUUAAUAAUUUAUUUUUUUUAUUAGGUUCAACCGAUCCGGGAACGGGAUCAGCGCAUGGAUCAACCGUAUGAUGUACUCGGCCCUCGACAGCGGACAUCCGACUUUCACUCACUUCCCUGUCGAGAAGCAGCAUCUGUGGUUUCGUCAGUUUGCGGUAAGUAUUCUAAUUUUUAAAUUAUAUUUUUUAUAUUGUUAAAACUAUUUUUUGUAAUUAUUAAACUAUUUUCUAUAUUUAUUAGACAUUUUAAAUAUUAUUAAAACUUAUUUUUGUAAUUAUUAAACUAAUUUAUAUAUUUAUUAGACAUUUUAAAUAUUAUUAAAACUUAUUUUUGUAAUUAUUAAACUAUUUUUUUAAUUAUUAAACUAUUUUUUAUUUAUUAAAACGACGAUUUUUGUAAUUAUUAAACUAUUAUAUUUUUGUGCUUAAAAACUAUUUUUAAACUAUUUCAGCAAGAAUUCAACUGGAAUUCCGAUGAUACGCUCUCUAUCUAUCACCAUUUUGUCCAUAAAGUUAUGGACAACUAUGGGAAGCAGAUGUACGAGUGGAAGAAGAAGUGGGAAGUAAACAAGGUAGUUUUUAAUUUAUUAACAAUUUUUAAUUUAUUAAACUAUUUUUAAAAUUAUUAAACUUUUUUUUUUUAAAUUAAAAGGUCCCAAAGUCGAUGAACGACACGGUCUGGAAGGAGUUGUGUGCGCAUUGGGAUAAAGAAGAGACGAAAGAAACUUCUUCCACCAACUCCAACAACCGCAGGAGCGACCGUAAAGGAAAGGGCAUCUACAAGCAUAACUUGGGUGCUCAAUCUAUUGCCACUCUGGCGGAUCGCAUGGUAAGCUCAACCGCUUUUUCUUCAAUUAUUUAAGUUUCAGAAUUUUAUUUUUUUUUGCAUUUUCAAAUUUCUAAUGUUUGUCUAAUUUAUUUUUUUUCAAGGCGGAAGAAAAUGAAGGCCACCCAGUUGAUGAUCUCGCCCUUAUGAAAAGGGCGUAUACCAACAAGAAGACCGGCCAGAUUGAUGAUGGUCUUGUGAGGGACGUGGUCGACCUGGUCCAAACUCAGGUGUAUGACGAAGUGUCUCAGCUUCAAACCGAUGAUGACGAUUCGACGGCCUCGACCAACUUGUCUCGGGUUCGAAUCAACGAAAUCGUUGAAUCGGUAAGUUUUUUUUUUUAAAAAGUUCAAUUUAAUUAUUUCUUGAUUUUUAUUUUAUCAUCAAUUUAAAUUAUCUAAACUUGGUUAUUUAUAUUUCAGUCGGUUCCAAAGAAAAAGGGACGUUUGGUCGGUUUGGGUCGUCGCUCCCGGUCGGCUGCUCCUUCUUCUGCACCACAUGCGUAUGUUGAUCCAGAAGUUCUUACGGCUCAGCUGAAGGACAAGGAUGAUCGGAUAUCUGCGUUGGAGACCCAGAUGGCAGCUCAACAGGCGGGCUAUGAGACCCAGAAGAGGCUGAACGAGCAGAUGAUGGAGAUGAUGAAGAGGAUGUACCCGAUCGAGACGUUCCCGAACAUUCAAGACCCGUAGUUUUUUUUUUCUUUCCAAAAACUCUGAAUGUUUUAUUUAAAUUUGAAUAUUAUCUACUAUGUUUUAUUUUAUGUUUUAUUCAAUUUUAAUUUUAAAUUUUAAAAAUUUUAAUUUUUAAAAAUAAAAUUAAUUUUAAAAAAAAUAAAUUUUUAAAAAAAUAAAUUUUUUAAAAAAAUAAAUUUUUUCAAAAUUCCGAGGGAAUGGAGUUCCUCGGAAGAUUCCGAAGAAAUUUCUCCCCUCGGCAAAUUCCGACGAACUUUAAGUUCCUCGGAAUUUUCCGAGGGAAAAAGUUCCUCGGAAUUUUCCGAGAAACUCCACUCCCUCGGAAUUUUCCGAGGGAAGAAAGUUCCUCGGAAAAUUCCGAGGAACAUUUGUUCCUCGGUAUUUUCCGAUAAACAUUCCGAGGAAUAUUUCGUCGAAACUUCCGAGGAUUGGACCAUCGGAAUUCCCUCGGUAUUUUCCGAGGAACCUUCCGACGAACUUCGUGUCCUCGGAGUUUCCUCGGAAUUUUGUUUCCUCGGAAUUCCGUCGGAAUUUUCCGACGGAAUUCCGAGGAAGUAUGAAAUUCCGAGGAGAUGUUUCCGAGGACUUGUUUCGUCGGUAUGUCCUCGGAAUAGCUUUAUUCCGACGACAUACCGACGAUUUUUUCCCUUAGUAUCCCGAUGUUUUCUUGUAGUGUAAUUACCGAUUAAUCGGCCUAAUUAGAUAUAGAAAAGAUCUGUUGAUAAAAAAAAAAAGAUAUGAAAAAGAUCCAACUUUCUAAAUAUAAUGAUAGUUCUUGGGCCUUACAAGAAGCCCGAACGUUUUACCUCUUCCUUAGCAUGUAUGACUAUAGAUAGAGCAAGAUUUUCACCUUUUCUUUCUUCUCUAACCGAUGUGGGAUUUUAAAUGCGAAAAUAAAUUGUGCACUGACACAAGGAGACAGUGAAUUCCUUGUACCUUUACCCAUAUACUAACACAUAUACACAUGCAGAUAAUAAAAGUACAAAAACUAGGUUCCACGUACUUCCCGAUUAAUCCUCGAUUUUUUCCUAACUCACUAGGCGUGAACAGGUUGCCCGACUAACGCCUAGCGUAAUUCCAAACAUGGAAUGGAAUGUAUGUUUACGAAGGCAAUUUUUUUAUGUGUUUAUUUAAAGGUCAUUUUGUGUCGAUGUAGUAUACUGAAUUGUUAGGUUAACCUGCCCAGAGUGAUUAUGGGAAGUAAAUGUUCACGAUAUACUCCACGAUUGCUGCAACUUCUCUGGUCCCUACAACAAAAGCAGUACUGCUGAGAGAAGUUAGCGAUUAUACAUUUUAUAACCGUUGCGAAAAUUUUAGAUACAUUAGACAUUAGUGAAAAUGUUUGACGAAAGGCAGCUUGUCUAAAGUAUCACUAAACCAUGAUAAUAUAUAUUUAAUGUGUCCCGGUUCAACGUUGAAAUGUAUUACAUGUCUUUGCAGUGUCUCUUGUGGAAACGUUAAGCGUAUGUUUAUGCGUUUUUACGGCACUUCAAAGUUUUAGGUGGGUAAAUUGUUGUUUAGAUCAUAAAAAUGGUGUAAUUAAGAGUAGAACUGUAGAUAUUAUGGUCAAACCAAAUACAUAGCAUUAUUGAGACAAAAUCUUAAAUUUAAAAUAAGAUUUCGAGGAUAGUGGUCUCUCACUAUAAUGGGUCACUCAAAAAGAUGCACUUCUCUGAUACAUUUGUAGGCCACUCGCUAUGUCUGUCCCAAUCUAAGUUGACUUCUUACAAAGUUGUGAACGUCGAAAAUGGAAGGAUUAGUUCCACUAUUUCUCUUUACUUAUACCUAAUUAUUUAUUGUUUGGUACCACGGCUUUUGAAAUAUGCCCUGCACAUUUUUUGAAUUCAUAAUUAAUUUCCUAAAUACACUUUAAAAUUUUUCUACCUAGCAAUUGCCUACCAUGUGUUUGUCGGAUUUUAGUUUAUACGCAUAGAUUUCAUAUAUAAUCAUUGUAAAUUUUACAUAAGCUGCUACAAUUGGGUAAUUAAUUUAAAUUUUCGCAUAUAGAUAUUUGAUAUGCACUACUGCUAUGAUAAUCCAUGUACAUAUUCAGCUGUAAUUGAACAGCCAAUUUUUAGUCAUUGAUUGUUAAAGAGCCUUUUAAUCAAUUAUUGAAUUGAUUUUAGCAAAAAAAAAAAAUCAAUUAUUGAAUUGUUAGUGUGUUCAGUUUUGAGUAUAUAUUGUACCCUUGGUAUGAAAAUUUCAAUGUCGUUAUGAAUCAUUAACAGCAUGAAACAAAACCAUAAUUACGUACGAGUUUGGUAUGAUCCCAUCUUACUUUUUGAUAAUGGACCCAAUUAUCUUAGACGAAAAUGCAAUUUUCAAUUAAAUUGUGCGUCGAUAAGUAAACUUGACUUACGAGCACACGUGGUACUCCAUAGAACCUAUAAUACAUUACAGUUGUAUGUAAAAAACGUGGUGAAGCAAAUGGGGUUUAGAGUUAAAUAAACCAAAGGUAAAUAUCGUGAAACCAAAAAUGAAGUUUUUUUUUUCUUUGAAAAUAUUGGCACUCACUAAAAAAAUAUAUUUGUCUACAAUAAAGCAGUAGUUACAUAUACGAAGUAACUGGUUUGAUUAGUGACAAGUUGACAACCAAUUACAAAAGAUUAAAGUAUGAAAAAAGAGAAAUAAAACUGAUAUCGUAGAAAUUAAAGCGGGAUAGAUCAUUUAAAUUUUUUGACAUAUAAAAUAAAUAGGAAUAUAUUGACUAUUUAAAGUUUUAUAGAAGCUAAUGAUAAAAUUUUCGAUUGGUUUUGCUUAUAAAAACGUAUGUUUAUAUCCAAACUUAUGUUACUCUUCUUUUGGAUAAUAUAUAAUUUUAGCAAUUUGGAAAACAUAUUUUGUUUACAAGUUCUUAGAUAUACACAAAGGUUUUUAAUGAUAUUUCAUAUGAAAAAGAGUUUGUUUGGUGCUAUUAUAUAAAACAAAAUUACAUUAAAAAGACAUGUGAAUAUUUUCAUUCGAUUUUCUCAACAAAAAAAUACAUUUGCUUUCAACAUUAGAAGAUAAAUAAAGCAUGCCGAGAGAAGUCUACGGCAAUCAAAACGGACAUGAGUAAAACGUAUGAUAGAGUGGAAUAGAAUUUUAUUCAUGUUUUUUACAAAAAAUACGUUUUGAUUCUCAUUGGAUUAAAUUAAUGAUGGAAUGUAUUUCAUCGGUUCAGUAUUAGGUCUUACUCAUAAUUCUAUAUAGGGGUUUACGUCAAGGGGAUCCGUUAUCACCUUAUUUAUUCAUUAUGUGAUGUACGGAGGCUUUAAUAGCAAACAUCAAAAAGGCGAAGAGAGGGAAAUAAUUAACCGGAAUGAAGGUAGCCAGAACUUAUCCAUCGAUUUCUCAUUUCUCUUUGAAGAUGAUAGUCUCAUCUUUUGCAAGACACAAAAAGAAGAGUGUCACACCAUUCUCAGGAUUUUGAGAGAGUAUGAGGCUGUAUCAGGUCAACAAAUAAAUUUUUAAAAAACUUCUAUCCAAUUUGGACAUAAAAUUGAGGAAUCCAGCCGUCAGGAGUUGAGGGAUAUCUUAGGAAUUUUGAAUUUAAGAGGAAUGAGAUCUUAUUUAGGAUUGCCAGAGAAUCUCGGAGGAUCCAAGAUACAAGUUUUUGGAUUUAUUCAGGAGCGUACGAAUAGUAUGGUCAAUAGUUGAACUUUUAAGUUCUUUACCAAAGGAGGAAAGGAAGUAAUCAUUAAAUCAGUGAUCACAGCCUUACCAAAUCAUGUGAUGUCGUGUUAUCAUCUACCAAAGGCUACCGCAAAAAAAACUGACGAGUGCGGUAGCACAAUUCUAGUGGAGUCCAGGUGGAAGUCCAAAGGUAUGCACUGGAAAUCAUGGGACAAAUUAUGUCUAGAUAAGGAUGAAGGAGGUUUGGGUUUUAAGGACCUAACUGAUUUCAAUACGAUGAUGCUUGGUAAGCAGCUAUGGUGUCUAACUGAAAAACCAAAUACCUUAUUUUCUCGAGUUUUUAAAGGACGGUACUACAUGAAUGCUUCACCACUGGAACCGAUUAAAUCAUAUUCUCCGUCGUAUGGAUGGCGGAGUAUUAUUUCUACUAGAUCUCUUGUUAGCAAAGGACUAAUUAAAAGGGUGGGAUCAUGAUCAUCUAUCUCUGUAUGGAAUGAUCUCUGGCUCCCAACCACUCGCCCAUGACCAGCAAAUAAAAAUCAGCAUAACAGUUACCCAGAUCUUACAGUUGACUCUCUCAUUGACUCAGCUUCGCGAACUUAGAAUCUACAAGCAAUUCGGGCUUUAGUGGAUCCCCAUGAUGGAAAGAUAAUGUAAAGUAUACCACUGAGCAAGAAUUAUAUGAUGGAUAGGAGUGGAUGACAUUUCACACAGAAUGAAAAAUACACGGUCAAAUCAGGUUACCAAGUAUAAAGGGUUUACUCAGACAUGGAAAAACUAACAUUAGUGUUUGGACCCACUGUUGAUUUAUUGAAAGCAUUCUGCUGGAAAGUACGGUGCCCACCAAAGAUUAAGUAUUUUUAUGGCAGCUGGUGUAAAAAUGUAUAUCAGUUAAGGAAAAUUUGCAUGUGAGAGGACUACAAAGGGAUGUAUGUUGUGCUAGAUGUGAAGCUUCGGAAGAAUCAAUAAAUCAUGUUUUUGAAUGUCCUCCAGCGCGUCAGGUUUGGGCACUUUCACAUAUACCAUCAAAUCCAGUUAUUUUCCCCCAUAUGGAUCAUCUAUUUUGGAGAGUUCAACUAAAAAUGGACGAUCAUCAAUUUGCAUGGAUUUUAUGGUACAUUUGGAAAAGAAGGAAUAACAAGAUUUUUAGCAAUCUAGAUAUUUAUUCGAGGGAAACACUCAAAUUUACGGAAACCGAGUCAACACUAUGGGCUGAAGCACAAGUGUUGAUCACUCAGCGGGAGGCACAACAUGUAGAGAUCUUAAAUUUACCGUCAAUUCCAGGGCGGUGGUGUUUUACAGAUGGUUCUUGGAAAGAUAAUGAGUUUUUCUGAGGACAAGGUUGGUAUAGUACUCUAGAAGGUUUUGAUGGUUUGAUGGGGGAAAGGAAUGUCCGGACGAGCCUCUCCCCUCUUCAUUCGGAGGUGGAGGCGCUACUCUGGGCAAUGGAGUCGAUGAGGAACUUGCAUCAGUUUCGAGUUACGUUUGCAACAGAUUGUUCUCAAUUGGUGAAGAUGGUUUCGGAACUAGAAGAAUGGUCAGCUUUUGCAAGUUAUUUGGAAGACGUCAAGACCCUGCAAAAAAGUUUUCUCAACUCAGAGAUUAUUCAUGUACCACGAACGCACGAUUUGAAGGCGCAUAUUCUAGCACUUCGUGCUAGGAAUCAAUCGUCUUUCGUCGUUCACAUGGAUGCGGAGUUACCGAUAUGGUUUACAAAGUCUGCAUGAGUCUAUGUUUUUAAGCUGAUGACAAAAAAGAGAAGAAGAUAAAAAUAACAUUUGUAGUGAAAGAAAGUAGUGCUAGACCUAAAAAUUAUACCCGUAAUAGACUAAGGACAUCUCCAACCCUAUUCCAUUUUCUAGUUCAAACAUCAUUUUGGAAUAAAUUAUAUUUUGACCCUACUCCAUUUUCAACUCCAAAAUUGAGUAAUGGCUAAGGUUACACCAUAAAUGGAGUUGAACUUUUUUUAAUUUAUAGAAUAGUCUUUUAAAUUUUAAAUAUUUUUAUCAUACCUUUUCCUCAUUUUUAUUUAAUACUUAAAUAUUUAAAAUUAAUACAAUAACAUGAAAAAUAUGAUUUUCAUAAGAGAAUAUUUGAAUAUUUGAUGGUUUUACAUAAAUGUGCAUAAACUAAUAAAAAAUACCACAACUAAACAUAAAAAUAUAAAAUAAUGAUUUAAUAAUUGUGUAAAUCAUUUAUGGAACCCUCCAAAAUCGGUGAAGUACUGUCCAAAUGAUAAAAAUAAGGGUUUUUAAAUUUUUUGGUUGAUUUAGGAAAGUCAAAGAAAAAGAACUCAUUAUAAAAAGCAUUAGUUGAUCAUUUGUGGAAAAAUAUUAUAAUGUUCAUUAUUGAACCAAAAAUGCUAUUAUAUAUUUACGAUUAUUGUAUCUUUUAAUACUAAGUUUUAAUUUAAAUAAAUUAUAUUUUUAUGGAAUUUUUAUAAACAUAAAAUAGUUGGGGUUAAUUGGUAACUUUUUAAGUAGAAAGUAUUACUAACAAUUAUUAAUUAAAUAAAAGUGAAAUUACUUUAGAAUAUUUUUUUGGAAUAAAAAAUGUAGUAAUAUAUUGAAGUAAAAUUCAAUUCUAUUUCGGUGCUGCACUACUUUACAAUAUAAAAUAGAGAAAUAGGUUGGAGAUAUGUUCUAUGCUUAACCAAAAGAAGAAGAAGCUGGUCCUAAUAUAUAUAUAUAAAUAGUCAAGAGUCAGAUCUCUUAAAAACACAAAGAGUUAUAAGAACAACUUUUCUUAUUAGCUUUAGAAACUACUCAAAACUAAAGCCCUCAAUAUGUUUCACUUAGAUCAUAUGGAACACCUCUCCAUUAGACCUAUAUUUAUAUGAAAGACAAUUCCCUUUAACAUGUGGGAUAUGGAAAACACAAACCUAACCUAAAUAGAAACUUCCUUUUCCUAUUUCUAGGUUUCCUUAUUGUGUUUAUCUUAACAUAUUAAACAUCUAAUAAUAUGUUAAGUUUCCACAAGCUUGGAAUUAUCCAACAUUCACCCACUUAAUUCCAACUUGAAUUAGGGAGAUCAAUUUCUUGAACUCCGAUUAAGCUCCUCAUUUGCUUGAACAUAAUCAUCAAGUAAUCUUCCUUCACCACACUGUGGUGUAUGAAUCCACCCAUUGGAUUCACAUCUUUCUCAAGGUUAGACCGGAUGCUCUCCUUGCUUCCGUACCGCUUCUUCUUAGAAUCGGCCCAGUUCUUGUAGAACCUUCUCAUGACCUCUUCACUUAAGUUGCGAUGAUUUUUGUGGCUGAAGCUCACUGCGAUGAUAACUCUGGUCACAUCCGCCAUCUUGCGUACGUGAGCUCUGAUAAGGAUGUCGGCCUUCUGCUCAACACCCAACAGAUUUAUCUCUGGUUCAUCUUCAUCCUUUGAGAACCUUGACUCUAUUGGUACGUGCGUUGUGUCACACGCUUCCACCUUUGUGUCACACACUCCUCCGUGAGUCGUGUUGCACACUCCUACGUGAGUCGUGUUACACACUUCCAUCUUUGUAUCACACAGGAUUCCUUGAGCAUACCUCUCUUGCUUUAUUCUGAUUCCGUCUGCUCCUUGAAUCACCUCUAUGCCAAGGUAGUACGUUAGCUUACCUAGAUCUGACAUCUCGAACUUCUUAGACAUCUUCUCUUUGAAUUGCCUAAUCACCUUAAGCGAAGUUCCUGUCACAAAUAGAUCAUCAACGUAGAUGGCAAUGAUCAAGACGUCUCCUCCUUCAGUCUUGCAGUACACUGAUGGUUCCUUCGUGCACUUCUCAAAUCUCAUCUCCUUGAGAACCUUAUCAAGUUUCACACUCCAUGCUCUGGGUGCCUGGCGUAACACAUGCAACAUCUUAUGUAACACACAAACUCGAUCAUCUUCUCCUUUCUUCUCAGAAUCAGUCGGUCUAUCUACAAGCUCCCAUAUCUUGUUUCUUGUGAUAGACUCCAACUCGUCUUCCAUAGCUUCAACCCAAUCUUCUUCACAAGAUAGGUUGAAUUCAUCUGAGGCAAUCUCUCCUCCUCUAUCGGUGCAUCCUAGAUUGAACACAUCUGAGGCAACCUCUCCUCCUCUAUCGGUGCAACCUAGAUUGAACAUAGCUGAGGCAAGCUCUCCUCCUCUAUCGGUGUGAGAUCUUUUGAACCGAUAGAAUGCCUCACGAUUAUCUGCUGGCGUUGGUGGUGUGAUUCGUCCACACAAAUCUCCAAGCAAUAAUCCCAAUGGCUUUGAUGUACAAACCAUGGCCUUAGUCAGGAAUGUGUCUUUGGUUUGCUUCCCUGCAAGACAUGUGUCACACACGCCUUCUUCGUGUGUUACACUCGGGAAUGAGUGUCUCGUCUGCUUCUCUGCUAGACAUGCGUUACACACGCCGUUACACACGCCGUUACACACGCCUUCUUCGUGUGUUACACUCUGCAUUCCGACGAUCAUCUCCUUCCUCUUCAUCGACCAAACCUGGUAGUUUGUCGAUGACAACAUCAGACAAUGGAUGGAUGUGAAUCCAAAGUCUUUGAUGCGUGGCGCAGCUGUAGUCACGUCGGCCAUCUGCUUUCGUGAUCUCUCCUCCUGUCGCCAAGAUCUAAGCUUCACCUUAAGCUUAGAUUGAGUCUCCAACAUGAGGCUCUUUAAUGAUGGUAAUGGCCCAACCUGGCUCUGAUACCAAUUCAGAUCUCUUAGAAACACAAAUAGUUAUAAGAACAACUUUUCUUAUUAGCUUUAGAAACUACUCAAAACUAAAGCUCUCAAUAUGUUUCACUUAGAUCAUAUGGAACACCUCUCCAUUAGACCUAUAUUUAUAUGAAAGACAAUUCCAUUUAACAUGUGGGAUAUGGAAAACACAAACCUAACCUAAAUAGAAACUUCCUUUUCCUAUUUCUAGGUUUCCUUAUUGUGUUUAUCUUAACAUAUUAAACAUCUAAUAAUAUGUUAAGUUUCCACAAGCUUGGAAUUAUCCAACAAAGAGGAACUUCCUCUUCCAGUUAAUGACUUAGGUCACCUCUCUUGCAUCAAUCAAACCAUUUUUCAUUAUGAAUCCGAACCACUUAAAAAAACCUUACCGGAUGGCUUAGGCACAAAUAAAAAUUACAUACUAUUCGAUGGCUCACACUUCACUUAGUUUCAUGUACAUUUACAACUACAAAUAGUAUAUAUAACUUUUUCUGUCUAAAUAAAUCUUUGUUGCAAGGUCAUAUGCAUUAUGUUUCAACAGUCAUUGAUCUAGUAGUUGGCCAAAUUAUUAAUGUUUCUACGACAGGUUUGAAAAUAUAAACGUUACAUCCUUAAGAACCUUAACUAUAAUAAUGUUUUUUCAGAUUAUUCUGGAUUUUUUUUGAAGUUUUAAUGUGCGUUAAGUCAUCCGCCAUUUAUCAAAUUAUUACACGAGAUAUAUAUUUGAUUUCGAGUGGGUAGCUUCAUUGGUUUUAGAUGAUACACAUAUCGUAAGUUUUUUAAAUGUUAAUAAAUUCUAAUAAACAUGUUGUAGACAUAAAACAAACAUAUUUAAAAUAAAAAAUUGCCAUCUUGUUUUUAAUAAUACCUUGCUUAGGUGUUUAUAUGAGACCGUAUAGUUCACAUAAUCAUAAGAUAUAACUAAAAAUAAAAUCUAUAAUUUUGAGCCAUGUCUUGCAAAACAAAGUGUGGUUACUGGUUUUUUCUUUUUGGAACACAAGUGUGGUUAUUUGUUAAAUAUUUUUUGUUGUCCACAAGCAUAACAGAGGUAAGCAGCGUAAAUGUCCUUUUGGGAGACGUGACACAAUCAACAGCUGAGUUGACUUUCUUUAGAUUUUUUUUCUAGGGUUUGUGGGUUCAUUGCAUUAUCCCAAAAUCAUCUGAUUUUGAUCUCAUCACUCUUUUAUUUUUCUUGCUACUAUCAUCACCAUUUUGUUGAUAGUCUCGCCACUGUUUUCAACCUUCUUUAUUGUUUUGUAAUAAACAAUGUCGAUACUUACGUGAUAUUCUUAUUCUUUGAAAAGUUAUGUUGAUAGGGGCUGUUCAUGUUUUCAUUAUCAUAAAUAGGAUAGUCAUGGUUAUCAUCAUCACCUUUACGACCAAAUUCUAUAUGGACCAAAACAGUUUCCACCACAUAAACUUGACCGUUUAUAAAUUGGAAACCAGCCUUCUCCCAUCUUCUCAUAUCAAAACCCAUUUCUCCUCUAAUUAUUUACCUUCUCCCCUAAACGAACAGAGAGCAAUAUUAACUAUCAUAUAUAGAAGAAAAAAACUAUCAUAUUGUAUAGAAUACUAAUCAAAACCAUAUAAUAUGGCGCCUUUCAGGAUCACGCCCCUACCUCUCAUCUUCCUCGUACUCAUUGUUUGUUCUUCAUCACUAGGUAAAUAUACUCCUAUAUCACAUUAUUUUCGGUUUUUACACGUUAGUUUUUACUUUGUAUGAAUGGAUAUAUAUAUAUAUAUAUAUAGUAAUCGACCUCUCAGCCCAAUCCAUCUAAGUCCGAGAUUAGCUUUUGAUAUCAUAUUUUCGUACAUUCCUCUCUUCUAACGCUAAUCAAAUUUUACCUUGAUACCAUUCAUUACUAUUGUAUUGGUGGAACCACGUUAUAGUAACUAUUUCCAAUAUUUUUCCAAAAAGUAAAAUGUAUCAGUAACCUUUUUUUGUUCAAAAUGUAUCACUAACUUUGCGUAAGUUACAAUAAAUCAAUUUCUUCUAACUAUUUGAUCACUUAAAAGAAUGUAUAAACCGCUGAUACAAUGUUUGCUUUUAGCUACAGUGGAAGGCUCUAUCCAGCUGGGAGGCCCAAAGAUGCAUGAGAGUUUCAUGCGUUACAAGGUAGUGUAUUUUAUAUGCGAAAAUAUUUAAUAAGAACUUUGCUUUAUAUAUUAAUAAUAACAUGGUUUUUUAAUUAUGAAGAAUGGGGAGACGGAAGUGAACAAGAUCAUGAGCCACAGGAAGUUGAUGUUCCACUCGACUGCAGACUACGACGACGCAGGACCAAACCCUAAGCACGAUCCAAGAAGGAAGCCCGGAGGCAGGCCUUGAAUCAUUCAAGUCACGAUUCUCUCUCUCUCUCUCUCUCUCUCUAUAUAUAUAUAUAUAUAUAUAUAUAAACACAUGCAUGAACGGGUAUUUAUAUAUGAAUGUAUGUAAUCCUUCUAUUCUGACAUUUUGUUUGAGGAUGAGAUCAGUGUACAAUACCCUUCAGAAACGCGUUCGUGAAAGGAGAUUAGUAUACUAAAUUACUAAUUAAUU